rnacentral:lncRNA from 1 species
ACAUACAGGCGCGUGCGUUCACACACACACGUAUACAUACCAAUACAUGUUUCGGUAAAUACCUGCUUCAAGAGUCUUGGUCUUUUAUGUACUUAAAACACUGAGGGAGGAGCACCAUAUUCGUCGUUGACAGAAUUUGAAACCGAUCAGAAGGCAAGGGGAAUUCAGCAAGCCUUUGACUACUUCUCGGCAGCACGCUCAGGUAGCUCUCAUCAUUCUUCAAAUAUAACAGAUACUGAUAAGAAAGGACAGGAUCUGGAAGCAACUAAAGAUCAAGUUGCAAAGAAAAGAAAGAAUGACAGGGCAUAUCGUGAACGAUGCAAGGUAAACACCAUUACCUAUCUAUUUACUCUCUUGCUGUCUUUUUCCUUAAUUAGUUUUUUAUUUCUAGUUCAAAGAUCAUGGCAUCCAAGAGCAUACGAAUUGAAUUUGUACGGAUAUUUUCUAGUGUAAUGUACUUGAACCCAAAUUGAUCUUAGAAAUCCAGUAUGGGGCUUUGCUGCCUAUUUAUAUAAGCUUUUCUUUCUAAUGUGCAGAUGUAGGGCUAUUCAUUAUGGUUAAUAUCUUAGUCAAUACAUGUUUAAAUCCAUUUUAAUAAUUAAAUUAAUGACUACAGAAGAAUUAUCAACCAUAAAUGCUAGUUAGUUAGGCCAAAUAAUGUAAACAAUUUUCCUCGCCCCUAUACAGGCAAGCCUUUUAGGCACUGCACUUAAACUUAGAUAAAAAUCAUGGUCCUUGUGCGAAAAUGAAUUUAAGGUAAACGUGGAUGGGUAAUUUGAAUAAUCAUAAUCGUGUCCUUAAAGCAUCAUGUUAAUGGAAAAAUAUAUAAAAAAUAGUUUCAGUUUAAUGAUUUCCCCUAAAAACCUUAAAUGAGAUGAUGAGCAAUUCUUCGUUCACUUAAACAUUGCUCUUUUAGUAGAAAACUGGAUCUUUUCAUUUUUCUUUCAGGCUCAUUAAGGCAAAAGAAUUGAGAAACUUUCACUUUUCCUUGUAGAGAAACAAAAUUGAGACCGAGAGAAACUUGGAUCUGCUGAGGAAAGAAAACGAUCGAUUACAAGGAGAGAAUGCCUUCUUUAAAACGGAAGCAGUUCGGACUAGACAAGCUCAGCAAUCUCAAGAACAAGAGAUGAAGCGGCUUAGGAAAACAAUUGUUCUACUGAAGGAGAAGCGUAAUAAACAAAAUACUAUUGUGGAGGUCCUUUCAAAGCAAAUAGUAAGUGUUUUUCUAUUGAAAAAUUAAUAAAUUUUUUUUUGAUUAUUAGUUCUUUUCCUGUAAUUAAACUGAAUAUGAAGAGUGGCAGACCUCAUUCACUAUUGGGAUUAUUGUACUUUUCAUAACAUAUAUUUGAAGAGGAACUUUGCCGCUUUUAAAUCUAUUGAUGGUUAAUUACCCGCACCCCAAAAAAAUAAAAUUGUGCAUUUCCUCCUACUAUUUUUAGACUUCAUGUCUACUUCGUUGCAAUGAUACAUGCCUUCUACUUUUUGGAAUUAAAGAACAAUUAUUCUACCUUUAUUUGCUAGCUUUUGAUUGGUCACUAACAAAUUUUAUCUACACCUUACUAUUGUUUAUUUUCUUUCCCUUGCUGACAGGCUGGUGCCAACGAUACUGAUCUUCAGCGUGAAAAUACACAGCUCAAAAAUAAAAUUUUACUGUUAAUGAGUCAAGUAAAUGACCAAAACAGUUUGGAUAAACUCCAGCUUCAAGAGAAGAAUGCACAACUAGAACAUGACAAGAGUUCGCUUGAAGUGAUAGUUCAAGGAUUAUGUGAGAUGAUCAACAAUGAGAAGGGCCAUGAAGAGACCGUGCAUCUAGAGUAAGUAUUGAAGAGUUUAUAACAAGAUCAAUAAAUUAACAAUGCUUGUGUGCAUACACUCAGAUUUAGGCAGUUUAUGAAUGAAAAAAAUAUUAUUUAUUAAACUUGUUUAUCAAGAUUAAGUGUAUUGAAGUUAGUUCAAUGAAUAAUCAUCCAUAUUAGAAAUACUAUGAAUCUAGAAAUACUAUGAAUUUAGUAGUAUUAUCAAUCUAAAGUAAGUAUUGAAGAGUCUAAUAUUAAUUAAGUGCUUUGAAGAUUGUAAAAGACAUUUUAUAAUGUCAAUAUAUAUUGUAUGAAUUUGAUAAUGAAAGAUGUGAGAGUAUCAUUGUUUAGUGCAUUGUAUUCCACCAAAUUGUGCGAGUAGUGAUCCCUCUCUAUUUUCUCAUUGUUUUUCCAACAAAUUGGUAUCAGAGCUUGAGAGUAGAUACGUCUUCCAGCAACAACAAUUCUCAAUUUCAUAUUCCCUGUCUUACCAAACAAAACUAUGUGGUGUAUUCAAUACAAGACACUACUAAGAUCACAAGAGUUAUGGGAGUUAGUUGAAGAUGAUUAUACUGAACCGGAAUCAACAAGAGUAGAGGCAACAACAAGUAAUGCAGAAAGACAAACAUUGAGAGAAUCAAGAAAGAAGGAUAAUAAGGUGUUAUUCACCAUUUAUCAAGGACUUGAUGAAGAAACUCUUGAGAUGGUGGUACCAACAAAGACGUCAAAGCGGGCAUGGGAAAUGCUUAAGAAGACUUAUAGUGGAGUUGAAAAGAUAAAAAGGGUACAGUUGUAAGCAUUGAGAGGAGACUUUGAGAAGUUGAGUAAAGAAAGUAAUGAGACAGUUUCAUAUUACUUCACAAAAGUAAUCUAUAUGGUUCACCAGAUUAGAAGGAAUGGUGAAAAUAUUGAUGAUGUUCGUGUGAUGGAGAAAAUUGUGAGGUCCCGGGAUUCAAAGUUUGAUCAUGUGGUUGUAGCAAUUGAAGAAUCAAAUAAUUUGGAAGAUCUGACAGUAGAAGAAUUAAUGGGAUCUCUACAAGCCCAUGGGCAAAAAAUUGAUAGAAGAGGAGAAGGAAGAUCUCUUGAACAAGCAUUGCAGACAAAGUUAACUGUGAAGAAUGUUAAUGAAUCUGGCAGAGGGGCAUUUCAAAGAGGAAGGUUCAUUCAUUGAAAAGGAAGAGGAGGAAGAUCAUUUAGAAAUCAAGAGUCUUAUGGAGCACGAAAUCAAAAUUUUAAUUUCAAAGGCCGUGGAAGAAGCAGAGGAAUAAGUCAUGGAGGAUAUUCAAAUUAGAGGAAUAAUCAUGCAAACAUGCAAUGUUAUAAUUGUAAAGAGUAUGGUCAUUUUGCUUCAGAUUGUUCAUAACACAAAUUUGAAGACAAGAAUGUCAACUUUGCUGUGAAAGAAAUUGAUUAUGAAGAGCCUGCAUUAUUGUUGGCAUGUGGAAAAUUUGAUGGCAUCAACUCCAGCACCUGGUAGCUGGAUACAUGAACAUCAAAUCAUAUAUGUGGUAUGAAGGAAGCAUUUGUUGAUAUCGAUGAAAGUUAUAAAAGUAACAUUACCUUUGGAGAUCUUUCUCAAAGACUAGUUGAAGGAAGAGGCAAAAUUCUUAUUGAAAUUAAGAAUGGUGAGCAGAAGUUCAUAUCAAAAGUUUUUUAUGUUCCAGACAUGAAGAACAAUAUUCUGAGUUUGGGACAGUUUUUGGAGAAAGGCUUUGAAUUGCAGAUGAAAGAUAAGAAUCAAAGGAUUUUUGACGAGUUUGGAGCUGCAAUUGCUUCAGUUAAAAUGACUAGAAAGAGGAUGUUCUCUCUAGAUCUGAGCAUAUAUCUGUCAAAAUGUUUGAAGAUAGAAAUCUCUAACAUGAUGAAUUUGUGGCAUCUGCGAUAUGGACAUUUGAACUGUGGAUCACUUAUGCCGAUGAAGAAAAGAAAAAUGGUUCUUAGAAUACCAAAGUUAGAGCACACAAGAAAAAUGUGUGAAGUGUGUGUAAUGGGAAAGCAGCACAGAAAGCCAUUCCCAAAGAAAAGCUCAAGAGCAUCUCAGACUCUCGACUUGGUGUAUUCAGAUGUGUGUGAUCCUAUUUUGCCUACUUCAAUAGGAGGAAACAGGUAUUUUCUUACUUUUACUGAUGAUUUUAGUGGAAAUACAUGUGUAUAUGUGUUAAAAGAAAAGAAAGAAGGGCUAAACAAAUUUAAGGAGUUUAAAAAUUUAGUAGAAAAACAAAGUGAGUGUAAGCUAAAAUGCUUAAGAACAAAUAGGGGAUGAAAGUAUAUUUCUUGUGAUUUUGAUGAUUAUUGUAGGGAAAAUGAUAUUGUUUAUCAAUUCACAAUGCUACAGACUCCACAAUAGAAUGGAGUAUCAGAGAGAAAAAAACAGAACUAUUAUGACCAUGGUUAAAUGUAUGCUAAAAGAAAAAAAUUGUCCAAAAAUGUUUUGGGGAGAUGCAGUUGUAUGUGCUAUGUAUUUGUUGAACAGAUUUACAACAAAAAGAUUUCAGAAGAUCACACUAGAAGAAGCAUGGAUCAUGAAGUAACCAAGAGUUGAUCAUUUGAGAAUUUUUGGUAGUGUUGCUUAUGCCAAAAUUCAAGAGGAAAGAAGAACUAAACUUGAAGAUAAAAGUCAGAAAUGCAUACUGCUGGGAUAUGGCACAUGGUUACAAAUUGUACAAUCUGAUGGCAAAGAAGAUGAUCAUGUCAAGAGAUGUGAAGUUUGAUGAAGAGCAAUGAUGGAGCUAGAAUUCUGAAGGUCAACCACAUAAACUAAUUGUAGAUGAAGAAUAGAUUCAGAAAGAUGAAUGAGAAAUCAUGUUAGCUCCAUCCCCAUCAACUAACAGUCUUGUUGGUCCUUCAAGCUAAACAACAAGAAAAACAAAUAGCAUACAAGAGAUUUAUGAUGCAACGGAAAGAAUCAAUCUUGAUGAUGUUAAUAUGCUUUGCUUGUUUUCAGGAAAUGAUCCUAUUACAUUUGAAGAAGCAUAUCAAGAAGAAAGAUGGAAGAAAGCAAUGAAUGAGGAGAUCAAUUCCAUAAAAAAAAUAAUAAUACAUGGGAAUUGACAACAUUUCUCGAAGGACACAAUCCAAUAGGAGAAAAGCAAAAUGGUUCUUGGAAUGUCAAAGUUAGAGCACACAAGAAAAAUGUGUGAAGUGUGUGCAAUGGGAAAGCAACAUAGAAAGCCAUUCCCAAAAAAGAGCUCAAGAGCAUCUCAGACUCUUGACUUGGUGUAUUCAGAUGUGUGUGGUCCAAUUUCACCUACUUUAAUAGGAGGAAGCAGGUAUUUUCUCACUUUUACUGAUGAUUUUAGUGGAAAUACAUGUGUAUAUGUUUUAAAAGAAAAGAAAGAAGGGUUGAGCAAAUUUAAAGAGUUUAAAAAUUUAGUAGAAAAACAAAGUGAGUGUAAGCUAAAAUGCUUAAGAACAAAUAGGUGAGGAGAGUGUAUUUCUUGUGAUUUUGAUGAUUAUUGUAAGGAAAAUGGUAUUGUUCAUCACCUCACAAUGCCACAGACUCCACAACAGAAUGAAAUAUCAGAAAGAAAAAAUAGAAUUAUUAUGAACAUGGUUACAUGUAUGCUAAAAGAAAAAAAAUUGUCUAAAAGAGUUUUUGGGAGAUGUAGUUGUAUGUGCUAUGUAUUUGUUGAACAGAUUUACAACAAAAAGAUUUCAGAAGAUCACACAAAAAGAAGCAUGGAGCAUGAAGAAACCAAGAGGUGAUCAUUUGAGAAUUUUUGGUAGUGUUGCUUAUGCCAAAAUUCAAGAGGAAAGAAGAACUAAACUUGAAGAUAAAAGUUAGAAAUGCAUACUACUGGGAUAUGAAGAAAACUUGCAUGAUUACAAAUUGUACAAUCCGAUGACAAAGAAGGUGAUCAUGUCAAGAGAUGUGAAGUUUGAUGAAGAGCAAGGAUGGAGCUGGAAUUCUGAAGAUCAGCGACAUAAACUAAUUGUAGAUGAAGAAUAGAUUUAGAAAGAUGAAUGAGAAAUCAUGUUAGCUCCAUCUCCAUCAACUAACAGUCUUCCUGGUCCUUCAGCUCAACAACAAGAAAGACAGAGCAUACAAGAGAUUUAUGAUGUAACAGAAAGAAUCAAUCUUGAUGAUGUUAAUAUGCUUUGCUUGUUUUCAGGAAAUGAUCCUAUUACAUUUGAAGAAGUAUAUCAAGAAGACAGAUGGAAGAAAUCAAUGAAGGAGGAGAUCAAUUCCAUCAUAAAAAAUAAUACAUGGGAAUUGACAACAUUUCCCGAAGGACACAAUGCAAUGGGAGUAAAAUGGAUCUUCAAGACAAAGAGGAAUGCGUAAGGAGAAAUUGAAAAACAUAAAGCCAGAUUAGUAGCGAAGGGGUACAAGCAACAAUAUGGAGUUGAUUAUGAAGAUGUUUUUGUUCCAGUAGCAAGAAUGGAAAUAGUAAGAUUGAUGAUUUCCCUGGCAGCUUAGAAAAGAUGGAAGAUGUUUUAGAUGGAUGUAAAGUCAACAUUCUUGAAUGACAACCUUGAAGAGGUAGUGUAUUUAGAACAACUAGUUGGCUUUGUGGUAAAAGGAGAAGAAUAGAAGGUUUGCAGAUUGAAGAAAGCUUUUUAUGGGCUUAAACAAGCACCAAGAGCAUGGAACUCCAUGAUUGAUGGCUAUCUUGGAUUCACAAGAUGCCCUUAAAAGCAUGCAUUAUAUGUGAAGAAAAGUUUACAAAGCAGAGUAAUGUUUGUUUGUUUAUAUGUUGAUGAUAUACUUUUCACAGGGGAUGAUUCAACUAUGAUUCAAGAUUUCAAGCAAUCUAUGGUGAAGGAAUUUGAAAUGACGGACUUAGGUCUUAUGGUCUAUUUUCUGGGAUUAAAGGUGAAGCAGUACAAUGAUGGAAUAUUCAUUUAACAAGCCAAGUAUGCAGCAGAAGUUUUGAAGAAAUUUGCUAUGAAAGAUUGUUGUCCAACAGACAAUCUAGUUGAAUAAGGAACCAAGUUAACUAAAGAAGGAGAAAGAGAUUUAGUUAAUCCUACAUACUACAAAAGUAUUGUGGGUUGCUUGCGUUAUUUAACAUUUACCAGACCAGAUACUAUGUAUGUAGUUGGUUUGAUUAGCAGAUAUAUGGAGAGGCCGAGAAGUUCACAUUUGAAGAUAACAAAGAGGAUCCUCUGUUUUGUUGAAGGAACUGCAAGCUAUGGAUUAUUUUAUUCAUCUUCGCAGAAUUUUGAAAUUACAGGUUACAAUGACAGUGACUAGGUAGGAAGCUUGGAAGAUAGAAAAAGCACAAAUGAAUUUAUAUUUUUUAUGGGAGAAACAACUUUCACGUGGACAUCAAAGAAACAAUCUAUUGCGCAUUAUCCACAUGUGAAGCAGAAUACAUUGCUGCUGCAUCAUGUGUGUGUCAUGCAAUAUGGCUAAGGAAACUGAUGGAAGAUUUGCAGCAGAAACAGAGCGAGGCUACACAAAUCUUUGUUGAUAACAAGUCUACUAUAGCACUUGCAAAGAAUCUAGUUCUUCAUGAAUGUUCAAAACAUAUUGAUACUCAAUUUCACUUCAUCAGAGAGCACAUAACAUAAGGCGAAGUGGAGUUAGUUCAUUUCAAAACUCAUGAACAAAUUGUAGACAUUCUUACAAAGCCAUUGAAGACUGAUGUGUUCUAUUAUUUGAAGAAGAAUCUUGGAAUCAUGAAGAUGGACGGAACAAGUUUAAGAGGGGAGAAUGUUAGUUAUUAAACUUCUUUAUCAAGAUUAAGUGUAUUGAAGUUAGUUCAAUGAAUAAUCAUCCACAUUAAAAAUACUAUCAAUCUAGUAGUACUAUGAAUCUAGAGUAAGUAUUGAAGAGUUUAAUAUUAAUAAAGUACUUUGAAGAUUGUAAAGGAUAUUUUAUAAUGUCUAUAUAUACAUAUACAUAUAUACAUAUAUAUAUAUAUAUGGAUUUGAUAAAAAAAAGAUGUGAGAGCACCAUUGUUUGGUGUAUUGUAUUCCACCAAAUUGUGUGAGUAGUGAUCCUUUAUUUGUUCUGUCAUUCUUUUUCCAACACAAUAUGCUUUUCAUGUGAAGGGGAAAAUUACAAAAACCAACCUUCAGUUGAAGCAUACUUUGCAUCUUCAUAUUAAUUUUUUUUCACUUUGUAUCCUUUUUUUAUAUUUUUGAACUGUUUUAACCCAACCAAUACUUUGCAAUCAUUGCAAGUUGUGAUUCAAAGAAAUGCCGCUAGAUAGGUUAAAAUGUUUAUUCAAUGAUUUGAAAAACUUUUUAUCUCUAGUUGUAGCCUCAUAGUUAAGAAGGUUUGCUUAAUUAUUUGACUUUUUACAUUUCAAACCUUAGAACAAAUAAAAAAAAUGUUUAUCUACAAGAUAUUUUUAUGGCAUUGUGUGACCGCCAUCAUUGAGUAAACACUCAGCUCAUAGUUGGACGUUUCACGAAUAUGAACCCCGACUGAAAGUCAUGAGGCAGACUGCUACUCCCCUCCUAAUCUAGAAUUGGGCUUAUUUACAAAUUAAAAUGCAUGUUAAAGCAGUAAAAAUGCAAGCUAAAAUAAAAAACCAAUAAAAAAGCAAACAAUCAAACAAGCAAAGCUUAGUUCGACCAGACUAGGUGCUCCCCAGUGGAGUCACCAUCCUGUCGCGAGGGCGUGCCGAUGCGAUGUCGUUUGGUGACCGCGGAGGCGCUUUGUUGUGCCUCAUGUGUGAGGUUUUGUGUGUUGGGAAAGGUUUUGGAUUUAGUCAUAAAAUUAUGAUUAAUUUUUAGAGUCGCCACCUAGUAUUAUGGUUACUAGGAACCUCUGGUCUACAAGAGUCUAGGUAAGGGACUGGUUGUGCAAAGGAAAAGACGCAUCACCCCCAGUGCUCCCUACCUAAGAUAAGCUGCAUUGUUGUUUGAUUGUUAUUUUUUUUAUUAAGGCUCAAGGUAGAUCUCUCUUUACGAGAAAGUCUCUAUCUUAUUGGGUUAAAUCCUAACCGUUCUAAAGUCUGAAUUUUAGCAUCGCAUCUAUUUACAUCUUGUAUCUUUAAUUCCUGAGGGUGUACUUUAUCAUGUAAUUUUACACCCUACAAAUAUUAAAGUCUACAACUGGACCCUAAAAAAGGAAAUUUUUUUUUGAUAUUUUGGCCAAACCUUAAUGGAUGAUCGUAAACUGCUUACGAUAUCCAGUUUUUUGGAUGUUCAAAACAUGAGAAAGAUGUGAUUUCUUCUCUGUUUUUUUUUUCUUUAUGAAAAUAUGCUUUGAAAUUUUUUAGGAUUUGGUCGUAUGCAUGAAAACAAUUUUUUUUUUUGAAAAUAUUUCGGAGAAAAACCAGGUAUUUUAAUAUUGGAUUUGUAUCUUACAGUGCAAGUAUGCAAUCCAAUAUUGAACAAAAUUGGUAGAAAAACAUUUGAGAAAAUCAUAAUUUUUUUUAGAAGGAUUUUUGAUUUUUUUUUAAAAUUUAUUGUUAAGUAAUUAAAUAUUAUCAAAGCAUGUGGGUUGGGCCCUAACACAGGUCCAUAAACAAGUGGGCUGAUACUGGUCCAACAUAUCCUUCUUUCUGUAUUUUGGGGACGGGCUGGGCCAAGACAGUCCCAGCCCAAAGCAUCUUAGUCACUAGCACAACAGUGUAAAGUGAAUUAUAAUUCACAUGCAGCUAUAAUAGAGAAGGGAGGAAGAAGAAGAAGAAGAAGAAGAAGAGAGAAGGGCAGCUUACCUGGCGUUGAGGGAGCUGACAGCCUGACUAGUGGCGCAUGCUGUUACUGGAGGUGGUGAGGCCGACGACCGGCUGUUGACGCAGCUGGAAGAAGAAGAAGAAGAUGCUAGUAAAGGUGAAGGGAAGCUCACGGUUGGAACUGUUGGAGCGGUUGAGGAAAGAGUUGUUGUCCUGGCGACCUUUAGGAAAGGCAAAAGCUUCUGGGCAAGGUGGUUGCUGCUCCUGCUCCUGCUCUUAGGGCCGCGGUGGCUACUUGAGGUGGAGAUGAUGGUGAGAAGACAGGUGAUGGUGGUGGCUGAAGGCCACGGCAAAGAGAGAAAGAAGAGAAAGGGAUGGUUGCAGGACAACUGAGUAGGGAAGGCUGGUUUUUGACCAACUUUGCGUUCGAUUUUCUUCUUCCUCAGGUCAUCAAUGGAGCGUAUAUUUAUAGGCGGUGGAAGAGGGUAAUCUCAUCUGCACUGGGAUAAAAUUUCAGCCCUUGAUUUAGUUGGGAACGAUCCCAACCGUUGGUUCAAAGUAGCCUCCUUGAGUUGUCAAAUCUGCAGGAAAAAGGCUGCCCAAGUUGACCUCUUCAUGUCGUCGCUGGCAUCGCUGUGCUAUCAUUCAUCCUGAAACGCUCACAUGGGAUUGUAGAGGAACUGUAGGGGAUCCAUUUCAUGCAAGUUUUGUUCGAUUUAAUGGAGAAAUCAAGCAUUUAAUGCUCUAACGCUGUUUCUUUCGGGUAAAACGGGGAAGACAAUGAAUCAUGACCAGACGAUGCGUCGUCUGGUCCUUUUUUUUUAAAACGACGCCAUUUUGGGUUUGAAUUAGGGAUUUUAACUGAAUGUCAAUUUAGUCCUCCAGUUUUUCAAUUGAUUUCAAUUGAACCUCCUAAUUGACCCUUAACUUUUGAUUUAAUGCAAUUAAGCCGCUGAUGAACUUCAAUUUCACCCCUUGGUUUUUGUCAAGUAAGCUCCUUAAUUUUGGCACCUUUUACAUAUUGGUCCUUGGCUACGAAUUUUUUCAAUUUAGCCCCUAAUUGACCCAAAAACUUUAAUUUUCUUGCAAUUUGGCCCCUAAUUUCAAUCAAUUAACUUGGUAAAAAUUUAAUUUGGUCUCUUAAAAUUCUAAUAUUCUCAAUUAAGCUCAAAUUAGGCUCCCAAACUUAAUUUUUCACCAAUUAAGCCUCAAAUAAAAUUAAUUUGACCCAUUUAAUGUAUAAGUAAGUUAUUGCACUUAAUUAAAUCAUUUAAUUAGACCCAAAUUAAUUCUUAAACAUAAUUAAAAUUUAAUUUGCCCAUGAUUAAAUCAAAUUGGCCUAUUCAAAAUUUAAUUAUGUCAUUGGACUUAAUUUUUAUGCAAAUCCACCAAAUAAUAAUUUAAUUUGAUCUUGAAUUUGCAUUUUUCUCCAUUUUUGGGUGUAAUGGGGUAUAAUUAGGUCUUGAAUUUUCUCCAAAAAUUACAGCUUGAUUUUUUCUAUUUUUGUAGCCCUCCUUGAUCUGCUUUCUUCACAUUGCCAACCUUUAUUUUGAAAAAAAAAAAGAUUUUUGGGGAAUAACCUAAAAUUGGGUUAUGACAAUUUUCAUGCAUACAACCAAGUCUAUAAAAAAUAAAAGAAAAAAAGUCAUAUUGUAUUUUCAUAGAACAAAGAAAAUUUGAAAAAUAUGUAUUAGCAUGCAUUUUGGCUUUAAUAACCAGUUUAUUAAAGUCACGAGAAAUAGACCAAUAUUUCAAAAAUUUCAAAAAAAUUAUUUUGUUGUCUUUUAGUAUUUAGGGUUAUGACCUUAUACGUAAGACGUAUCCUGACUAUUAAAAUUUUUUUGUUGACGUUAGAACGAUUAGGUUUUACCCAAUAAGAUAAGGAUUUCUUUACCGAUGAGGACUUUUCUUAAACAAUAGAUGGACCAAUAAUUAGAAAACACAACAAGACAUUAGGUUUCAUCAAACAAUAAAACAAUGCAUCAUACCUUAGGUUAGGCGUAUUUGGGACGCUAAUACCUUCCAUUUACAUAACCAGUCCCCGUACCUGAUCUCUAAGACCUGUUAGGGUUCAUAGUGACCAAAAUACUAGGUGGCGACUCCCAUUCUAUUUUUUCCCCAGAUAAAAAACAAGAAUCCCUUAUCUCCCUAUUUUUCUUGAUUUUUCUCAUGAUACCAACACCUAGGAUUUAAGAGUGGAUGUUUUUGCGAGACGCCACAUAUGUGCAACACAAUGGCGACUCCAUUGGGGAUCUUAUGGACCAAGAUUUGUUUUUGUCUAAUAAUUGUGUUUUGUUUGGUUUGUGUGUUUUAUGUUAAUAAGCUUAUUUAUUUAUUUAUUUUUACAUGUUUGAAUUUCUGUACAUUUAUGUUCAUGCAUUGUAUAGAAUUGCUUCAUGGUGAGAAUUAGCGAUUUACCCUAUGACUAUUGGUCAGGGUUCAGAACUGUAAAACACCCAACCCAUAUCCGAGUGCCUACUUGGUAAUGGUAGGCAUACGUGCCUUAACUGUUCCUUGCAACGCCCACACACUAUCUUUACGAAGAUUGUCACUACGCAGAUAUGAGAUCUUUUUUUAGACUAGAUAGGCAACCUACCCUUUGUCUCACUUAAUGAACAAAACUUGUCCUUAGGUUGUGUGUUUUACCUUUUGUUUUGCAUUAAAGCAAACCCUUCCUAAAGCAUCUUGAAAUCAUGACUUGUGGUUCACACAAUGCUCGUUACUCAAGAAAUUUCUGCUAUGGAGUAAAAAUCAAAAUUCUUGUAUCAUCAUGUAAUUAGUGCUUAAAAGUGCAUUUUUAUCAAGGUUUUAUAUCAUUAUUUUGCACUUGAAGUAUCAUAACUCCUUAACUAAAGCAUGUUUUAUAAUAACAUAUCUAAUAAUAUAAGAUACCUUUAAUUUAUGGUAAAUGUUCAUCUUAAAUAUAGACCUAUCACAUAAAUGAAAGGAUUGAUUGAUGAGUUUAAGUACUGAAACUAAAAGGACAAAGAGAGGGCCAAACUUAGAAAAGAGAUGCUGGUUCAGUCUAAACUGGAACACUGUUCGGUAAUUGGGUCAUAUUUAGAGUUGUAGAUCUUAUAUUUAGGUCUGCUUUAUAUGGAUGGAAAGAUAAGACAUAAGCCUAAAACUUUCAUGUGGAGUCCAAGAUUUAAAAAGGCUGUUUUCAAGUCCAAAUUAUAGCAACAACGGAGAAGUCCGAAUCUGUCUUGCAGCCCAGACACUGUUCAAUGUUCAACCCAUAUCUGAAGUUCUACAAGUCUAAAUGACCUUAAUUUUUUUUCCUAGAAAGAUGAGACAAUUUUCUAGAACUUUCAUGAGUACAUAUGGUUUAAAUUCGGAUGCUAUCAAUGACGUUUUGUUCAGAUAAGAAGAUAAGGAUUGUCACCAAGUCAAGAUGUGGCCACCCACUAAACAAUUAGUCAUCAAAUCAAUAGUUCCAAGUUUUGGCCUAUAAAAGGAGGUAUUUUCCAUGCAUUUAGGCAUCUUGGUUGUUCAGAUUAAGAUUGUUGUUACCUAAUUUUUUGACCCACCUUUUUGAUAAAAUUUUCAAAAAAUCCAAAAAUAGCGAAAAACAACAAAAAUCCAAAAAAUAUGUUUUUAAUAUAUUUGCAUCGUUUUUAGCAUUUUCAACGUCGUCUAAAAAAGAAUUUAAAAUUUUAAAGGUUUUUGGAACGCGUUCGACUUUUCACGUGUCAUUUUUAAAAUCAUUGAUUUUUCUCAUUGAAUCGACGUUGAUAUUGCUCGUUUUCAAAAAAUACAAAAAAAUUAAGAAAAAUCAAAAUUUUACAAAAAAGGAAAGUUGAGGGACCAAUUUGGAGUCCCUGACAACAUUUUAUCUAUAAAUAUAGGUUCAAAACUGAAAAGAAAGGAGGGGGGGGGGAAUUUUGAGAUUUAAAGGAGAGGCAACACAAAAACCCUAAAAGCUUAGCUUUUUUGUCUCCUCAGCCGCCAAGCCAGCCCCUCCCCAGCCCCGUCAUCAGAUUUUUCCCUUCUUCUCGCCAGCCAAGGGCGGAGCCUCAGCCCUUGCAUAGCCACCCUCAUCCCAUCUCCACUGUGAUCUCCCAAAACCAACAACCAAGACAACCCCUCAUCUCUCAGUCGCCCCCAUCUCCCCCAUAGACCAGCCACCUAAAGACUCCACACGCACCAGACCUUCUCCCUCCCAGCGGUGCUUCUCUCAGCCACCGAGAACGCCACCUUCCAGCCCACAGCUGACCGAUCUUCCCUCUUUAACCAGCGUAGGCCACGGUCUCCCUCAUCAGCAUAGAUGCGGCAAAGCUUCCUUUAUCGGCGCAGAUCGGCCUCCAGCAGCAAUUUCUUUAUCCUCUCUCGCCGGCCGCCUCUCCAUCAUCUCCGAUCUCUUAAUCUCCAUCAACACCGAAGCUUCCCCGCAACAGCUCUGUCCUCCAGCACUCCUUCCUCAGCUACCAGAGCUGCCGCUUAAAGAAGAAGGAAAGAACAUGCAAGAACAGCUCCGCCAGCCACUUAAAGCGUAGGAGAAGACGACGAGAAAACCCAUAGAAGAGCCGAUCGGCAGAUCUAAAGGAGAAGAGGGGCAGAUCUGAAAACCAUGAAAGAAGAUUAAAGCAGUUGCUUGUUGCGUUUUCUGUUGUUUUGCAGGUCAUGGUUGUCACCGCCGGCAAGGAAAAGAAGAGGGGAAGAAGUCGAUCCAGACCCCCCUGUUGCUGGGUUUUUUUUAUGUGGCGGCGCGUGAACCCACGCGUCGCCAGUGGUGGUGGCGCGUGGAGAAGAUGCGCUGCCACUAUUCCCGCGCCCAGAAACCAUGCAGAACACUGUUCCGGCUGCAGAAGGCUAUCUCUGUAAUUUCAGAUUGUUUUGGGGGUUAAUUUUUGUAAUUGUAAAAUUGUUUAAUGUUUUUUUUAGUUAGUUUUUUAUAAUUUGAAAUGUGGAUGUAAAGAAAAAAAAGAGAAAAAGAAAAGAAAAGAAAAGGAAAAAGAAAAAAAAUAGUAAAGAAAUGUCUGUGUUUGUAUAUUUUUUUAUGUAUGUUAUUGAAUAAAAAAGAAAUAAUUUAAUUUAUUUAUAUGCACAAAUAUCUAAAGGACAGAUAAAAAUCAUGUUGUAUUUUCCAUAAAAUGUAGAACAUGUAUCUACAUAUAGUCUGGAAAAGUAAUAACUGAUUUAUCAAAGCCUUAGAAUUGGGCUAAAAUUUUAUUUUUUAAAAUAUCAAGUCCACGAAGCUUGAAAGUGAAUGUGGUGUUUUUUUUUUUUUUAUGAAUGUUUUUUUAUUAUGAUAAAAUUGCAAGAAUAAAGAAGAAUUUAAUAUUAUGAUUUUCUCACGGAUAAAGAAUCAUGAACUUACAUGUAAGUUGUAUUUUCUAAAAUUCGAUGAAAGAACAAAUUUUAAAACUUCUUUAACAAUCAAGUCCACAAAGCAGCUUACCUCAGGUAGGGUGCGUUAGGGGUGCUAAUACCUUCCCUAACCACAACCAGUCCCUUACCCGCGAUCUCUGACGAACCAGUACAUCAGGUUUCCUAGUAGCCUCAAUGAAUUACUAGGUGGGACUCCAAAAGAACAAAAUCAGAAAAAGACGAAAAAGUCGUCCGAUGCCGCGUGGAUUUUUCGACGUGCGACAGAAUGACGACUCCACUGGGGAAGGUAUUGUUUUCAACACUAUUGGACUAAGCUUUGUAUAUUUGAUGUGUUUAUGUUUUUGCAUUUUUGUCUUAUUUUAUUUUUGUUUUCUCCAUGCAUUUUGUAGAAUUGUCUCAUGCAUCACAGUGUAAUUUUUUAAAGCACACACAAGCUUCAGGUUAGGAGGGGGACUAGCAGCUUACCUUACGACUUUUAGUCAAGGUUUAAGUUUGUGUAAACCCUAACUCUUCGUUGAGUGCUUAGACUGGUAAUAGUUGGACACGUGCCAUCUCAUUGCCUACUAGCCCCUAUAUUGCCUUCAAGAGGGUGAUCACUGGGACAACGAGAGACCCUUUUUAGAGAUCAAGUAGUAAACCUACCUUUUAUCUCACUUAAAAAGAUUAGAACCUGCUUUUAGGAUGUAUGCUUCGUAUAUAUUGUUUUGCAUCCGAGCAAGCCCUUCUUGAAGUAUCUUGAAUUCAAGACUUGUGGGCGACACAAUGACCGUCGCUCAGAAAAUUUUCAUUGUAGAGUUUAUGCAAGAAUCAAGAUUCUUGUUUCAUCAUACAAGAGUUGCGACCAUAUGUCACCCCUCGAAGGGCGAGUUCGUCAUAUAGAUUACAUAUUCAUACAUUUAUCAUGCAUGUACCGGGUUGAAAGGUAGGUCCCCCGCACAAGCGGUGCUGCACGUGAUUGAAGAAAGAUGAUGGAAGUGAAGAAAGGUACCAGAUAGAGGCUCAUUAUCAGAUUAUGGUUGAGAGCAUCAAAGGUGAAGUAGCUGACUCAGCUCUACUCGAACAAGUGUUGAGCAUCAAAUGGAAAGAGAAUGUUUGAACAGUCUUCUGUGGGAACACUACUUGUUCACAUCCAAUUGAAGCUGUACCUGUCCUUUUCAGUCAUGAACAAUAGCAACAAUGCCUUUAGUCAUCAACUAAUGACAACUUUGGUUCUUGUCCAGUUGCACUGUUAAAUGUUCAUCGCCUCCACAUCAUCUAAUGGAACCAAACGACUACUAGCCUCAUGUACAUGGUGCACUAGUCUUCUUUAAAGUUACCCCAAUUAUGAGCUCAAUUCCAGUUCAGCAGCACAAGAUGUGAGUCUGAAAACCAUGAUUAGACAUUGAACUUCUACGUGGCAGAGAUCUCUCUGCAGGAAUCUGUUUGUGGAUAUGCAACUGGAAAAUUCAAGAAGGGAUGUAGUGGUUUCAGAUUGUCCAUAAUUGUUUCCUUCUAGUAUCGGUAUUAAAACACAAAAGUGGUUGUUUGUUGCACCGUCAGUGAGGAAUCAAAGAGGAAAUAGAAGAUGUUAUAGAUUCAUCGGGUUCUCUUUCAAUUUUGACAAAAUGUGAUUCCACACGCUUUUGUUUUUGUGCGCUGCCAAGAUUUACCUAGCUAUUGGGAGGUUCCAACAAUCCUUAAACCACAACAACAUUAAAAGAUUGACAUGAUGUUGUGAGAAUUGUUGAGGGAAUUGAACAAGUUAUGAAGAGAGGAAAGAUUAAAGGUUCUGCCAAGGAUCCAGAACAAUGAUGAGAGAUGAAUCAAAAGAAGACUCUGACGGUGGGAAACCUUAAUUCGGUUGGUUUAGCCAAGUCUCGUUGUACCAUUGACUACUCUAAUGUCUUUGCCAAAGAUAGACAUUCAUUUGCCAUAUGGUAUAAUCCAGACAAGAGAUGUGAUGUGAUGUUGGGGUCCUCGACCAUUUUAAUGGAAUAGUUGCAAGAAUUUCAAUUGAGCAGUUGCCAUAUGAGCUUAUUUACCAGUAGUUGCUAGAUUCCAGACUUUCACCUGACUCCGACAAAUCCCAUGCAACCACCGCUUGCUAGGUUGUAUAAUCCAGACAAGAGAUGUGAUGUCAUGGUGGGGUCCUCAACCAUUUCAAGUGAACAGUUGCAAGAAUUGUAAGAAUUGAGUCUGAAAGUUGGUGAGCAAGAGACAAGUGGAGUCGGUGAAGGAGGGUGUCAUUGGCUAUAUUGUCCCCCGAACAUCUUUAGAAUGACAUGUGAUCAAAAGUGCUUGGCAAAACAUAGAUAUUGCUAGAAAAGUUGAUUCAAGAAUGGUGAUGAACAGUCAAUCAUAUUGUUAUGGAAUUCUGUAUUUUAUUUUGGGAUCACAUCUCAUCCUUCAACGAAACCUGCCUUGCUUUUGUCUUUUUGUUGUUUUGAAAUCAACAGAUGUUUAGCAUUUUAUUCUGACAAAAUAUUUUGAUCAAACUCCAACAUGCGAUAAAGGUUAAUCAAUCCAGAAGAUUAAAAGUGUUUUGAUUACAUAAAUGACUCGAUACUUGAAAAUGACAUGAGGUGACUAAACAAUUUUAAACUCAUACCUCCUGAAACUGAACCACACAUCAUAUAACUAAGUUUUAGAAGUAUGCAUAAUGACAUGUAGUGGAUUCGGUAGUUAUGGACUCGUGAAUCAUGAUUCUUACAAGUCCCAAUCAUUACACUGGAUGGGGUCAAAAUUUAUCGGUUUUAACCGAUCUUGCUUGAAAUGAUAAAAUGCCAUCUUUGAUAUCCCUUCACUUUCUAAAGAUUAUAUCCCUUGUAGUCCCACUUUGAGCUGGAUAGAAUAUUCUUUUCAUAAAAACCCUGACUAGGAUCACACCCCAUACUGGGGGCAGAUGAGAGAUAUGUUGGAGUCCAUAGGUCCCCUUGCUUUAAUAGAGUUCUCCUUUUCUCAAAAGCUGGAGUCUCUGAUAGUAAGCUUUAAUGGCUCUUUUCGCUCUUGCUUACUCGAGUCAUAUCUUGUGAUCUUGACCACUUGGAAGGACUUGAUAUCAUCAUACUUCUUUGUUCUCCGCCUCUUUUAUCUCAAGGGUUGCCAAUUUUGCCCAAUAGUUUCUUCAAAAGGGAAUCAUGGAGCCAGCUCUACCAGAUGUUUUUUGAUUGCCCCCUAGCUUGAUCAUGCCCCCAAGUAUUCAAUUCGAGUUUGGGGAUGAGGCUAUGUGAAGGAAGGUUUGACAAGGAGUUGUUUUCAUGCAGAAUUUUUGGAAUUUCAAAGCUAUUCCAGACACAGAAAUCAUUUUGACAUCGAUUCAAAGCAAACUCAUUCUAAAGAAAUUCAAGUGAUUCCUAUGGAGAGGUUUUCAGAAGUGAUGAAAACUUUUUGUUUUGCUUUUGGUGAACAUGUGAAAAACAUGAAGUGACAUCUGGUUGGUCACAAAAGGAUUAAAUUUCAAAGUGACAUCUAGUUGGUCACAAAAGGUUUAAAUUUCAAAGUGACAUCUGAUUGGUCACAAAAGGUUUAAAUUUCAAUUUGAGGGUUAUUGAGAACCGUUGGUGAAAAUGUGAAGAAACACGAAGUGACAUCUAGUUGGUCACAAAAGUUUUAAAUUUCAAUUUGAGGGUUAUUGAGAACCGUUUUCAAAGCAUUUAUUUUAUUUGCAUGAAUAAUGAUUUUAUUUCGCAUGAGAAAGCACUGCCUACCGAUCCAGAUUGCUUGCCUUUGAUCAGAAAGGGCUUCAUUAGGCAUGUAAUGUAGGCUUGGGCUAUUGGCUAUGAAGAAAAUGAUAUUUGUAGGCUCAAAAGGUGUUUAAGGGACUUUAAGACUAAAGAUCACUAGUGCUUAUAUCCCAAACUCUUUUGUUCAUACAUUUCUGGACCUUGGAAUUGAUUUGUAAAAUGGUCCACGGUGCCCCCCAGUGUUGGGCUUGGGCUCUUUCUCUUUGUUUUUGUUUCUUCAUUUGAUUUUGAGCAUCAUUGCAUUAGCUUUGUUUUGCUCAAAAUUUUUGGAUCCUUUGGAUUUUUCUUCAUGCCCCCUAGUUUUGUACGGGCACCUUUGAUGAUUGAAAAAUUUCUUUUAUGCCCUCCAGUAUUAUUUGGGCACUUUCAUUGUUGAAGACUUUUUCAUGCCCUCAAGAGUUAUUUGGGCACUUUCAAUCAUUACGGAUUAUUUACACUUGCCCCCCAGUGUAGGGUGUGAUCCUAGCCAAGGUUAUUUUUCAAGAAAAAUUUAUUAGGCUCAAAAGGGGACUGCAAAUGAUAUAUUUCAGCCUUGUGAAAGGAUUAUCAAAGAUGGCCUUUCUUCAUCUCAAAUGCAUGCAUUUAGGAUCGGUAAGUCUUGCUUUCAUGCGAGUAUGCAGAGUGAUUUCUCAUUAUUCAUGCAAAUAAAACCCAACUUUGGAGUCACUUCAUGGUGUUUUUUUUGGGUUUUCUAAGUGUAUGGUUACCUCUCUAAGGAAUCACCUGAAUUUCCAGAACUCGUUUGUUUCAGACAAACAUCAACAUGAUUUAUGUUUUUGUACUAAACUUUGAAUUCCCAAAAUCCUUAUGAAAACAUGUAUGAUCAUGCAUUGUUUUGGGAAGAAAAGGGAAACGCACCACAAGAUUUUGGGCACGAUGGUUUCAUGCUUAAAGGUUAUGCUCAAUGUGUUAUUUGCAUGAAACAACAAAAUGAAAGCAUGUGAUGAACACAGGAAAACACAUGAUCUUAUUAACAAGAAAGGCUCAAUGGACAGGGAAAGUCUUGUGGAAUUUUGAGCCAAAUUACCAACAAAAACUGGAAUAGGUUGAAACAAAAAAUCAAGUUUUUGGAGGCAUGAUCAAACAGAGGUAGUUAUUUUUGGCAGAACAAGAACAGGCUCCAUUCUGCAACAGUGAUGCAAUUCCCCUUCAAAUUGUGUUGAGGCUCUUGAUCAUGUAGGCCCCUAAUUUCUUUGGGUUGAGUCUUUGUUGGGGUUGAACAAAAAUAGUUGGCCGAUUGGAAGGACCUUCACCAGAGGCAUUUCUCAGUAUAUGCUCGAGUAAGCUAGUGAGGCGAGCCACACUUGCUUUCAGAGACUCUAACUCUUCUUGGAAAUUGGUGUCACAGUGAGCACGUUCUUUAUCUCCAAAGUUUUUUUCCACUCAAAAUUAGGUGUUGUAGACUCAUAGGGGACCUAUCUUUCAUCCGGGUGCAUGCAUGACAAAUGUAUGAACAUGAAGUCUAUAUGAUGAACUCGCCCUUCGAGGGGUAACAACAUGGUCGUAACUCUUGUAUGAUGGAACAAGAAUCAUGAUUUUUGCCCAAACUCUACAAUGAAAAUUUUCUGAGUGACGACCAUUGUGUCACCCAUAAAUCUUGAGUUCAAGAUGCUUCAAGAAGGGUUCGCCCUGAUGUAAAUAAAUGAUAGCACAUACAACCUAAGGACAAGUUCUAUUCAUUGUAUGAACAUGGGUAGGUUUUCUACCUGGUCUCACAAGGGUCUAUGAACUGCCCAGUGACGACCUCACGUGAAGGCAGUAUAGAGGUUUACAAGGAAUGGUUGGGGCAUCGUGUGACCGCCAUUACCGAGUAAACACUCAGCUCAUAGUUGGAUGUUUCACAAAUCUAAACCCCGACUGAAAGUCAUGAGGCAGACUGUUAUUCCCCACCUAACCUAAAAGCUUGUGUGUGCUUUUCAAAAUAAAUAAAAGUGAUGCAUGAAACAAUUCUAAAAUGCAUGGAUAAAAUAAAACAAGACAAAAAUGGAAAAAAUUAAACACAUCAAGUACACAAAGCUUAGUCCAAAAUUGUCAGAAACCAUACCUCCCCAGUGGAGUCGCCAUCCUGUCGCACGUCAGAAAAUCCCGCGCGCGGCAAUCGGUUGGCGAUUUAUGUCUCGUUUGUUGUAUUGCUUGAAUUGGUUCGUUAGGAGUCGCCACCUAGUAUUUAAUUGAGGGUACUAGGAAACCCUGAUUUACUGGUUAUGGUCAGAGAUUCGCGGGUAAGGGACUGAUUGUGGUUAGGGAAGGUAUUAGCACCCCUAACGCACCCUACCUGAGGUAAGCUGCUCCGUGGACUUGAUGUGUUAAAGAAGUUUUAAAAUUUUUGUCUUUUCAUCGGAUUUUAGAAAUACAACUUCCGUACAAGUUUGUACUUCUACACCGUGAUCCAAUCAAAAUAUUAAAUCCUUCUUUAUUCCUGCAAAUUUAUCAUAAAAAAUUCACAAACAAAAUACACGCACCACAUUCAAGCUUCAUGAGCUUGAUGUAAUUUUUAAAAUAAAAUUUUUAGCCCAAUUCUAAGACUUUGAUAAAUCAAUUAUUAAUUCCCAGAAUAUAUGUAAAAACAUGUUCUUACAUUUUCAUGAAAAAAUCUAAUAUGACUUUAUCUAUCCUUAGAUAUUUGUGCAUGUAAAAUUGUGCAUACAAAAUUAAACACUUGCUUCUUUUUGUCCAUUUUUAUUUUUAAAAUUCAAUGACAUAAAAUAUCUAAAAAAAGAACACUAACACACACACACUCUUUUUUAUUAUUAUUUUCUUUUUUUCUUUUACAUUCACAUUUACAAAAAUGCAAAUUCAAAAACUAAAUAAAAAUUACAUUAAAUAACUUAAAAUUUACAAAAUAGUCCCCCAAAGCUCCAGGAAUUGCAACGAAACUUCCUGGACCCGUAUGAACACUGGUGGCGCGUGGAUCCACGCGCCACCACUGGAUGACAGGGGAAGCAGGGCUGGCUUGUAAUCUUCUUCUCUCCCCCGUCGGCAAUGACCUGCAAAACACCAAGAAAACGCAACAGAACAAUUGAUUUUAGCUUUUGUUUUAGAUCUGUUUUUUUUUUCUGCCCGUUGCUUUUAGAUAUGUAAUCAAUUCGUUCUCUUUCUGGUGGCUGUUCUUUCGUUCUUCAGAUGGCGGAGUGUUGGGUGGCUCGCCGGGCGUUGCUGCGAGUUGCUGAAGAUGAGGUCUGUUGUUCGGCGUUGAUGGUCUGGAGGAGGAGACACUGCUGAGAGGGAGAUCGGUGAAGAAGAAGAGGGAAACGGAGUUGUGGUUGAUUCUCUGUAUCUGGCGAGAAGAAAAGGAAAUCUGACCUGGGAGGGGCUGUGCAAGGGCCCUGGCCGAGUGAGAAUCGAGUAUGGGGUUCAGCCGCUUUUAGCUUUUUGGCCGAGAGGAAGAUUAAGGAGACGGGGAGAGGGUUGUCUUGACUUCUCUGGUUUCGGCUUUGAGGAUGAGCGAGAAUGGGGAAAUGGUGAUGGCUUCGGGUGAGGAAAAGAAACCAACGGGGUUCCUGGUGGCGAGCUGGAGAGAAAAUGGUGAAUGGCCGCCUCUGUUUUUUCUCUUUUGUGGCCAAGGGUGGCCGGCUUAGGAGAGAUGGAGGGCAGGAGGAAGGCUGCCAGAGGAAGAAGAAAAAUCCAAAGGGAAGAGCCGGUUGUUUGUGGCUCUGGUGCUCUUUUGGCCAGGAGAGGGAGAGUUUGUUGAAAUGGGAAAAACCGGGGGGAACUUGAGUGACACGACCAAAAGCUUGAUGUCUUUUCCCAAGUGCAGGAGUGUCGAAGUAAUAAAUAGCCCGGCAAGACCGGGGUCGAACCACAGAGAGGUUAAUUGUAUAAAUUAUAAAUAACAAGACAACAACAACAACAACAACAAUAAUAAUAACAAUAAUAACUAUUAUUAUACUCAGUACAUGGCGUUGUUAUACCUGAGAAUGAUCUAAAGAUCGGGUCACAGGUUUCCAGCCUAUAUACUGAGUUUAUGAAAAGAUGAUAUAUAUAUUAUAUAAUAUAAACAGAAUGUAAAUAAUAAUAAUAAUAAUAAUAAUAAUGAAAGCAGAAGAUGAAGAAAUUAAUGAGAACUUUGAGAUGAAAGAUUAACGUAAGGAUUAAACAAUGAUAAAAACAAAUGUCAAGGUUAGAGGAUCCACUAAUGGUACUUCAAACAAGUAUAAUAUAAACUCUUAUUACUCAAUUGGAAACCACACAUAAAGGAGGUUCCAAUCAGAUUAUAAAUUGUUAACAUGAUUACAUUAAUUAUCUUAUUCGAAUAAAGCUAAUACUUGUAAAUGUUGGCAGGCAUUCAUAAUUAUAACUUAUGUUAACAACAAAUCAAGUUCCUUUCAUAGCUCAGGUGUCGGUUAAACCAUACAGUAUGGGCUAUGAAAGUGCCAAGUAUUUGUUGUACCAAGUGUUACACAACAUAAAUCUAGAUUAACCAUUUAACAAGCAAAGUAUUAAAGUGAACAAGAUAACAAAUAUAAAACAUGUUAGUAUCCAACGUUAAGGUCCAUGUUAAGUUUAUAUUAUACUUGUUCUUACACCAUUAGUGUACCCUUUUCACCUUGACAUAAUUAACUUAGCUGGAUAUAAUAAAAGAAAGAAACAUAAAUGAGCAAGACAAGAACAUAAAUGAGAAAGAAGUUAACUAGACAAAGGAAAGGAAAUGAAGUGCAUAAACUUGAUAUUAAUGAAAGCAAGACAUAAGCAAUACAAAGAGAGAAAGCAAGAGCAUGAUCUUGAUCUGAACACCAAGAUGCCUCAAUACAUGGUAAGUGCCUCCUUUUAUAGGCCAAAAUUUGGAACUAUUGAUUUGUUGACUAAUUGAUGAUUGGGUGGCCACAUCUUGACUAGAUAACAAUCCUUAUCUUCUUGUCUGAUCAAGACGUCAUUGCUAACAUCAUAAUUUGCCCAGAAUCCUCAAGAAUGUUCUAGGAAAUUGUCUCAGCUUUCCAACAAAAAAAAAGAUGAGGUCAUUUGGACUUCUAGAACUCAAGAUAUGGGCUGAACACUAAAUAGUGUUUGGGCUGUAGGACAGCUUCGGACUUCUUCGUUGUUCCUUCAAUUUGGACUUCAAAACGACCUUUUCAAAUCUUGGGCUCCUCAUGAAAGUUGUAGGCCUUUGUCUUACCUUUCCAUCCAUAUAAAGUGGACCUAAAUCCGAAAUCUAGAGCUUCAGAUAUGAUCCAAUUACCGAGCAAUGUUCCGGUUUGGACUGCACCGACAUCUCUUUUCUAAGUUUGGCCAUCUCUUUGUCCUUUAACUUUCAAUGCUUAAACUCAUCAAUCAAUCCUUUUAUUUAUGUGAUAGUCCUGCAUUUAAAAUGAGCAUUUACCAUAAAUUAAGGUAUCUUAUAAUAUCAAACUUGUUAUUAUAAAACAUGCUUUAGUUAAGGAGUUAUUGAUACUUUAAGUGCAAAAUGAUGAUAUAAAACCUUGAUAAACAUGCACUUUUAAGUACUAAUCAUUGAGCCUCUGGUUUUUUUUGGUUGAGAAGGUCACUGUGGGCAGCAACUCUGGGGAGUCAGCGGCUGUUUUGGGAGAGAAAAGUCCCAACCGGGUGGAGGAGGCCGUGCGUGGCUCCGGGUCGGAAAAAAUGAAAAAACACUAGGGGACGGCUGGCAUGAAAGGCAGAGUUUUUUAGGGUUAGGUUUCCUGCGUUAUUUCUUUCGAAAGUAUCAAAACUACCCCCCUACAAAAUGAACCCCCCCAUAACUUUGAGUUAAAAGCUGUUAUUUAUAGGCAAAACAUUUUUUCGGGCUUCUAAAUUGGUCCCUCAAUUUUUCUGUUCAAUUCACUUGGUAAAAAUUAAAUUUGGUCUUAAAAUUUCCAUCUUUUCAAUUCAGUCCAAAUUAAGCUCCCAAACUUAAUUUUUCACCAAUUAAGCCCCCAAAUUAAUUUGAUCCAUUUAAAGUAUAAUUAAGUCCUUGCACUUAAUUAAAUCCUUCAAUUGAACCUAAAUUAAUUCCUAAACAUAAUUAAAAUUUAAUUUGGCCCAUGAUUAAAUCAAAUUGGCCCAUUAAAAAUUUAAUUAUGUCAUUGAACUUAAUUUUUAUGCAAAUUCAUCCAAUAAUCAUUUAAUUUGACCUUCGAAUAUGCAUUUAAUUUGACCUUCGAUUUUUGCCUAUUUUUGCAGUCUUUUUUUAUCGGCUUUCUCCACAGUGCCAGCCUUUAUUCUAUUUUUUGAUUUUUUUAUUUUUAAAAAAGUGAAAUUUAGGGAAUAACCUAAAAUUGGGUUAUGACAGAAGUCCUCAACACUCCUUGAAAAGUUGAGCAGCUGGGGGCAAUACAGUGGACCUUGAAAAUGAAAAAUAAGCAGUAUUUAGAUCAUCUAUGAGGCAAUGAAAGACGAUUAAAUGAUGAAUCAAUGAACAGAAGACAAUGAUGUUCAAAGAAAGAUAAUCAAUGAACGAGCACAUUCAGAUCAUACUGGGGGCAAUGUCGUUCCAAAAUGGCCCAUGCUCUAGUGAAUCCUGUCAGCAAUGGCGAAACAAGGAUGUACCUGAAGGACACUUUCAUAUCAUCAUGGCUAGCGAUCGAUGAGGAUACAUGAAUGGAUGUAAUUGAAUGGCGAAAAGAUGCACACCACCAAGACUGACUGUGGAACAAUGCUGCAUUUGAAGGACAAUCUCAUAUUGUCAUUCUUUGAAAGAUGGUUAUUGACGGAUGUUAUCACACAACUACAUUGAAUGAUUGUUGGAAAGGCACCCACCUCAAAGACUGACUGUGGGACAACUUGUUUUGAAGCUAGAUUAGCGCUUCACCGCAUGAGUAUGAGUGAUAAAGGCAGCAUCAUUGAUGAGGCCGAGACAUUUCUUUUCAAAAAUCUGAUUAGAAGAGUUGAAGGGAAUCUAUUGAGAAGAACACUGAGCAUAGAACCAUGAGCCUUUGUACUGCAAGUUAUGAGAUGCAUGUCUGGAUGACUGGAUGAGUUCCAAGAAGGCUGAUGAUAACAUGUACUUGAAGAGUAUUGUUUCAACUAGAGGCAAGUUCAUGACUGAUUGACAAUUUUAAAUGGGCGUUGGCACGCACAACCAAUCAAAGGGAAAUUCUAGAGAGAAUCUAGGAGAUGGAUGAAGUGAGCUACAUCACACAUGGAAGCAUAGUCAAGCUUGAGAGGCAACGAGAGCAGUAAUCGUCAUGGACAACCCACUCUAGGUACUGCACUUGCAUCUGAGUGGAAGGCUAGCACUCAAAUGAACCAGUGCAUUGAAAGAAUGAAGAAAGCUUUGAGUAACAAACAAAGGCACCCUGUGAUGAUGGAACAUCGAAGAGGGGGGACCUAGAUUUCAAAUCAGGUAAGGAUGCAUGCAUGUCAUAUAACAUCAAAGCAUUGCAUAUAUUUUUGAUUUGUUGCAGAAAAAAAAUCCUCAAUGUAGUCUAGCAAGAUUGGGAAUAAAGAAAGAAAUGUUGAUUUGAAGAACAACAAAGAAUCAUUGUUUUGACCCUGGAACGGGAGGAAGAUAAGAUGAACCCUAACAUUAGGGAAAUCUCAAAGAAAUAGGAAGAUCAAUGAAGAAGAGUCUUCAAUUCAAACAAUAUCAUCUUGAAGAAGGAACAUAUUUUUUGGUUAAAAGAGAUUGUUAGAAGGAAUCUCAGGUUAACCACAACAUGAAGAUUUUAGCUUUGGUUGAAGGGAGUCGCCAGACGGGAUUCCAGGUUGACCGAGCUACACACAUACCUUGGUUAUGGUUAAAGGGGAUCGGCGAAGGGAUCUCAGUUUAACCUAACUGCAAAGGAUUUUGGUUUUGGUUAAAAGGGAUCGACGAAGGGAUCUCAGUUCAGUCUAACCAUACAGACCUUGGUUAUGGUUAAAGGUCUGGUUAAAGGGGAUCGGCGAAGGGAUCUCAGUUUAACUUAACUGCAAAGGAUUUUGGUUCUGAUUGAAGGGGAUUGGCGAAGGGAUCUCAGUUCAGACUAUCCACACAGACCUUGGUUAUGGUUAAAGGGGAUCGGCGAAGGGAUCUCAGUUUAACCUAACUGCAAAGGAUUUUGGUUCUGGUUGAAGGGAUCGGCGAAGGGAUCUCAGUUUAGUCUAACCACACAGACCUUGGUUAUGGUUAAAGGGGAUCGGCGAAGGGAUCUCAGUUUAACCUAACUGUAAAGGAUUUUGGUUCUGGUUGAAGGGGAUCGGUGAAGGGAUCUCAGUUCAGUCUAACCACACAGACCUUGGUUAUGGUUAAAGGGGGUCGACGAAGGGAUCUCAAUUUAGACUAACUGCAAAGGAUUUUGGUUAUGAGUUAAAGGGGAUCAGCGAAGGGAUCUCAGUUUAGCUUAACCACACACAAACCUUGGUUAUGGUUAAAGGGGAUCGGCGAAGGGAUCUCAGUUUAGCCUAAUUGUAAAGGAUUUUUAUUCUGGUUGAAGGGGAUCGACAAAGGGAUCUCAGUUUAGCUUAAACACACAGACCUUGGUUAUGGUUAAAGGGGAUCGGCGAAGGGAUCUCAGUUUAGCCUAACUGUAAAGGAUUUUGGUUCUGGUUGAAGGGGAUCGGUGAAUGGAUCUUAGUUCAGCUUAACCACACAAACUUUGGUUAUGGUUAAAGGGGAUCGGCGAAGGGAUCUUAGUUUAACCUAACUGCAAAGGAUUUUGGUUCUGGUUGAAGGGGAUCGGCGAAUGGGUCUCAGUUCAACCUAACCACACACAUGAUUUUGGUUCUGGUUAAAGGGGAUCGGCGAAGGGAUCUCAGUUUAGCUUAACCACGCAGAAUUUAGCUUUGGUUAAAGGGAAUCACUAGAUGGGAUUUUAGGUUGACCGAGCUACACACUGAUUUUUGUUCUUGUUAGAUCGCCAGAUGGGAUCUCAAGUAAACCCAAUAAAAAGGGCAGGUCGCCCGUGAAAUAGACCAGUGUGAGUGUGUGGGCAGGUCACCCCUGAAAAUAGACCAGAGUGAGUAUGUGUGGGCAGGUCGCCCGUGAAAACAGACCAGUGUGAGAGUGUGGGCCGGUCGCCCCUGAAAAUAGACCAGAGUGAGUAUGUGUGGGUCGGUCGCCCUUGAAAAUAGACCACAGUGAGUAUGUGUGGGCCGGUCGACCUUGAAAAUAGACCAGAGUGAGUAUGUGUGAGCAGGUCGCCAGUGAAAAUAGACCAGUGUGAGUUUGUGGGCAGGUCGCCCCUGAAAAUAGACCAAAGUGAGUAUGUGUGGGCAGGUCGCCCCUGAAAAUAGACCAAUGUGAGUGUGUGGGCCGGUCGCCCCUGAAAAUAGACCACUUUGAGUAUGUGUGGGCAGGUUGCCCGUGAAAAUAGACCAGUGUGAGUGUGUGGGCAGGUCGCCCCUGAAAAUAGACCACUUUGAGUAUGUGUGGGCAGGUCGCCCGUGAAAGUAGACUAGUGUGAGUGUGUGGGCUGGUCGCCCUUGAAAAUAGACCACUUUGAGUAUGUGUGGGCCGGUUGCCCAUGAAAGUAGACCACUUUGAGUAUGUGUGGGUAGGUCGCCCGUGAAAAUAGACCAGUGUGAGUGUGUGGGCAAAUCGCCCAAGAUAAUGAUAUCAUUUUCCUUUUGUUUUCUUUACAAAUACUAUGCAAAAUGUUGAGAAGUUUUGCUUCUUAAGCAUUGUAAAGAGGGGGCAACUGUUGUUACCUAAUUUUUUGACCCACCUUUUUGAUAAAAUUUUCAAAAAAUCCAAAAAUAGCGAAAAACAACAAAAAUCCAAAAAAAAUGUUUUUCAUAUAUUUGCAUCGUUUUUAGCAUUUUCAACGUCGUCUAAAAAAGAAUUUAAAAUUUCAAAGGUUUUUGGAACGCGUUCGACUUUUCAAGCGUCAUUUUUAAAAUCAUUGAUUUUUCUCAUUGAAUCGACGUUCAUAUUGCUCGUUUUCAAAAAAUACAAAAAAAUUAAGAAAAAUCAAAAUUUUACAAGAAAAGGAAAGUUGAGGGACCAAUUUGGAGUCCCUGACAACAUUUUACCUAUAAAUAUAGGUUCAAAACUCAAAAGAAAGGAGGGGGGGAUUUUGGGAUUUAAAGGAGAGGCAACACAAAAACCCUAAAAGCUUAGCUUUUUUGUCUCCUCAGCCGCCAGGCCAGCCCCUCCCCAACCCCCUCAUCAGAUUUUUCCCUUCUUCUCGCCAGCCAAGGGCGGAGCCUCAGCCCUUGCACAGCCACCCUCAUCCCAUCUCCACUGUGAUCUCCCAAAACCAACAACCAAGACAACCCCCUCAUCUCUCAAUCGCCCCCAUCUCCCCCACAGACCAGCCACCCAAAGACUCCACACACACCAGACCUUCUCCCCUCCCAGCGGUGCUUCUCUCAGCCACCGAGAACGCCACCUUCCAACCCGCAGUUGACCGAUCUUCCCUCUUCAACCGGCGCAGGCCACGGUCUCCCUCAUCAGCACAGAUACGGCAAAGCUUCCUUCAUCGACGCAGAUCGGCCUCUAGCAGCAACUUCGCUAUCCUCUCUUGCCGGCCGCCUCUCCAUCAUCCCCGAUCUCUUCAUCUCCAUCAACACCGAAGCUUCCCCGCAGCAGCUCCGACCUACAACACUCCUUCCUCAGCCGCCAGAGCUGCCGCUUGAAGAAGAAGGAAAGAACAUGUAAGAACAGCUCCGCCAACCACUUAAAGCGUAGGAGAAGACUGCGAGAAAACCCAUAGAAGAGCCAAUCAGCAGAUCUAAAGGAGAAGAGGGGCAGAUCCGAAAACCGUGAAAGAAGAUUAAAGCAGUUGCUUGUUGCGUUUUUUGUUGUUUUGCAGGUCAUGGUUGUCACCCCGGCGAGGAAAAGAAGAGGGGAAGAAGUCGAUCAAGACCCCCCUGUUGCUGGGUUUUUUUUUUCUGUGGCGGCGCGUGAACCCACAUGUUGCCAGUGGCGGUGGCGCGUGGAGAAGACGCGCCGCCACUGUUCCCCGCCCAGAAACCUAUCUCUGUAAUUUCAGAUUGUUUUGGGGGUUAAUUUUUGUAAUUGUAAAAUUGUUUAAUGUUUUUUUAGUUAGUGUUUUAUAAUUUGAAAUGUGGAUGUAAAGAAAAAAAAGAGAAAAAGAAAAGAAAAGAAAAGGAAAAAGAAAAAAAUAUAGUAAAGAAAUGUGUGUGUGUUUGUAUUUUUUUUUUAUGCAUGUUAUUGAAUCAAAAAAGAAAAAAAAUAAAUUUAAUAUUUUAAUUUAUAUGCACAAAUAUCUAAAGGACAGAUAAAAAUCAUGUUGUAUUUUCCAUAAAAAUGUAGAACAUGUAUCUAUAUAUAUUCUGGGAACUAAUAAUGGAUUUAUCAAAACCUUAGAAUUGGAUUAACUUUUAUUUUUAAAAUUGUAUCAAGUCCACGAAGCUUGAAAGUGAAUGUGUGGUGUGUUUUUUGUUUAUGAAUGUUUUUUUUUUAAUUAUUAUUAUGAUAAAAUUGCAAGAAUAAAGAAGAAUUUAAUAUUUUAAUUUGCUCACGGAUAAAGAAUUAUGAACUUACACGUAAGUUGUAUUUUCUAAAAUUUGAUGAAUGAACCGAAUUUUAAAACUUCUUUAACACAUCAAAUCUACGAAGCAGCUUACCUCAGGUAGGGUGCGUUAGUGGGUGCUAAUACCUUCCCUAACCACAAUCAGUCCCUUACCCGUGAAUCUCUGACGAGAACAGUACACCCGGGUUUUCUAGUAGCCUUCAAUGAAAUACUAGGUGGCGACUCCAACGAACCAAGCAAAGCAAAACAAGAAAGAAGAUGAAAAAGUCGCCAAGCCUGAUGCCGCGUGGAUUUUUCGACGUGUGACAAAGAUCAUGCUCUUUAUUUUUUUCUUUAUAUUUUUGUAAUGCAUAAGUUUUAUGUCAUGUUAUAUUUUCCUUAAUCUAUUGUUUAUGUUUUUCAUUUCCUUUACUAUACUUAUGUUCUUAUGUUGUUUAUUUAUGUUUUUCUUCUUCAUUAUGUUUAGCUAAGUUUAUUAUGUCAAGUUGAAAAGGUUUCACUAAUGGUGUUAGAAUAGGUAUAAUAUAAACUCAACAUGGACUUCAAUGUUUAUAACCAAGAAAGUUUGUUAUUAACAUGUCUUAUUUUUUUUAUCAUACUAAUUCUUAAUACCAUGCUUGUUAAAUGAUUAAUCUAGAUUUGUGUUGUAUAACACUUGGUACGACAAAUGCUUGGCACUUUCAUAGCCAACUGUAUGGUAUAACCUACACAUUUGCUAUGAAAGGAACUUGAUUUGUUGCUAACAUAAGUUAGCAUCAUGAAUUCCUGAUAAUAUUUAAAAGUUUGGUGUUACUUAAAUAAGAUAAUUAAUAUGAUCAUGUUAACAAUUUAUAAUGAACUAUUAAGGAUAAAUCAUCCGAUUGGAACCUUCUUUGUGUGUGGUUUCCUGGUGAUUAAUAAAAAGAGUUUAUACUAUACUUAUUUCUAAUACCAUUAGUGGAUCCUCUAACCUAGACAAUUGUUUUAUCAUUGUUUAAUCCUUACAUUAAUAUCCCAUAAAAUUCUCAUAAACUCUUUAUUUUAUUAAGUAUAUAUAUUAUUUGUAAUUUCUAUAGUUCACCUCCCUGUGGCUCGACCCCGGUCUUGCCGAGUUAUUUAUUACUUCGACACUCCUGCACUUGGGAUAAGACAUCAAUCUUUUGGUCGUGUCAAGUUUUGGCGCCAUUGUCAGGGAGGUAAAUUUCUAUACAAAUUAUAAAUUUUGUUAUAUUUUUCUCCUUUCACUUUUCUUUUAUCUAACUUUUGUUUCUUGUGUUUUGUCUCCUUUUCUUUUUCUUUUUCUUUUCUUCUUUUUAUUCUCUUCCUACACGUGCAUGAGAAUUUGGUCACGCACAUUAAAUUAUAGACUUUGUAGGGCAUCCUCAUCUUCUUUAGAAAACAUGGCUGAAAACGAUAAUCAGUCGUUUUAGAAUGAGAAUAAUGAGAAUAAUCAGGUUAGAACACUUAGAGACUACAUGAAUCCAACAAGAACAAUUGCGCGAUCAUGUUUUUUUUUUCUCCUGAUUCAUCUCAUUUUAAUUUUAAGCCAGACAUUAUUCAACUUUUUCCUUUUUUUAUGGUUUAGAUCUAGAAAAUCCAUACUUGUAUUUGAGAGAAUUUGAAGAAGUUUGUAACACUUAUAAUGACUCAAAUUGUAGUAUGAACACCAUCAGAUUAAAGCUUUUUUCCUUUUUCUUUAAAAGAUAAAGCUAAAACAAGGCUACAAAAUUUGAGACCAGGAUCCAUUCAUGCUUGAGAUGAAACACAACAAUAAUUUUUAAAAAGUUUUUUCCGUCUCACAGAACAAACUCUUUCAAAAGACAAAUCACCACUUUCACUUAAAAACCAGGAGAAACAUUUUACCAAUGUUGGGAUAGAUAUCGAGACUUGCUUAAUACUUUCCCUCAUCAUGGUUUUGAAACAUGGAGAUUGGUUUCACAUUUUUAUGAAGAGUUAACACCUAAAGAUAGACAAAUGGUGGAAUUGAUGUGCAAUGGAACUUUUGAAAAUAAAGACCCUGAUGAAGCAAUGGAGUACCUAGACUUGCUAGCUAAAAAUGCUCAAAAUUAGGACACUACAGGCACUUGGGUAAAACUUAACCUCAUACAUCUAGUGGAGGUAUGUACAACCUUAGGGAAGAUCAUGACCUCCAAGCCAAAUUUGCAUCUUUAGCUAGAGCUGGAAAGUCGAGGCACUAGAAUUGAAAAAGAGUGGUCAAUUAAAAUCUGUUCAAGACAUUGUAUGUCAAAUCUGUGAAACGAAUGAACAUGCAACCAAUGACUGUCCAACUUUACCUUCUUUGAAGGAAUGUCUCUAUGAACAAGCCCUCGGUUUAAAAAGUUUUCAAAGGCCCAAUUAUAACCCAUACUCGCAAACAUACAACAUUGGUUGAAGAAAUCACCCAAAUUUCAGUUUGAUGAGUGAUAACAAUAAUGCACAAACUUCACAGCCACCGUUUCAAGCACACCAUAAUUUCCAAAAUUCUCAUGGAUAUACACCUCAUUAUGCUCCACCUCCUAGAAUAAAUCUUGAGGAAACAUUGCAUUCAUUCAUUGAAAAGUAAGAGACAAUCAACACUCAACUUGCUCAAUGUAUGAUAGAUUUUAAAGAUGCUCUUGUAAAAUUCACAUCUGCUCUUAGUUUUCAAGAGAACGGUAAGUUUCCAUCUCAACCACAACAAAAUCCAAAGGGGCAAUACAAUGCAACUGUAAGUAGUUCCAAAAGCCAACACAUGGAUCAAGUCAAAUCAGUCAUCACUCUUCGCAAUUGUAAGGUUAUUGAAAAACCUACUCUUGAACCUUGUGAGAAAGAUGAUGAGUCAAUCUCUGAGGGUAAGGAAAUGAUUGAAUUUGAACAUUUCAAUGAAAAGAUCGAUUCCCCGCCAACACUUUCAUUUCCUCAUGCCAUGACCAAACAGGAAGAAAUUGGGGAUGAAAAAGGCACCAAAAAUAUUAUCGCGGAUCAUUUGUCAAAAUUGACAAUAGAUUCGAUAUCCGACAUCACACCAAUCGAUGAUUACUUUCCUGAUGAAUCUUUACUUUCUCUUAGUUCAAUGCCUUGGUUUGCUAAAAAUACCAAUCUUUUUGCUUCAGGAUUUUUGCCAGCUCAUUUGGAUAACCAAGACAAAAUAAAUUUUUUGAGCGAAGUGCAAAAAUUUUAUUGGGAUGACCCUUACUUAUUCAAAUAUUGUCCUGAUCAAAUAUUUCAAAGAUGCAUUCCCGACAAUGAGUUAAGUAAUGUCAUUAAAUUUUGUCACAGCAUGUGGGGAUCAUUUCUCGUCAAAAAAGACAACUGCAAAAAUCUUACAAAGUGGAUUUUACUGGACCACCAUGUUCAAGGACUUAUAUGCAUUUUGCAAAACCUGUGAAAAUUGUCAAAAGGUGGGAUUUAUUUCAAAACAUAGAGAGUCUUUAGAUAAUCUUCUAUUGACUCUUAAGUCUCAUCAUAGUGGAGAUGUGCAUCGUGAAAUUCACGAUUUAUAGCCCUAUUUUUAUAAAGAACAUGCCCAUCAUAGUCUUGGGAAUCUGACUAAAAAAAGAUCAUGUUUGUCAAUUUUUAAGAAAACUAGAUGGGUAGCCUAUCCUCGACCCAUAGAGGGAGUUUAACCUGUUCUUAGACGUAAAACCAAGGGAAGAUGUGAGGCCACAAUCACAACUAAUUGUACAUACACAUGCUUUUAAAAAAAAAGAACAAAAAAAAGGAAGAAAUAGAGAGAGACUCUAGUUGGCUUACAUAUAGGUGAUAUGAUUGCAUUUUCUUUUUCUCAUCUAUAAAACCUUCUUCUUCUUCCCUUCAUUUCUACCCAGCCCAUACAUUUUACAAGCAUAGAUCGGUCUUGAAAUGGCAGAUCCUCAGCUCUUAAAAUAAAAAAUAUUUGUAUUUUUUAUGGAUCCAGUCCUGCGAAAGAAAAAGAGUUUAUAAAAUCCACAAAUCAUCUUGGUCAAAUACUAGCUGAGAGAAUCAAGUUUUGAGGGUCGUCCCUAAAGCUUUAUCAAAAGGGGACAUCAUUGGAAAAACAAUUGGAGAGGAACUACAGGUCUUCAUAAUGUCUGAUUGAAUGAAUACAAUGUUUAAUCAUACUGACGCCUUCAUUGCCUUACCAGGUGGUCUAGGCACAUUGGAAGAGAUCUUUCAUAUUUCUUUUUGGGUCCAACUGCACAUUCAUCAUAAACCUAUAGGUUUGUUAUAUGUUAAUGGUUUUUAUGAUAAUUUGCUAUCUUUUCUUGAUCAAGUUGUGGAGCAUGAAUUUCUAACAUCUUUGGCAUGACAAAUCAUAAUCUUUGCUGCUACUGCUGAACAAUUGAUUGACCAACUAUAAUCUUUCAUCCCUGUAAUUGAUCCCUCCACGAGUUGCAUAAAUUGGUCAACUUAAAAGUCCAUAACACCCGACUUCGAGCGAGAAACAUGGAAGAUGAAGAGUCAGCAACACAUGCACCAGCCCCCGCAGUCAUGGAUGCAUUUGUCAAUGAAUCCCACAAGGCUAAUUCAUCUGAUAUCAUUGAUCUAGAUAAGAUAGAGGCACUGUAAGCUAGAAUCAGAGUCAUUUAAGGGGUAGACUUAUAUGAUCUAGUACGGGCAACAGUGAUGUGUCUGAUACCAAAUCUGGUUUUCCCGAAGAAGUUUUGUGUUCCUGAGUUCAUCAAAUAUAGUAGAACACAGUGCCCCAUGACUCAUCUCAAGUCCUACUGCAAUAAAAUGGCAGAAGGAGUACAUGAUGAAAAACUACCGAUACACUUUUUUUCAGGAUAGCUUAAAUGGGGCAAAAUUGAACUGGUACAUGAGAUUGAACAACACAAAGAUUCGGAGUUGGAAAGAUUUAGUAGAUGCUUUUAUCAAGCAGUACAAGUAAUAACACAGACAUUGCUCCUGAUAGAACUAGCUUGUCCAAUCUAGAGAAAAAAGGACAAAGAAAGCAUAAGGGAAUACGCUCAAAGAUGGUGGGAAUCAGCUACUCAAGUAUACCCUCUACUUCUGAAUAAAGAGAUGGUCACUUUAUUUGUUGACACACUCAAGGCACCAUAUUACGAGCCUGUGAUGGGUAUGCAAAGUGAUUUCUCAUUAUUCAUUCAAAUAAAACUCAGUUUUGAAGUCACCUCAGAGUGUUUUUGUUUUUUGUUGUCGUGGUUGUUUUUUUUAAUGUUUUAUAGGUGUAUGGUUACCUUUAUAAGGAAUCACUUGAAUUUUUAAAACUUGUUUAUUUGUACAAACACUAAUAUGAUUUCUAUCUCGUACUAAAAACUUUGAAUUCCCAAAAAACUUUAUGAACAUAUGAGAUCAUGUAUAAUUUUGGAGGGAAAAAGGGAAACACAUCAAUGGUUUCGUGGGUAAAGGUUGUGCUUAGUGUGUUAUUUGCAUGAAAUGACAACAAAAAUAAAGGUACAUCAUGAACACAAGAAAACACAUGAUCUUAUUUAAUAAGAAAGGCUCAUUUGACAGAGAAAGUCUUGUGGCAUUAUGAGCCAAAUUACCAAUAAGGCUAAAACAAGUUAAAACUGACAUGAUCAAACAAAAGACAAUAAUAGGGUAGGCUUCAUCCUCUUAUUUUGGCAAAUCCCCUCUUAGGCUAGCUUCCCCACAACAGUUUUUGACGAUAUGGACAAAAACUAUGGUCGAAAUUCGAGACCUUUAAAAUUUAUACUACUUUUUUCGCACCCUACUUGGAUCAUCGAUGCUUCUAGAUUUCCCGGACAUUCCAUCGCUAGUGCAUUUCUGAUCUACCACGGCAAGCAUGAUUAGGUAGAGGGUUCAUGUUCACAUUAGGAGUGUCUUUGAAUGUUAUCCACCCUGCCUUGAUUAAUUGCAAAAGCUUCCUUUUGAAGGCAUUGCAAGUAUGGAUGUUAUGUUCGGCAACACCAGCAUGGUAUUCGUAAGUGAGCUCUAGCUUGUACUAGCUAGGGUAAGGUGGUUGUAAAGGCACUAGAGGUUAGAGAGCUACCUGCCUGAUGCUUGAUAGCUUUUGGUACAUCUCAUUCAGGGGCAGCGGUAAUGGAGGUAGUUGUUCUUGGACCCUUUAGUAAUUUCUAAUUUGGCUUUUGGCUUGAAAGUUUUGGGGCUCAAGUUUUUUGAUGGGAAAUGAAGAGUUGAUGUUGGUAAUUUGGGAUGGAGGGUGAUAGUUUUGGAAAGUGUUUUUCCUACCCUUAUAAUCAUCUCCAACAUGGUCGACCACCUUCCUUUCGAAACUUCUUUUUUCAGGGGCUACCAAAAUUCUGUCACUCUUGACGCCUUGUUAUAUGCGUUCACACACUACCACAAUGUCUGUAAAUUGUUGUACCGAACUACCCAUCACAUGCUCGUAAUAUGGCGCCUUGAGUGUGUCAAUAAAUAUAGUGACCAUCUCUUUAUUCAGAAAUGGAGGAUGUACUUGAGCAGCUGAUUCUCGUCAUCUUUGAGCGUAUUCCCUUAUGUUUUCUUUGUCCUUAUUUGUAGAUUGGACAAGCUAGUUCUGUUAGGAGCAAUGUCCAUGUUAUACUUGUACUACUUGAUAAAAGCAUCCACUAGAUCUUUUCAUCUCCAGAUCUUUGUAUUGUCCAAUCUCAUGUACCAGCUCAAUGUUACCCCACUAAAGCUAUCUUGAAACAGUGUAUCAGUAGUUUUCAUCAUGUACUACUUUUGUCAUUUUAUUGCAGUCGGACUUGAGAUGAGUCACGGGGCAUUAUUUUCCACUAUAUUUAAUGAACUCAGGAACACGAAACUUCUUCGAGACAACCACAUUUAGCACCAGACAUAUCUCUGCUGCCCGUACUGGAUCAUAUAAGUCUAACCCUACAAUGACUCUGAUUCUAGCUUCCAGCGCCUCCAUCUUAUCUAGAUCAAUGCUAUCAAAUGACUUGGCCUUGUGGGAUUCAUUGGCAAAUGUAUCCAUGACUGCGGGGGCUGGUGCAUGUGUUGCUAACUCUGUUUCUCGCUCGAAGUCCAGUGUUAUGGACUUUUAAGGGACCUAUAUUUCAACUUGAUGCAUGUAUGUAUAUUAUUUACAAUGAAUGCAUGUAUAUGUACGAAUGCAAAUGUAUGUACAUGGAUAUUAGGCAGCUCAUCCUCUAAGGAUAGGUUCUGGGCCAUUAUAUGAUGGGUAAGCUUUCUACCUAGUCUUAAAAUGGUCUCAUAUCUGCUAAGUGACGAUCUUCGUAAAGACAAUAUGGGGUGUUGCAAGAAAUAGUUAAGGCACGUAUGCCCACCUUUAUCAAGCAGGCACUCAGAUAUGAGUUGGGUGUUUCACGCAUCUGAACCCUAACCAAUAGUCAUUGGGCAGAUAACUAAUUUCCAACCUAACUUAUAAGCUUGUGUUUACUUCCAAAAUUAAAGCGUAGUGCAUGAGGUAAUUAUAUACAAUGCAUGAACAAAUAUGUACAGAAUUUAAAGUGCAUAUGAAAAUAAAUAAAGAAAAUAAAUCUUAACAAUAAACACGCAAACCAAACAAUAAAACACAACGAUCAAACAAAAACAAAGCUUAGUCCACAAAGUCCCUAGUGGAGUCGUCAUUCUAUCACAUGUGUGCGGCGUCACGGCAAUCGUCCACCACCCUCAUCAUGUGUUGAGUGUCUAUGUUGGCAAAUAUGAAAAGAUAAGGAAUUCUUGUCUUUAUCAAUUAAAAAAAUAGAAUGGGAGUCGCCACCUAUUAUUUUAGUCAUUAGGAACCCUAACUGGUCUCUAAGAUCGGGUAUGGAGACUAGUUGCGUAAAAAGAAGGUAUUAGCACCUCAAAUGCGCCCUAUCUAAGGCUAGCUGCAUUGUUUUAUUAUCUGAUAAAAACUAAGGUCUUGUCGUAUUUUUUAAUUUUUGGUAUGUCUAUAGUUUAAGAAAAGUCAUCCUCGGUAAGGAGAUCCUUAUCUUAUCGGGUAAAAACCUAACUAUGCUAACAUCAAAUAAAAAAACUAUCUUUUUAAUAUCAUGAGUACGUUUUAUCUAUAAAUUUGUAAUCCCGAAUAUUAAAAGAAAACAAAAUAUAUUUUUUUUAGUGUUUUGAAAUGUUGGCCUAGUUCUCGUGACUUUAAUAAACUAGUUUAUUAAAGUCAAAAUGCAUUCUAAUACAUAUUUUUGAAAUUUUUGUUGUAUGAAAAUAUAAUGUUAUUUUUUUAUUUGAGAGACAUGGUUGUAUGCUUGAAAACAAAAACGUUUUUUUAAAACAAGGUUUUGACAAAAACCGGGUAUUUUAAUACCGCAUUUGUAUCUUUACGGUAUAAAAAUAUAAACCAAUAUUAAGCAAAAUUCCAUAACAAAAUAUGUGGGAAAAUUACAAAUUUUCCCGAAAAUAUUUUUUUGAUAAUUUUUGUGAUUUGGCCGGACUUGGCCCAAAAAAGAAUCUAAACCAAACACCACUACUAUAAAUCACGCCCAUUGUUCAUGCAUGAACAACGGGGAAGAAGAAGAAGAAGAAGAAGGGGGAGGAAGGCUGACCUGCGAUGGUGGUGGUCUAGCGAGCGUGGUGUAAGCGGUGACAAUAGUGGUUGUGGCAGGAAGAGGAAGAAAGGAGAAGAAAUCUUUAAAAGUUGACGAUGGCGACAGUCGCGGUGGCUGAUCUACCUCUAAUGAAGAUAUGGGUUGUUGGUUAUGAAGGUGGAUAGACCGUCGGUGAUGGCGAUGUUGGUGGCUGAACACUACGGUGGAGAGAGAGAGAGAGAGAGAGGUUCUGCAAGCAGCAGAAACUGGGUGUUAGAGGCUGUUUUUUUGGCUGAUUUUGGACCCCAAUUUCUCCACCUCUAUAGCAUGAAGAUAAAAUCUAUUUAUAGGCAGUGGAAGAGGGACACUUUGUCCCUUUUGGUGCAAAAUAUCAGCCCUUGGUUCGAUCCAAAAGCAUCACAACCAUUGGCUUAAAGUAGCAAUGAUGAGCUGUCAUUUUUGUAUGGGAAAAUGGAUAGUCGGGUUGACCACUUUAGGGCGGUGCCACCACCUCUACAACCUUGAUCAGCCUGAACGGCUUACACUAGCAUGUAGUCAGGUAUCACAGGAUCAUUUGCGUGUACGUUUCAUCCAAUUUGGUGAAGAAACAAGGCGCCAAAUGCCUUGGAAAGAUGGUCACCCAACCAGCCUCAUUGGAGAAUAAGAUGAACAGUAUAUUAGGAUUUAGUCCUUCAAUUUAUGAUUUAUUUCUAUCUACCCCUGAUUGGCUUCAAACUUUUAAUUUUGUUCAAUUUUACCCAUGAUGAACUUCAAUUUAAACCCCAAAUUUCGGCAUAUUUUUUCCUUUGAUCUUUGGUUUUGGAUUUAUGCAUUUUGACCAUCAAUUGAUCAAUAAACUUCUAAUUUCUUCAAUUCAACCCCUGAUUUGGUCAAUUUCAGUCCCUUUAUUUACACGUCUUUUCCAAUGUGAUCUUUGAUUUUGGAUUUCUUUAAUCAAGUCCCUAAUUGGCCAUCAAAUUUUAAUAUCUAUGCAAUUAAGCCCCUGAUUUGACUCAAUCAAUUCUCAAAAAUUCUACUAUGACCCCAAAACUUUAAUUUCUUCCAAUUAAAGCCUAAAUUGACUUAAAAAUCAAUUUUCUUGUAAUCAAACCCUAUAUAUAUUCAAUUAAACCUUCAAUAAAAUUUAAUUGAGUCCAUAAACAUCUGAUUUUGAACUUUUUUUCCUCAAAUUGAAUUUUUCUUUAUCAACAAGACUUUUCAUCUGUAAAAAAAUAUACUAUUAAAUUUUAAUCUUUGAAUUUCUAAGUCUCCUCAACCAACUUCUAGCCAUUUUAUGGACGCUCUGGCAUCAUCUUCUCACUGUUAUUAUUUUUUGGAAGAGAAAAGGUAAAUUUGGGGAAUAACCCAAAAAUGGGUUAUGACUAUAUGAUAUAUGUUAAAAAUCCCUCUCUGAUUUCGCAAUUAGAUAAGCUACAUAUAUGUUCUUAACAAGAACUAGUUAUUUAUAGCCGUUAUAGUCCCUCUAACAACUCAAACGGUCGAUCAAUUCAAAUUAGUCAAGCUAAUCGGUCGAUCGGUUUCUAUAGAAUUAUAAGGUGUUCAUCACUAAUAAAUAAGUGGUUGUUUGGUUCACUUGAUCAUACUAAAUAAUUGGCUGGUUCAUUUAGAAUCUUGGUUUAAACAUAUUAAUCUAUGUGAAUUCUUUAAACCAUCUAUAAUAGAUUAUAUCAGAUUAUUUAUCAAUCCAUUCAAAUAUAUGCAUAGUGAAAUGUGUGAGUUUGUUUUACUUGUGCUAUCAAGAUAUGAUAAAAUAUAAAGAUGUAAAACACAACAUUAAAAUCUUUAUGAAAAUCUCCAUGUGAGAACUUUAUGAUAAGUCCCUGUAAAAAAGAGUCUAGAAGUCUUUAUGAAAAAUCUGCAUGUGACAUGCCAAGGAUGAUCUGAAUGAAAUUUCCACCAAAUGAUCUUACCUAAAUAAAACUCUUUAACUUUACUCAAUCACAAUAUAUUCUCCAUUUUCUAUUCGACACAAGAAUUGACCUUCCUUGAAUGCAAAUGUUUUUAGAACUAACUAAGGAUAAUAUAACCUGAAUAAAAAGAGCGAGCCACCUUCACAAAAGUUAAGGUGGUUUUUUUUUUUUAACAUAAUAAUUGAACAUUUAAUAAGGAGCCACUUUGUCUAAGUAUUUAGGCACCCACCUUAUUUAGGUAUAAAAGAAAUGUUCUUCCAUAACUAGUUCCGAAGGCACGUUAUAUGAUCAGGAAACAAGAUGGAGAGAUAGUUCAAACUUGAUGACACGUAUUUUCAAGGCCUUGGUCCAUUCAAAUCACAUGUAUAAAAAAAUCAUAUUAUUUUAAACUGAGUUAACCUCAUUUUGAGAUAUGGGGAAAUGAUGAAGGGUGUGUCUCUUCCCGUGUGUUUAUGAGUGUAGUUGCGGUUGUUUUUUAAAGUGUUUUUUCAUUUAGAAAUGUAUUAAAAUAAUUUUAAUAUAAGCGUAUCAAAACAAUCUAAAAACACUAAAAAAAUUUUAAUUUUAAAUAUUAAAAAAAUCAAAAUUUUUAGGAACACGGGUUGAACCGUGUUCCCAAAUAGUCCCUUCAUCUUGACCUGCCUGACAAUCUCUCUACUCGAUGCCUAACCUCACUCCUUUACAAGAUUCCUGAACCAAACUUACAUAGUAUUACAUAAGGGAUAAGGGUAUUUUUUAAAAGUAAAGAUUCCUGAACCAAACUUACAUAGUAUUAUAUAGAAUGUAGAUUCUCAUUAUAUAUAAUACAUGAACAAUUAGAAGAUCCAAUAUAAUAGGAAAUAAAAAAAAUGUAAUAUAUAUAUAUAUAGUUGAGAAUAUCUUAUAAACUAGGAAAGGAAAAAUAUAUAUAUGAUAACAAGUCAUCUAAGAUCAAAGAAAGAAUUCCUCAUCUAAAUUGGCCCCUCAAGCUGAAGAAGAUUUAAGCCUCGUUUGUUUGAUGGAAAAUGAUUUUUUGAAAACCACUUCCCAAACUUUCAUGUGUUUGUUUGUCAUUAGAAAAGUUGGUCAAUGAAAAACACUUUCUAGUCAAAGAAAAUUUUGGUUUGGUUUCCAGGAAAGUGUUUUCCUUCUAUUUUGGGCGGAAAACACUUUUCAGAAGUUGUGAAAAAUAUAGAAAUAUUAUAUUAUUUACUGAUUAUAUCAAAUUUGGUUUCCAAACUUUUGAUUGUUAUAUAUAUUUUAUUUUGAUUUUUUUAAAAAUUUCAUUCCUUAGAAUUUAAUUUUUAUAUUAACUUUAGUCCUCAUUUUUAUAAUUGCUAUUUGCUUUUUUUCUUAUUCUUUUUUAAUUGAAAUUUUUUAUCUAUCAAAUUUGGUUCUCAUUCUUUUGAUUGUUACUUAUUUUAUUUGAAAUAAUUUAUGAAAUGAUAAUUAUUAUUAUUUUAAUUUUUUUAUUUUUCAAUUUUUUUAUCUAUUAGAUUUGAUCUCUAUUAUUUUGAUUAUUAUUUAUUUUAUUUGAGAUAAUUUAUGAAAUUAUAUAUAUAUAUUUUUCAAUUUCAUUCUCAUUCAACUUUUUAAUUUGUAAGCUUUGUUCCUCAUUAUUUUAUUAAACUUGAAAAAAUAACAUAUUAAUAAGUUAUUUUUCAAGUCAUUUUUCAUGACAUAACCAAACAUUAGAAAUUGUUUUCCAACUUAUUUUUCAUUACACUACCAAACAUCAAAAAAUAAUUUACUUUUCUAGAAUUCACUUUAAAAAAAAAUACUACUUUGCAACAAAUAAAUAAUACCUUCGUAACUUGAAGUUUGUCCCUGUACUAACAAAUCAUGUAGUGGAGAGAGAGAUUUGGUAAGUAAACCAGCAAGUUAAUAACUUAUAUACCAAAUCCAAAUUGUAAGAUUAGAGAUUUUCUUAUCAACAUAAUAGAAAUCAAUGCCCAAGCAGUGGGGAUGUUCAUGAAUUGACAUAGUUGAUAGAAAAAUCGAUAUUAGGAUGUGUAAAAGCCAAGUAUUGUAAAGCACCAUCUAGCAUGCAAAAUUCAGUAGGUUAGGAAGACUAUGAACUUUAGAUUCUGUUUAUUUAUUGAAAAGUAAUUUUUUUUUUGAAAAGUAAUUUUUUUGAAAAAUAGAUUCCUGAAAAGUAAAAAAAAAUUUGAUGUUUGGUAAUAUCAUAAAAAAAUAAGUUGGAAAACACUUUUUGCUUGGCUAUUAAUUAGUUCACUGAAACAUAAUUAUUGUUACCCAAUUUUUGACCCACCUUUUUAAUAAAAAUUUUAGAAAAUCCAAAAAUAGCGAAACAAACAACGAAAAUCCAAAAAAAUUAUAUGUUUUUAAUAUAUUUGCAUUGUUUUUAGUAUUUUCAACAUCGUCUAAAAAAGAAUUUAAAUUUUCAAAAGUCUUUCGAACGCGUUCGACUUUUCACGUGUUAUUUUUAAAAUCAUUGAUUUUUCUCAUUGAGUCUACGCUGAUAUUGAUUGUUUUCAAAAAAUACAAAAAAUUAAGAAAAAUCAAAUUUAUAAAAAAAAAAAGUUGAGGAACCAAUUUUGAGGCUCAAGCCACAUUUUACCUAUAAAUAUAGGUCCACAAUUCACACAAAAGAGGGGGGCAGUUUUGCACAUUUAGAGAGACAAAAAAUAAAAAAAAGAAACCUAAACCUAAAAACUCAUCUCCUUCAAACCAGCCAGUGCCCCCCCUACUAGGAAACAAAAUAGCAGUCGUCGCUCACCAUUUUUGGUUCCACCAUCUCCCCUUCACUCCCCUUCUUCUCAGCCAAAAAACCAAGACCAACCCUCAUUUUCCCUUCAACCUAUAACUGAUCUUCCCUCAUUUCCUCUCAUUUUCAGCCAACAACACAGAACCCCUCCUGAUUUGAAUUUUUCUCCUCCACACCAAAGCCCCAUCUUCUUCUCCCUCAGCCAAGAAGUCGCCCCCCCUGCCCAACGCCAUUUCAUCUCCCUCUUGGCAGUCAUUUCCAUCUCCGCCAGAACCAGCCCCCACAUACUGCUUCCUCUCCUUUUUAUACACACCAUACCUUCUCCAAACUGCAGCCACCCCAUCUUCUCCACUAGUGCCACCACCCACCGACACAAGAGACCAGCCCCACAAUAGCUCCUUUCUUCUCCCACCUCCACAGCAUCUCCAGCGGCCGCAGGCUACAACAAAUCUCUUCUCCAUCUCCGCCAACCAGACCUGACAAAAGCCUAGCAGUCGGCGGCCCCCUUGGUCUUGCCACCACCUGAAACGGAGAAGAUUGGGAAAGAAAAAGAACAAAACAUAUCUGCCCAAAAUAGAGAAGAAGAGAAAGAAUAGAUUGAAAACAAAGAAAAAAUUAAAAUCAACUGCUUGUUGUGUUUUCGGUUGUUUUGCAGGUCACCGCCGGCAUAGGAAGACAGAGAAGAGGAAGACGUUCAUGAUCUAGUGGUUUUGUCACCUUCAUCGGCGGCGGCGCGUGAACCCAUGCGCCGCCAGUGACGGCGGCGCGUGGAGGAGACGCGUCGCCACUGUUCCUGCAGUUGCAGAAGGCCUUCCCUGUAAUUUCUGGAGUUUUAGGGGUUAUUUUAUAAUUUUAAAUUGUUUAAUGUAAUUUUUUGUUUAGUUUUUUUAUUUGUUUAUAAUUUGUAGUGUGGAUGUAACAAAGAAAAAAGAAAAAUAUAGUGAAAGUGAACGUGUUGUUUGUAUUUUUUUAUGGAUGUUUUUUUUUAUGAUAAAAUUGCCAAGAAUAAAGAAGAAUUUAAUAUUUUGAUUUAUUCACGGUCAAGAAUUAUGAAUUUACAUGUAAGUCGUAUUUCUAAUAUCCAAUGAAAGGAAAAAAAAUUUAAAACUUAUUUAACACAUCAAAGCCACAAAGCAGCUUACCUUAGGUAGGGUGCGUUAGGGGUGUUAAUACCUUCCCUAACCACAACCAGUCCCUUACCCAUGAAUCUCUGACAAGACCAAUAUACAUGGGUUUCAUAGUAGCUCUCAAUUAAAUACUAGGUGGCAACUCUCAAUGAACCAAAUCAACGAUAACGAAAAAAAUCACCAACUGACACCGCACGGGAGACGUGCGACAAUAAUAUUUAACAAAUGAAAACAUUAGUAAAUCAAAUCAUUCGGGGGCAAAAAAGAAAAAGAAAAAAAGAAGCCAAGAAAAUGCAGUUCAAGUUUCUAAUUAGUGAUAUUGUCAAUAUGAUAUCCUCCGAUCAUAAAAACAAAACAAAAGUAUUUGGAGAAUCACAAACCGCAAGAUUUGAGUCAGUACGGCGUUCCUCCGGGCAUCAUUCUCUGAUCUUGCUUUGAUAAUUUGAAACAUGAGGUCAAGCCUGACUUGAUUUGCAGCGCUCUGCUUGGAGAUUAUAUUAGUUUCCUCUUUCAGUUUGGCAGUCUCUUUGCUUAUUUCUUCAAAUUUCUCCCUCACUUCUUUUUGUCCAUCUCGUAUGCGUUCCUGGCCCUCGUUGAUCUCCGCCAUGUCAGCUCUGAUCCUCUUGAUACUCCUGGUUAGUUUGGUGUCCUUUAGUUUUCUUUUCUGCGGACAAUAACAUUGAGGAAUAUUGAAUGUUAGAAAGCUAGCAUAACAGUGUUGUCUUUGGUUACUAGUUUCCUAGGACAACACCGAUCUCUAAGUUGUAUUUGGCUAGUUUUCUAUCGUAGAGAGAGGGAAAAAAAAAAACACUUGUUGGGUCAAAGAAGAAGAAGAAAUAAAUAUAUAAAAGAAAUAUAUAUUUUAAAAUAGUUUUUGAAUGAGUUUUUAUUUUUUUCAAAACAAGAAGGAAAUAAAAAGAAACAUGACAUUUGUAUUUUUAAUAUUUUUAUCUGUUAAUACAUCUACAGUGCAUAUCCUUUUAGCAAAAAUGCUGAGAACAAUUACAAGCAAAGAAUAGUAUUGGGAGGUAAUGUACUGUUAUUGGGAUGAUAAUGGUUUUUUAAAGUAUUUUUUUGUUUAAAAAUAUAUAAAAAUAAUAUUUUUAAAAAAUAAUUAUAAAACAAUGUAAAAAUUUUUGUUUUUUUUUAAAUAAAAUUUUUAUAAAACACUAUCUGUACCACGUUACCAAAAUACACUGAGAAAUAUGUAACAGACCGUGCUUCGAGUUGCGCGGCGGCCAUUCCUUGUCAGCAUGGUGCUACUCAACUGAGGGUAGCUUUAUGUGGCUUGCCUAUAAUUCGUUAUAUAUAGGAACCCCGCCUCUAAAAAGACGCGAUCAGGAACGCGUGAGGAAAUUGCGGUCGAUUUUCCAAUUUCCUUCCUUGGACCGAUCUAACGCGUGCGUGUCCGUAGGGUUAUUGAAAGGUUCUCAGUCAUCAAUGUAUUUUGAAAAUUUAAAAAGCCUUCAGGCUUCCCAGCAGUGUUUUGCAGUGUGAUUAGAAAAUGUUUUUAUUUUUUAUUUUAAAUUAAUUUUUUUUAUUCUGAUAUAUUAAUGCUAAAAUAUUUUUUUUUAAAAUAUUAUUUUAAAAAUUCAGUUUUAUUAUGCACUCAGAUUGAAUUCUUUUUACUUUUUUUUGUUAUAUUAUUUUUUAUUAAUUUGUUUAUUAUGGUUGUAUUUUUUAUUCUAUCUAAAUUAUCAAUUGAAUCAAUUAUUGGAGUCUCGGUUCUCAAAAUGUUUUUUUCCUUAACAUUCUUUUUACAUAAAAAAGAUUAACCAGCCAUGGAGCACGUACCACGAGUCUAGUCAAUUCUAAACUCUGUAAAACCAAAUGAAAGACUUUAUUUUUUCUUAAAAAAAGUUCUUAAAACAUAAAUUAAAAGAAACAAAAGAAUCUCUGAAAAGGUAAUCUUGUAAUGGCCUAUUUCCCAGAAUUAUACGGUAUUAAUUUUAGGAUCGAACUAUAAUUUCCUUUAAGAUCAUAGAAGAGAAUGAGAAUUCUUAAAAUUAUAAUAUAUUGCACAAUAAAUUGGGUUAAAUAACCUCUCCACUUUGAAGCAAAGAUAACUAGAGACCUCCGGUCCAAUUAAUCCAUACACGGUGGCCAAUUUAUUAGUAAUGGAGCUGGAUUAAUUUACAAGAGGCACAUCACCUUUUAAGUGCGCAGGGUUUUUUUUUCCCCGGAGAGAAAAAGGGCCGAAAGCCUAACAAAGAAAAGGAACCCCCCUUGCAGACUUUAAAAUCCCCCAAGUACUUCUAUCGUAGAAUGGAUUUAAUUGUAAAUCCAAGUGAAUCGAUUUAAUAAUUAAAUUACUAUUUCUGGAACAAAUUUAUUAUUGUAAAAUUCUAUUAAAAUUGUUUACUAGAAAUUAAAUAAUUUUCUAAAUUUACCCCUUUCACAUCUCAACGUAAAUAGAUCUCUCCUUAACUUGACGGAUAUGCCACAGCCACCCUUUCAAAAUCCAGGGUUUUAAGGAGAAAAAUAGUUACAGAUGCACCGUAAGGCUUGAGAGUAUCAGUUCUUGUAAUUAAAAUUCCUUACAGAGUGUAAACCAGAUUGGUCCUUCACGAGAGACUCCACCAAAAAGUUAAGUCUUAUAUAUAUAUAUAUCUAUCAAGAUUUACAUCAAGAUUAAUUCACAAGUCUAUCAGCACAUGAGCUAGACCCCCCCUACACUGGAGAGGUUUCUGCCCUCCAGUCUCUGCGUGGAAGAUUUAUACCUAUCUUGGAAACAUAGCAUAAGGGCCUGCCCUGUCCUUGAUCAUCUGCCAAAACAUGUUUAACCACUUGGGAAGCUACUUCAAGAUGCAAACAUCUGAUUCCCAAAUUCCAUAGCCAAUCCAGCUGCAAAUCCUGCCAUGAAAUACCCCAAGGAAAUAUCCCUAUACGGAUCAUUAAUCUUGCUGGUUCCACCACUGUCAAUUUUAUCCAUCCAUCAAAUGGGGAAGACCGGUGCACAUGAGCGAUAGUAGUAGGCUUAUAAGAUGGCCCAAACCAGUUAGAUUUACAUACACUAAGUAUAAGAGAGAUUACCAAUUUAAAAAGCAAAUCAAAACCUCCAAGUACCAAUUUAUUUAUUUACUUCUUGAUACUUUUGCUGCUAAAAACACACUGCUGCUAAAAUCUAAGAACACCCUUCAUACAUGAUGAUUGGGUCAAUAUAAUAGGUCAUGCAAUUCUAAGAACACAUUAGGUCACAUCCUUGGGUAUAUAAAUUCGUGUAGCCUCUUAAUUCUCCUGUCAGCACACCUCCUCUAACCAUUUACUUUGUAGCUCAGUACCUGGAAUUUUUGUAUUCAAAGAUGAUUAAUUUCUAUAAGCAAUGGUUGUGCUUAGAAUAAAGAACUCAUAGUUAAAUUAAAAGAUGAGUUUCACGGAGAUCAGUAGUUCGCAGAAUCCUACAAAUUCUUCUCUAUAAAAAAAGAUUUUUGGAGCCUCUUACAACAAGAAGAGUUAAUGACUAUAUUAUCAUUAAUGAUAUAUUCUAGUCACUGAAAAAAUAUAUUUUUUAGUAAUGUAAAAGUUAGAAAGUAAAGAAAAAGUGUUCUACAUUAAACAGAUAAAUCAUAUAAAUUCUACAUCCGUGUGAUUCGCUUCUUGAAUAGAAAACUUGACACAGGAAAUUAAACUCAAAAAAUGAACAACAAAAUACUAAAAAAUACAUUUGAUAAUUCAUAAAAACUACAAAGAAAAGAUUAAAAAAAAAGAAGCAAAAUAAAAGGAGUUACAAGGUCGAAAUGUUACCUAAAUUAGGAUGCUUGCUUUGGUUCGAGGUCAUUAUCCUUGUUUAUCUUUGCACAUAAGGCAUCAAUAAUCAAUUGGAGAUCAUUCUUCUCUUGUUCUAGUUCUAUGUUUUUUGCUCGAAGUUGAAUGAGGUUUAAAUAGUCAUCGUUGUUAAUCUUCUUAAUCAGCAAAUCCAUUUCUAAUUUCAGCCAUUUAUUUUCGCUCUGAGGAUCCAUAUUAUCGUCGAUACUAGCCUGCAAUCAAAAGAAAGAAAUGGAAACGCCGGUGAGAUGAUUACCGAGUUCACUUCCUCGUGUAAGCUUGAGGGAGAUUCAGCUAUUAAAAAUAGCAAUGGAAACGCUAAGUUUCAUCAAGCUAGAAACACACACAAACAACCAUUUUUUAUUUUAUUUAAUAUAACUGCUAGCUAGCUAGGGAGACAAAGCACCGACGAAUUACCUCAUAUUUGAUUAAUGUUGCAUUCACUAAAAAGGUCUGUAUCUUUAAUUAACUAAUGUGAGAUUCUCAACUUACAUAUAAAAAAUCUCACAACCACUCGUGAUUUCUUCCACGUUGAUUACUUAUUAAUUAGUUCUUUUAUGAUUUAGUCUUUAGCGAUCUGAAUGAGGCUUCACCAAACUCAAUUAAGGCACACAACUCUCUAUAUCUAACUCAAUAGGGGAAAUAGGGAAAGCCAUGACCUUUGCUCAGGUUUGAUAAUCUUGUUGUGGUGAGAAGAGAGGAGCUACCCUCUCCUAUAUAGUGUAAACAUAAUGAGCCCAUGAAAUGGAUGACACAGAAAAUUGGAUGUCAAACAAAAUUCCAGCAGUUAAUUACCAUCACUUAGCUAGCUCAGAUAAUUUGAUCUAGAUUAUUGCAUGUAUAAUGUGGUGAUCAUCGGCAAAGUGAAAAACGCAGGAGGUAAGAAGAAACGCUCACUACUUUCUUCGAAAGCACAUCCACGACUACAUUUUGCCCCUGAAGCUGGGCCUUCUGUUGGCGAAGUUUAUUCUGUAGCAGUGUCAUUUCGUCUUUCUGAGAUUGCACCAUCUCUUGCAGCUUAACUUCUUCCCUUUUGAAGUAGUCAUUCUCUCUAAUUAAUUUCUUAUUCUCUUCUAUGAGCACAAACAAUUCUUGCUCAGUUUUCCUUUUAUUUUCCUGCAUGAUAUUUGAUUAAAACAUAAGAAUUACAGAAAAAAGUCUAAAUAAAAAGAUAAGAAGAGACACAAUCAGUUAACUACCCUGCAUCGUCGCCGAUAUGCCCUGUCGUACUCUCUUUUCUUUUGAAGAUCCUUGGCAGUUUUAGGAGCUUUUCUUUUCGGCUUAGUAUGGGCAGUAGGAGACUCUCCAGGUAGAGGUGAUAGGCACUGCCCGAUUGGAAAUGGGUUCACUCCAUAGCCGUCGGCGGUUUCAUCGAGUGUAGAUGUGUUUCUUCCAGCUGCGAUUAAAGUUUAGAAGAAUAAAACCCUUCAAAAAGACCCCCCUUUUAUUUUAUUUUUUAUAACCUAGCAAAGGAAUACAUUAGGAACAACGGAGAAACCCAUGGCGAGAGAGAAUGGACAUUUAAGGGCACCUCAAAGCAAGAGCAGAUAAAGAAAACAUAUAUAGGGAAAAGAACAUAAAAAGCUAAGCAUGAGAAGGUACAAAAUCAAAAGGUUUCCCAUAAAGAUAAAAGCGCCAUUGUAACAGAGAUCGAGUAAGAGCAUCAGUAAUCUUAUAGAGAACAAGAAACAGAACAUACUCCACUGUCACACAAACAGAUAUUCAGAUAUGAUCAUGUUGUCUGACGCGAAUACAGGUUGACUCUAACUAGUUCCUGGAAAAUAAAGAACAGGACGUAGGGAGAAUUAAUUAAUUACAGUUCACAUGCAGUACUACUUUGGUUUUCUCCUAGUCGGCAUAAUUAAUACUUGGGAAUCAACUUACUUCUAUGAAGCUGAGGCAUCAUAUCUAACAGUUCAGCCCCUCCUGUCCAAUACAAAUUGAGCUGAUCCAUUAGCUUCUACUUGCAGAAAAUUGAAAGCAAACAGAAAUCAACUACAAAACAUAGGAUAAAACCACGAAAACAAAUAGGAGAGAAAAUACUUCUUACGUCUCCGUCCCAGAGAUCGAGAAGGUCCCGUUUAUUUAUAAGGUCAUGAAAGCAUGACGAGACAAUAUUUCUGGUAAAUUGUGCGAAAACGCGCGAUAUAGAAAGAAAUCGGGCGGCGCACGACAUGCUUGCAUCAUGAAGGUAUCGAGUCAUAACCAUGACAAAAACAAUCGUGCGAUAGAUGUACCCACACUGCCUUUUGCGUUCUUUCUUUGUCGCUCGCCCUUAAACGGGGCUGUAGUAGUAGAAGUUAAUUAAGGACAAGGAUGUUGAGUUCAAUAACUACAACAAACAAAGAGAACGCCAACAAUGGCGCCACCCGAUAUGAUCAUAGCUAGCUAGUACAUAAGAUUGGAAAAAAAAAAAAAAAAAACAAACAAACACCACCCUUUUGGUGCCCUAAUUUGACAAUGGUCCACUUAAUCAAAGGCGAGUCUUUUGGUCAAAAAGGACUUGGACACUUGGGCAUAAUUUUCUAAGUCAGUAGAUAAAAUAAAAUAAAAAUUCAAUCCAUGACCUUUCAAACUAGUACUCUUGCUGGCAGCUCGUCAGUACUCUCGAUCGAGUUUCUCUUUUCUUUUUCUUUUUCUUUUUUUAAUCUGUAAAACGAUUUACAAUAUCAAAUUUUGAAAGAAAUGCGCAUUAAGAGACCAAAAAUUAUAUUUGUAAGUAAUUAUUUUUUAUAUUAAACAAAUAAAGUUAGAUAACCAUGAAGCUCUAGCAAAAAGAAAACACAUAAUAUUGACAUACAAAGGAGAGUAAUUGUUUUUCUUAACCGAGCUUCUUGACAAUAAAAAAGAACCUUUCCACAAAUAAAUCAGUUAGUUUAAAAUAAAAAACACAUCUCUCCCUUCAACUUGAAAUAACGCGAACCAUAUAUCAAAUUACAGUGGCGAUCAAGUGGUCCCAUAUUUCAUUGUAAUCAUAUAGUAUACCAAGAGUGUGAAUGGGUUUUAGGAGCACCUGUCUUUUUUCUUCAUAGAAAGAGGCUUGUGGGUAGAUUUUUAAUUAUUGGAGUGCUGGGAGUCGCUUUCUUACCGCUGAUGGUGCGUGCGUCGUUGGCACCGAGUAAUAUUCAAUAAUGUGUGUAGACAUGAUGAACAUCGUAUGCGAGGCCCAUGAGGACGUGAUCGACAACGUGCGAGGUGAAGCCUAAUUGUUAAACAAGGUGGUCAAAGCUCCAAUACUUUCUUUAAAAGCAGCAGCAUGGUAUUCCAAUUUGCCGUUUCUCUAAUUCUGCAGCAAAUUAAAUCAACUGCAAGGUCACUGAUCAGUGUUUCGAAAUAUAGUAACAAAUCUGGAUCCUGUUUUAGGAUAUGUUCCAAGGUAACUGGAAUUAUGCGCUCGAGUAUUAUAAUGGAUUAGGGCAUGGAUUAUACAAGAUUGUUGGUAAGCAGACUGAAAGUUAUUAUGCCAAGUUUCAUGAUGGCUAAUAAAGUGGUUCAUAAUUUUAAGAAAAGUGGAUUUAUAAUGAAAAUGGAUUUCCACAAUACCUUCAAUUCUGUUACACGAGAGUAAUUAAUAUCUUAGAAAUUAGAUAUCCCUAAUACAUAAUUAAUGCGGAUCUAAAUUAGCAAUUCUUAGUGAUUAGCAAUUUUUAUUAAUGGUUCAUCGAUCGAGCAAGGAGUUUGGAGUGUGAAUUACCAAUAGCCAAAAGUCCCAGAAAUAUGGAUUUAGAAGAUUUAAUGAAAUCACAACUUUUUUUUUUCAUGAACUCAUAAAAAUCACUGAUUAAACACAUUAUAUAUAAACCUUCUUUCACUCUAAACGUCUAACCUUUUUUUUUUAAAAAUACGUCCCCAUACAAUUAAAAUAUAAUGAUUUACAAAUAUUAAGAACAUUUUAGAUAUAAAAUAUCAUAUUGAAAAAAUCAUCAAAUUUUUAAAAUCUUAGUGGUCUAUGUAACAUAGAAAGUACAUCAUGAGGAUCUUUUUAAUUAACCUUAUGAACGUUUCAGAGUUUGUAUUAUGAUUAUAUUAAUUAAUGCAUAGAUGAAUGGGCGCAUCACUUUCGAUCCAGGAUCAUACAGGGGCGGAGCGAGGUGUAUUUUACGGGGAAGGUCAAAAUUAAUAUAAUAAUAUAUAUUAUUAAAAAUUUUAUUUAUUUAAAUUAAAAAUAGAAAAUAAUAGAAAAUUUUAAAAUAUUUUGAAAUGGCCGGCCCCUGCUUGCCAUCUCCUGGCUCCGCCUCUGAUACUAUUGGAUCUCACUUUGCUCUUGGUGUCAUCAUCACUAGUUUAAUUAAGUUAUCAUUUCUUUAAUUACGAGAGAUGUCUUGAUGUUGAAGGAAGAAAACAAAAAUCACAUCAUUACUUAAGAUUCUAAUGAAAAGAAGAAGAAGAUAAAAUUAUAAAAAGUUAAAAUGAAAAAGACAACACAUUGGUCCCCUCGAUCGAUCGUCACUCGAAUCUGACAUUUUUCAUUUUCAAAAAGCAAAACAAAAUAUAAUCCACUGACAGAUCGAUCAAAGCUCCAUGUCUGGUUUCCUAACAUUUAACUCUUUUACCAGGAUUCAUAUUUUGGUAACAGUCAUAAACCAUCAUAUAUAAAUUCAUAAUUUCCUAAUUAAUAGCAUCGAUCGGUUCCAUUAAUUAGUUCUUGAAAUUAAAAAAAAAAAAAAAACAUUUGUUCCAUGAAACUGUCCAAUUAAUAAACCACUUCAUAUAAAAACCUUGUACUAUAAUUCAUAUUGAGCAUAAGACAAACCUCAACUACUUUAUAUUUUAAGGAGUUUUUAAAAAUAUGAUAGUGAUUAUUUUUUUAAAAAUUUACUUAGAAUAAUUUUUAACAUUAAUACAUCAAAACAAUUCUAAAAUAUAUAUAAAAAAUAUAUAUAACACUGUUUGGAACUUAAUUUCUCUCUAUCGUCUUUGGUACUUCUAGAUAGAUAAGGAUUUUUUUUUUUGGACAUAAAAUAUUUAGUAAGAAGGAAAUUAAAUUUUAAAACAAAAUUAGAAAAAGGAAGGUAGAACUACAUCUGCAGCUCAAAUCAGACCAGUCUGGAAAAACAAAUCUAUGAAUUCAAUAACGAUUCUUAAUGACAAUUUUUCGUCAUCAGUCUCAAAUUAAGGUAACUGAUCAAUAAAGAGUUGUACCUUACAGGGUGUCGUUCAGAUUUGCAUAUAAUCUGACAGAAAAGCAUGCAUGUUUUGUCUGUCCGAGCAUCAUGUUUUCUUUUUCUAAAAUCACCCACUCGUCCAAACCAAACGUUGUCUUAACUGUGCUGCAUGUAUCAUGUCAUUCUAAAUAGCGAUUUGCAAAGUCAAUACUCUCAUCAAUGCAGCUUCAAGCCAUCUCUGAUAUAUGAACUUGAUUCGGCUCCCAUAAAGCUGCUUGAUGCAAACAUCCUCAAUAUUUUGUACUCCUCUUUUCUUCCCCUUCCUGAAGAUUAUCAAUAAACCAAGAUAAGCAUAGACGAAGGGAAAAUUAAAAUUCUAGCUAAAGACAGAUUCAAAACAUAUUCACUUACCCAUAAUAAUGUCAAGACCAGAACAGUUGUUAGCACCAGCAGAAAUAUUCAUAGUUUCCGAUGAAUAGCAUCUGAACUGGACGGCUGAAUGCAUAUUGAGGGUUUGUUGGUGAGAUGUGGUUGUGAGGAAUCAUGGGCGAGCUGAUUUCUUUUUAAAAUGAAGGCAGUAUCAAUCAUUGACGAAGACUACACAAAGCGCUGCAUUGUUUGACGAGGUCACUACGGUACCAUGUGAAACACAACCCUUUUAACCUGUUGUUGAGGACUUGGUUUUAUUGGCCGAUAAAUUUUUAUAGAUCUUAUCGGUUGAUAUUAGAUAAAUUUUAAAAAAUCUUAUAUAAAAGAAAUUAUACAUGGCCAAUAGGCUUCUGUUAAGAAAAUAUGGCAGACUUUUUUUCUAUCUAUAAAAAAAGGACAAGCACCCUUUUUUCCCAACCACAUUGGCAAUUUGUAGAUAUAUUAUUGGAAAUAAUUUUUUAUUAUUUGCUAUUAAGGUUUGAAUAAAAACAUUUCAAGUGGUUAAUACCAAAAUAUUUAAUUUUAUAGGAAUAAUAAGUCACCACAUAUCCAUGAAAGAAACCUUGAUUAUAAUUGAACAUUUCAAUUUUGACUCCACGGUUUACGAGCCGUGAAAGUAUGAAACACUAAGGUAAAAAAAAGGUUUUUAAAAUGCUCUUAAUUUUCUUAGAUUUCUAAAUCUUUGUUCCUUUUCCUUGCGAUUUACGAGUUGCAAAUACUUGAAAUACCAAAAAAUGAGCUUUUAAAGCACAUUGAAUCUUCUAGUAUUUCUAUCUUAAUAAAUUUAGUUUGAAUUAAAAACAGAUUUCAAAAUAUAUGCAUUAGUCUCCCUUAGCACUUUGUAGACAUAUCUAAAGGUAUGAUCUAUGUCGCCCAAGGAUUCUUGCUUUUUAGACUUUGAACCCAAAUCAUUCAUCAUAGCGAACCUAUCCUAGAAAAACUUAUUAGAGAACACCAACGUCAUAGCAAUCAUAAAGCAAAUCAAAUACCAAGCAAAUUACCUUAGAUAAGGCGUAUUAGGGAUGCUAAAACCUUUCAUUUACGCAACCAGUCUCUUGCCUUAGAAUCUCUGAAAGACCAGUUUCUAGUGAUCAUAAUACUAGGUGGCGACUCCCUUAUCCGCAAACAAAUAAAAAAAACCCGAAAUCAAUCGAGGGUCGUCGCUCCGCCGCGAGAGUACGAUAGUCUUAGUGGAAAAGGAUACAUUACAAUGAUACUUAGCACCAUAAUGAGGGUGGCUAAGGACAUAAAUUGAUACUUGGCAUUGUGAUGAGGGUGACCAAGGUUAUGUGAAUGAUGUUUAGUGGUCGUAAUGUCGAUAACUAAGAUUAUGUGUGAAUAAUGGAGAAAGAAUGGUUGGAUCAAUUUCUAAUGCUAGCAACGUAUAUAGAGUUGAAACUAACAACAAUAAUCCUUAUAGGACUAUGGUUAUAGAUGCAAUGAGAAUGAAUCGAGGUUAUGUCGAUCAAUGUCCAAUCAUAAAUAACGAACCAAAUGCAUGCGUGACCAAGUUUUUUGAUCUUUUGAAAGAUUUUAGCGAACCAUUAUGGGAUGGCUGCACGAAUCACAGUAAAUUAUCAAUUAUUGCACAAGUGAUUAUCAUCAAAUCGGAUUAUGCGUUGAGGGAGCCCGGUUAUGACAUAAUUUUUUUUUUAAAAAAAAAAAUAUCAAUUGUCAUUAACUUAUAUACAAUAUGUUUGUUUCAUGCAGGCUGCGUAAUUUUUGGUAUGAGACGCAAAAAAAAAACCUAAAACAUAAGCCAGAGAAAAAGCUCUACCAGGCUAGAAUGACGUAGCAGUUUGGAAGGAUUUCAGGCCACUAUACAUCCCGGAGGAUACAUGGGCGGAAUAUAUUCAGCACGUGAUAUCCAAGCGUUUCACACAACACUCGCAGUCUAGUGCGGGGAAUCGGAGCCUGCAAAUUCACGACUCGAUUACAACGCACACCAACAGCUCCGUUCCUUUCAUUUUGCAUAUGAAUCAGAUAGUAAGAUUAAUUUUAAUCAUAUUUAUCUUUAAUUAAUUUGUUGUUUUUUGUUAUAAAUAUAUUUAACUUAUAACAUUUUUUUCUUAUAAGCUAUGACUCUUGGACGUGGGUCGAGCCUAAUGAAGUUUUUUGUAGAGAUGUACGUGCGAAGUGAAGAUCACCAAAAGAGAUGCAACAGUUUAUCGACAACCAUGAUCAACACUUUAUGGUAUGUUCAUUCAACUAUUUUCUUUCAUAAGUUAUUAUUUUCUUAAAUUGAAUUUGAUGAUUUUAGUUUUUAUUUUCAGGAGACAUAUAAUAGUCAGAUGAGGGAGAGAUACGAAAACGAUCCUUCAACCCACCCGAAUUUGUUGAUAGAGGCAGGAUAGUUUGGUGGACCUGAUAAAAAUCGAGUGUACAGACUCUCCAACACUAUGAUCGAGAACAUGUAGACAGCUCAUAAUGUCUCUACCAUUAGAAGUUCGUGGGAGUUCACUACCUUGCAACAACAUACGACCCAUCUCACCAAAAAAUAUGAGCGACUCCCGGUGGAUUAUGAACAACUCGGCCAAAUGGUCAUGGACAUGAGAUCACAAAUGAGUGGUGCAUGUGCAUCCUUUUUUGGUCGUAUGGUCUCGGGAUUGACCGGCCUCCUCCUCCUCCUCUAGAGUCGUCAUUGUUCUGGUUUAAUUUUAUUUGAACAUAUAAAUUUGUAAUGAAUAUUUGGAUUUUAUAUUAUUCAAAAAAAAUUUAUACAAUUUUUUUUUAAUUUUUAAUCAUUUUCUUUUUUUGUUCUAAAGAUUUUUUAAAUAAUAUAUUUUUUAAUUAUUAAAAAUAAAUUAGUUUAUUAAAAAAAUAUAUUUUUUAAUUAUUACAAACAGAUGUACCAUUAGACACAAUCUGUCGGUCAUAUGCCCCCAUAACACUGUUACAUCACCGACAAAAUAAUUUCGUUUGUAUUUUACAGGGGGUUGGAAUAAAAUUACAAUAACUAUCAUUAUCAAUCAUUGACGGAAUUAUUUUGCCGGUUUAUUUAAGCAGAGUAAUUUUUUUUUGCGUGUAUUUUUUAUCUGUAAAACUAUAAGUGUGUUUUUUUACCAACAUAAAUGAAAUUACCGACAAAAGGAUUAUCGGUUGAUGUUUUUUGUCCAUGAAUCUGCCGGUAAAAAUCUUGUUCAGGAAUAAUAGUGUAGAUAUUGAUAGAAACUCUGUUAGUAAAACUAUUAAAUAUGAUGGUGAUCUUUGAUGCAAGUUGAUCACUGAUUCAAAUAUCUCUAGUUCAAUUAGGCCUCUUAUUCUUCGUUUCUUUAUUUAGAGAGAAGAAACUAUAAUCGGGAACUUAAUAAUGAGCGAAGAUAGAUAGUGGCCAAGUAAAAUCAAGUGGAGUGUGAGGAUACUGGACCUAGAACCUUAAAAAUGUUCUAUGUUUCGUCUACUAUUAUGAACAAAAGAAAACAAGUAGUUAAAGAAGAAAAGAAAGAGUUGCAUGAAAAAUGAGCACGUGAAAAAUAAUGAAAGCAAUAAAUAAAAGCGAGGAUGAUAAACUGAAUGAAAUUACAUAAACGGGAUGAUCAACCUUGACAAUAAUUGUAUGGCACUUUUUAAAUUGAUAUAGAGUUUGAAUUUUAACGGUAACUCUAAUCUCAUAUAUAUGGAUAUUAAUAAUAAUGAUAUUUUAUUAAAUUCUAAUACAAACUAUUUUUUAUAUAUAUAAAUACAUGAAUUAAUAUAUUAAGAACUUUCACAAUUGCAUUAUCUUGAUAUAUUUUUUAUUAAAAAAAUAUUUUAAAAAGCAACAAAAGCACCCCCUCUAAACAACCCCUUACUGAAUCAAAGUCGUGAAAAGAUUGUGUUCAAAAAGAUUGUUGACGCUUUAGCGUGUAUGUUCCUCUUCAUGGUUCUUGUCAUUGUUUAUCUUCAUGCAUAAAGCGUCAACAAUCUUUUUGAACACAAUGUUCUCACGUCGUAGUUGUUCAUUUCUUCCUUGAAGCUGAAGUAUAAUUGAGUUGUCCUGAUUGUUAGCACAGCUCGUUAAUUGAUCCAUUUGAGAUUUUAGAAGAGUAUUUUCACGUUGAAGAUCUAUAAUUUGGGACUGGACCUGCAAAAUUGAAUGAAGAUAAUAGUGAGAUAUAGAUGAAUCAAUUAAAUUAAGAAAUGAAAGAGAGGGAAACGUACUAGUUGCUUUGUGAGAACCUCCACAACAAUAUUUUGUGUAUUAAGGCUGCCUUCCAAUCGGCGAACUUCUUGCUGAAGAUGCUUGCUCUCUUCUUCUUGAGACUUUAAAGCAUGAUUCUUCCUAACACAUUUUUCAUUUAAACGAUUAAUUUCUGUCUUUAGACGAUUAUUUUCUGCCUUGGUAUUUUCUUUGUCUUCCUGAAGAAAGUAAAUAUUAGCACGUAAAAUGAAAGGAAGAAGACAAAUAUUUGAGCAAGGCAAGAUAAGCAAAUAACAUUAAUGUCUGGGGGAGAGGUAAUUGGUCUUACCCUGCAUUUUUCCCGGUAUGCCUUGUCGCCCAUUCUUUUCUUUUCAGAUGUUAGAUAAUCAAAACCUUCGGGAGAUUUUCUUACCCGAUUAUUACGGCAAGGUGUUUCUGCAGCCUGAAAACUUCCCUGUUGACCAGACAGGUAAUCAAAUGUUUGGUGACUUUUGUCAUUCAUUUCCAGUUUAGUAGUGGCUUUGUCUGGUGAAGAAUCAGAACUUCCUGGUUGAACUUGUGGGCUUUCAAGUGCUUGAUGAUUGUUAUCAUUUACUUCAAGAGCUGCUGUGCUUGGACCCGUUGAAAAUCCAGGUUGGGCCGAUAAGUAAUUGAGUGUUUGAUGAUCGUUGCCAUUAAGUUCCGUAUCAGUAUCGGCCCUGUUUUGCUCCUGAGAAUCUUCUGGUUGGGCUGAAGUGCAAUCGAUCGCGUGAUCUUCAUAGAGUCCAUCUAGUGUCAACAUGUUUGAUGCAUCUGUACGCACAGAAAAACAUUUACAAUAACAAAUUUGUUUAGAGAAAUUCAAAUGUAACAAACACUCUUUGAAGCUACAGAUACUCAAUCCAAAGUAAGACUGUACGCAGCUGCACACGACUGUGUACGCCCACACAUGGAUAUGAUACAUCAGAUUAGUGAUUCAAGAACGAGAGAGAAUUUACCCUAAGAAAGUUAGGAGAAUACAAAGUAGAAGCUGGAAUUAGAAGAUCAGAACCCAAAGAUUUGGUGACAAACUCUUUAAGGAUGAAAUUUUACUCAAUUCAAUUCCAGAUCUAAGCAAAACAAAAACAAUUUAUUUUUUUCAAAUAGUCUAUUAACAAGAACUUAAACCUUGAUUUAUCUGAAAAGACAAAUAUUACAGCUAAACCUGUUGUUUCCUAAUUAUAGUUAAAAUUAAAGUCUACUGACUUCGCAUGUAUCUUACCGAAUAGCUUCCGCCAAAAACUGCCAACUUCCAUUGCAGGCAGCUGACAAGGGCAAGCGAAAGGAUGAUUGACUUUGCUUAACUUCUUUCUUGGAUUCAAAAGUGCAGAAGUAUAAAAAGAGGAAGGAGAGAAGACAGAAGACACUACGAAGUAAGAAUAAAGAACGACACGUGGGAAGACAAAAUAAACUGUAUAAAAGACUCGGUGCUUGCUUCUCACGUAAAUCCGCACUCAAAUCGCACGAAAUAAGUCCGAACCUCGCGUCUAUAAUCCAAAUAGGAUGACAUUGAUCGCGCUAUAUGCGCUCUUUAUUAAAGACACCGUGCAGGGUUGCGCUCUUUAUUAAAGACACCGUGUGGGGUUGUACACUUUUCAUCAAAUUUUUUAAUUUUGUUUAAAUUAUUUUUAUGUGUUAAUUUUAAAAUAAAAAAAUAUUAUUUUGAUAUAUUUUUUGAAUAACUUUUUUUUUUAAAUAAUCUUUAUCACAUUCUCAAACACUCGAGUGGAAAAAACAUUGUUCAUCAACAUCUACAUCCACAAAAUAGUAAUUCUUCGAUUUUUUUUAAUUUAAUUUUUUAAUUUUUAAAUCCUCUUUUAUUUAGUCCUUAAUUUUUAAAUUAUUUUUUUUUCUUGAUUUUUUUAUUUUAUUCUUCAACAUUUAAUUGAUUAAAAAUUAAAUUUUAAUAAAAAUUGGGGGAACAACACCAUUACAAUAAUAAUCUACAAUGUUUUUUUCUUUUUUAUUUUUAUUUUGAUUAUUUUUUUAAUGUAUCAGCAUCGAGUUGGUGCUAAAUUUCACAAAAACAAAAGAAUUCAAUUUUAUUAUUUGUUUGAAAUUAAAAACCAAGGGACCAAAAUUAAAAAAGAGAAAAAAUAGCAGCCCUUUGUUGCUUUUUUUUUUCUUUAUGAAUGGGUGCUUUCAAGUUCGGUGCUCUAAUUUUUUUUUAAUUUUUUCAGUCAUCUUUUUUUUUAUUUCAAUUUUAUUAUUCAUUGUUAUGUUGAUUAGGAUUUUUAUUGAUAAUUUUUUUUUAUUAUUAUUUAUCUAUGUAUUAAAUAAUUGUUUCAACAUCCGGUUAGUUAUCGACUUUGUGAGGUAUUGUUGAGAUUCUUCAUUUUUCUAAAGAUUAAGAGUAAGAAGCCUAAAUUGAAGAACAACAAAACAACGAAUCCUGGAUAGAUGAAUAGCACAAGACAGUCAUGAAAACCGAGGUAUUAAGAAAGAGAAGGUAAGAAAUAAAGAAUGGUUUGGCAGUCAUAUUGGACCUCCUCUUACAACACCCUCCGCAUUUUAGGGGACGUAAUGAUAAUUCCAACAACAACAAAAAAAUAAAAAUAAAUAAAUAAAUAAUGACAUCAAUUGGAUCAUGGUGAAAUGCUCAUCCACCGCCCAAAGGCUACAGGCCUUUCUCACACCUUGCCGCGUGUUUAGCAUAAGCCAAGCACUUCUAUGUUCUUCUUUCAGUUACGACCUUGACAUCACGACCCUUGAAAUCAUAGUUAUCAAAUCUAAUCCUGGCAUUAAUUUAAGUUAAGAAAUUGAGUUUUAGAUUUUACCUGUCAAUUCAGAAAAAUUAAAAAAUACAUUUAAAGUUUUAAUAUUUUAUAUAAAAAAAUUUAAAAAUAAUUUAUGUAAAUAUAGAUUAUAUAUUAGAAAUAAUUAAGUUUAAAAAAAUAUAUUUUUUAAAAAAAAGUAUCUCACAUUAAAAUAAUAUUAUAUAUUUAAUAUGAAUACAUUAAAACAAUUAUUUUUAAACUAAGAUUUUGUAAAAAUACACUCCAAUCGCACGGAUAAGUACGCUAUUAGUCUAGAUGGAUUGCCGGCGGCGAAAAGGCCGAAACCCUUGGUCCUCGACGAUUUCUUUUUAUGGUCAAUGCAUAUUGAGGGUUUGUUGGUGAAUAGUUUCAUAGUUUCUGAUGAAUAGCAUCUGAACUGGACGGCUGAAUGCAUAUCGAGGGUUUGUUGGUGAGAUGUGGUUGUGAGGAAUCAUGGGCGAGCUGAUUUCUUUGUAAAAUGAAGGCAGUAUCAAUAAUUGAGGAGUGUCUGUUUGGCACUGCGGUGCAACUUGUUUUUUGUAUAAUUUUAAAAAGAAAAUUUUGUUAAAAUUGAGUUUGUUUGUAUUUUCUGUAUCGUUUUGAUGUGCUGAUAUCAAAAAUGAUUUUUUAAAAAUAAAAAAAUAUUAUUGACAUAUUUUUCGACAUAAAAAACUAUUUAAAAAACAACAGUUAUCACACUUCCAAACACCCAAGUACACAAAGCGCUGCAUUGUUUGACGAGGUCACUGCGGUACCAUGUGAAACACAACCCUUUUAACCUGUUGUUGAGGACUUGGUUUUAUUGGCCCAUAAAUUUUUAUAAAUCUUGUCGGUGGAUAGUAGAUAAAUUUUAAAAAAUCUUAUCUAAAAAAAAUUAUAAAUAGGCUAAUUUUAAGAAAAUAUGGGACUUUUGUUUUCUAUCUAUAAGAAAAAGGACGAGCACCCUUAAUUUUUUCCCCAACCCCAUUUAUCAAUUACAAUAACUUCAGAUGGAGUAUUCUUACAAUUUGUAAUGGGGUCAUCCUCAAAUUAAAACUCAAAUUCAAAUUAAAAAAAAAAAAAAAACCUGAUCCCAUUUUUUUUCAUAAAUAAAUAAAUUUACGAGAAAUCAAAUUACCAAAAGCAUCCUCCAUUUUUCACAACUGGUUCUAACCCCUAAUCACCACAUCAGCAAAUUGAUGUCCCUUUUAGAAGAAAUUGCCUCUCAAUAUCCUGCAUGAACACACAAGCACAGUCAUCAGUAUGAGCCCUCAGUGAAAAAUCUUGAGGCCAACUGUUCUCUGUUGUGAAUGGCUACUGUAAGAACUACUUCAAGAAACAUACAUAUAUUAUUGAAUUCCAUGUUUUUCCAACAUUUCAUAACUCCUCCUGGGAUAAGUCAUAGGCUAUAAAUAUGGCUAAUAAACUUAUUUCUACCUCAUGUACGCAUUCAACUUACGAAUUUCUCUACUAUCAAGUUAUCAUGCUUUUCUUAGUAUUAAACUUCCUAUCACACCUAAUUCACUCAUCAUUAACAUAUAAAAUCUCAAAUCUUACUUUACCCCAGUUUAACCUAGUUCGCUGAUUUGGUGAGUUAAACUUUUUUCUUGAAUUACUUUUUUCAACUUUAUUUUUUAAAAUUAGGUUGGUUGAUAAUUGCAAUUUAAUUUUUUUUUUAUAUAUAAAAUUAUUGUGGUCUUAAACAAACAUCAAAUAUUAGGUUGGUGCUUGAUUUUGUGAUAAUUUAUUUUUGUUGUUGUAUAGUUAAAUAAAGAAAAGUUUCAUGAAAAAAUCAAGUUAUUAAUUCCAAUGAAGUCCAACUUUCGUUUGCUAGGUUUACUCACCAAGUCUGAUAUGCUUUUUUUUUCUUUUGAUUUUUUUUAUUAUAUCCUUCAAUAUUGAAUUGAUUAGGAAACAAGCUUCAUUAUUUAUCUAGGUUUAUUUUAUGUUAGGUUAUUGCAGUUUCAAACAAACUUCUUGAUAUUGUGUUAGUGCUUGAUUUUGCAAACAAGUAUUUUUUAUAAUUAAAUAAAAAUAAUUUAAAAAAAUUAAGUUAUUAAACCCAAUAAAAUUUAUGAUCCGAGAACUAGAUUGACCGAGGUCGAUUCCAUAUCUAAUCCUCUUAAUAUUUUAAAGAAGAAUUUUCAUCUUGAAUUUUUUUACCUAGUACAAGUCAUGUUUUCACCGGUUGUUGCACGUCCUCGCGUGGAAUCCAAAGCAAAAAAAAUUUGUUGCUUAAUUAAUCUUUAAAAGUCAUCACUUAAUAUUUGAUUCAGGAUCACUAUAAAAUCCAAGUGUUCUGGUCUUAUCAGAUAUUCAAAAGUAAAAAAAUGAUUGUAAUUAAAAAACAUAUUAGCACCCCUAACACGCUUUAUCUAAGAUAAAUUGUUUUGUAAUUUGAUAUAACUUGAAAGGUUUGACAAUUUAUCUUGAUCCUAGCCUAUUAAAAAAAAAUAUCCUAGAUAAAAAGAUCCUUAAAAAUCUAACAAUUCUAACAUCAAUAAAACAAAUCAAACUCUUUAUUUUUUUUAACAUAAACACAUCUUAUAAAUAAGAUCAAAAUCCUUCAUCGUGUGCAAAUCAAAUCAUUAAAUUCUUUCUUCUUGUAUUUUUAAUUUUAUAAUUCUAAAAUAUUUAUAACAUAAAAUACAUAUACAAAUCCCUUUUCAUUAUAUUUUUCUCACACCCCCACAUUUACAUGUUACAAAAUAAUAAAAAUCAAAUAACACAAUAAACAAAUCAAAAAUUAUAAAAUAAACCCCAAGAAAUCAGUAAUUGCUGGGAAAACUUUAGGAACUGCAGGAACAGUGGUAGCGUGUUUGUUCCAUGCGCCACCAUUUCAGGUAGCUGGUGGGAAGGCCAAAAGUUGUCGGCGGCUGGGCUUCUAUCGCGUCUAAUCGGCGGCAAUGGAGGAGAAAGGAGUGUUGUCUUGUCGUUGGUUUUGGUUGGAAAUAGGGCUAGAUUUGUGGGCGUUGUUGUGUGUUGGCUGCUGCGGGAGGCUGGUUGCAAAAGAUGAAGAAGAGAGUGUUGCCCGGGCACUGCUGUGGGUGGGCUGCUGGCCCUCUGGUGAAGACGCUGCUGCUACGGUUGGCGGUGAAAACCGGCUGAGAGUAGAGUCAAGGGCUAUCUUUGCUAGUCUGUGGAGGAAAGCAAGAUAGAUCGGGGUUUGUUGUGGGGAGGUUGCAGCAAGGAAGGAAAUGCAGGGGAUGGUCGUCUCGUGGCUGAGAGAGGGGGGAGGUCUGUGGAGCUGUUCUGGGGUUAUGGAGGGGCACUAGAAGUUAAUGGGAAGGGCGAGUGAGGGGGUGUCUUGUGGUUGAGAAAGGAUAGGGACGAUGGAGAGGUUGGAGUAGAGCUGGGGAACUGGUGGGUGUUGGUGUGGCAACUGCUUUUGCCAUGGGAAAGGGAAUGCUUUGGCUGGUUCUUGGAGAAAACAAAUCAAGGAAGAUGGGGGGCGGCAGCUUGUUUUGAAAGAGAAAGAUUUAGGGUUUCCUCUUCUUCUUUUUUUACUCUCAAAAUUGGCCCCUCACCCUUUCUGAAUCUGUUUCCUACCCGGGGCUGGUUUUUUUCGUCCCUAUUUAUAUUUUUUUUUUCAAAUGCUCAAUAAAACAUCUGUAUUUGAUUUAUUUUUUUCCUUGAAAACAAGCAAUAUUAUCAUUGUUUCAAUGAGAAAAACAAAUAAUUUUUAAAAUAAUACAUUAAAAAUUAACCACAUUUAAAAAACCUUUAAAAUUUAAAAAUUUUUUGAGAUAAUAUUGAAAAUGCUAAAAAUAAUACAAGUUUAUCAAGAACAUAUAUUUUUUGAGUUUUUUGUUUUGUUUUGUUUUUUUUUUUGGAUUUUUCAAAAACUUAUCAAAGAUAUGGGUCAAAAACUAGUUAGUAACACUGGUUAUCCAAGUUAAUUUUAGAUCAAUUAAUUUUUUAUAUAUUGAUAUUAAAAAUAAAUUUUAAAAAAUAUUAUACAUUUCCGUCACAGUAAACACUCCCUUAGUGAAUCAAAGUUCCGUAACCGAGACAAAUACUAUUAAGUAUAUAUAUUAGUAGUACAGUACUUUAUCGUGUAUGUUCCUCUUCAUGGUUCUUGUCAUUGUUUAUCUUCAUGCAUAAAGCUUCAACAGUCAUUUUGAACACAAUGUUUUCACGUCGUAGUUGUUCAUUUCUUCCUUGAAGCUGAAGUAUAAUUGAGUUGUCCUGAUUGUUAGCACAGCUCGUUAAUUGAUCCAUUUGAGAUUUUAGAAGAGUAUUUUCACGUUGAAGAUCUAUAAUUUGGGACUGGACCUGCAAAAUAGAAUGAAGAUAACAGUGAGAUAUAGAUGAAUCAAUUAAAUUAAGAAAUGAAAGAGAGGGAAACGUACUAGUUGCUUUGUGAGAGCCUCCACAACAAUAUUUUGUGUAUUAAGGCUGUCUUCCAAUCGACGAACUUCUUGCUGAAGAUGCUUGUUCUCUUCUUCUUGAGACUUUAAAGCAAGAUAAUUCCUAACACAUUCUUCAUUUAAACGAUUAUUUUCUGUCUUUAGACGAUUAUUUUCUGCCUUGGUAUUUUCUCUGUCUUCCUGAAGAAAGUAAAUAUUAGCACGUAAAAUGAAAGGAAGAAGACAAAUUGAGCAAGGCAAGAUAAGCAAAUAACAUUAAUGUCUGGGGGAGAGGUAAUUGGUCUUACCUUGCAUUUUUCCCGGUAUGCCUUGUCGCCCAUUCUUUUCUUUUCAGAUGUUAGAUACUCAAAACCUUCGGGAGAUUUUCUUACCCGAUUAUUACGGCAAGGUGUUUCUGCAGCCUGACAACUUCCCUGUUGACCAGACAGGUAAUCAAAUGUUUGGUGACUUUUGUCAUUCAUUUCCAGUUUAGUAGUGGCUUUGUCUGGUGAAGAAUCAGAACUUCCUGGUUGAACUUGUGGGCUUUCAAGUGCUUGAUGAUUGUUAUCAUUUACUUCAAGAGCUGCUGUGCUUGGACCCGUUGAAAAUCCAGGUUGGGCCGAUAAGUAAUUGAGUGUUUGAUGAUCGUUGCCAUUUACUUCCGUAUCAGUAUCGGCCCUGUUUUGCUCCUGAGAAUCUUCUGGUUGGGCUGAAGUGCAAUCGAUCGCGUGAUUAUUUGGAACUGCAUACAGUCCAUCUAGUGUCAACGUGUUUGAUGCAUCUGUACUCACAGAAAAACAUUUACAAUAACAAAUUUGUUUAGAGAAAUUCAAAUGUAACAAACACUCUUUGAAGCUACAGAUACUCAAUCCAAAGUAAGACUGUACGCAGCUGCACACGACUGUGUACGCCCACACAUGGAUAUGAUACAUCAGAUUAGUGAUUCAAGAACGAGAGAGAAUUCACCCUAAGAAAGUUAAGAGAAUACAAAGUAGAAGCUGGAAUUAGAAGAUCAGAACCCAAAGAUUUGGUGACAAACUCUUUAAGGAUGAAAUUUUACUCAAUUCAAUUCCAGAUUUAAGCAAAACAAAAUCAAUUUUUUUUUUUCAAAUAGUCUAUUAACAAGAACUUAAACCUUGAUUUAUCUGAAAAGACAAAUAUUACAGCUAAGCCUGUUGUUUCCUAAUUAUAGUUAAAAUUAAAGUCUACUGAGUUCGCAUAUGUAUCUUACCAAAUAGCUUCUGCCAAAAAUUGCCACCUUCCAUUGCAGACAGCUGACAGGGGCAAGCGAAAGGAUGAUUGACUUUGCUUAACUUCUUUCUUGGCUUCAAAAGUGCAAAAGUAUAAAAAGAGGAAAGAGAGAAGACAAAAGACACUAAGAAGUAAUAAUAACGAACGACACGUGGGAAGACAAAAUAGUAAUACUUUGAUUAUUUUUUUUAAUUUAGUCCCUUGAUUUUUAAAUCCUCUUUUAUUUAGUUCUUAAUUUUUAAAUUGAUUUUUUUUAUUUUAUUCUUUAACACUUGGUUAAUUAAACCAAUAACUUAUAGGCCAGUUAAUUAAGAAAACAGAGUAAAAGAUAGAUAACAGGCUCUUUCUUGGAGUUGCCUCCAGUUCCGUGUGUCCAUGUUUCGAAGACAUUUUCCUGGACGUCUUGCAUGAGGUUGAGACUUGAGACUGGCAACGUUUUAUAGUUCAGGAUGUUGACCCCGUGCACUUAUAAAAGACCUCGGAUCUUGCCUUCAUGCUAGCUUGGAGGGUCCUUGUGCUUUUUAGUUCAAACUAGGGAUGACUUGUUUUUAUCAGAUGCACAGCGGAGUUAGAAUUAUUUGUUAGGAAGCCUAAAAAAAAUCAAUUCUUUUUAUUUUGUUUAUGGUUCAAUUUAAAAUCAAAAUAUUUAUCAUAAGAAAAAAUUGAUAAUUUUGGUGGCUCUACUAAAUAUAUAUAUAUAUAUAUAUAUAUAUAUAUAUAUAUAUAUAUAAAUUCAAGUAUAAUCAAAACAAACCAAUAAAAUAUAUCUAAUUAAUUAAAAAAAAAUCACUAUAACAAGAAUUCAAAAAUAAUAAUUGAUAGAACUAGCAGAUCUGAGAAAAAAAAAAAGCAAAAAUAAUAGAAUUAUAUAUAUAAAAAAAACAUCAUCAAAUUAUUAACAAACAUUUCAAAACAAAACAAAAUUAGAUUUUAAAUUUAAGUUACCUUGUUUUGUUUGAUGAAAAAUAAAUUAAUUGGUGGCUCUGCAUUAAUCUUUUUGUAAAAAAAAUUUGCUCGUGAUUUAUGUUUUUGAUCAGCUGCAAGAUUUAUAUUAUGGUAAAUUAGUGCUUCUGUUUUUUAUUUUACAAAAUAAUACUUUUAUAUUUUUUUACUUCCCACGUAGUAAAGAGUAAAUUCAAAGGAAAUAAAAAAAAAUCACACUUAAUUUAAAUUUAAAGCUCCUCUUUAAAAUGAAAAAUAUAACAUCUCCUCACAUUUAAUUAUUAACACCCAAUAAUUAAAAAAACAUUGUCUUGCAGGGGGGCCCGGGCCCUGCUCGCCCCCCUCUUCCGCCUUGUGUACAGGAGAAGGAGAAUGUAUUGAUUGAUUGUUUUUUUAAUUAUUUUUUAUUUAAAAAUAUAUUAAAAUAUUUAUUUUUAAUUUUUAAAAUAUAUAUUUAAAAUCGUUAAAAUAAUUUAAAAAUAAAUCUAAAUUUUGCAUACCAGAUUCCUCCUUUGAAGCGCUCCGAGAGAGGACCUCUGCGCAACUUGUUUUGUAUCCAUGUUGCUCCUCGUCUUAGGCGCUGGUAAGAUGAUGCCUUUUUUUCUUCUUCUUUUGUUUAGGGUCUGUACAUGUAAAGCUGGUUUUUCCUUCCUCAAGCAGGAAGAGUUGGAUUAUAUAUAAAAUGCAGCACCCGCAACUUAUCCGAGGAGUACAGUGAAAAUGACAUUUGAUAAAAAGAAAAAAAAAAGUGAAAAUGACGUUUUUUCCUCUUGGGCCCAUCAAUCACGAUGGUAGAAAUAUAAUGAAAAAAUAGUUGUGCGAUUCGCAGCCGUUCGCGCGAUUCCUCACCAGUCACCAUUAUGUGCUGAUGACUUUUCUGACAAAUUAUAUAUAUUGUUAUCACCGCUAGUUAUUAUCUUCUAAUUAUAUUACAUAUUUAUAAAUUAAUCACUUAUUUAAUUUCUCCAUUAUGUGCCUUGGACUUAUUUAAUUACUUUUUUUGUUUUUAUAAUAAAAACCAUAUUUUGAAAAAUAUAUUAAAAUAUUUAUUUUUAAUUUUUAAAAUAUAUAUUUAAAAUCGUUAAAAUAAUUAAAUUUUUUUAAAAAAAAAUCUAAAUUUUGCAAAACUCUUGUGGGGCCAACGCCCCUUUUAUCUAUCAUGUUACAGCUGAAGGCUGUCUUUCCGUUAACUGAAGCCUUGAUCCGAGGAGACAGAGGACACAUCCUUUUGCUCCAUUUCUUGUCUCAAUAAAUAUUUAUUUUCCGUACUUGAGGUAUUUGCCUAGUGAUGGAAGGGACUUGUUUUUUUUCACCCCACCAGGGAUCAAAUUUCCAUGUGCACGCCUGUCACCCCCGCGGUACCUUACAUGCUCACUGGGUUUGCAGGAUGUUCAGUGGGCCGUGAGAUUAGUCGUGGUGCGUGCAAGCUGGUCCGGACAUCCACGUAAAUAAAAAAAUAAAUAAAAAUAAAUAAUGAAUAAUUUACCUGCUCUGUUAAAGAAUUAAUUACUAUAGUUAUAAAUAAAAAAAUUCUUAAUUGAAUUUAAUUUACAUAUUUUAAUAGAUUUUUACAUUUAGAACAAUUUUAACUAUGGAGAAUUAAAUUUUAAAUAAAAUUGAUACAAAAAUAAAUUAAAUGCGACCUUUUCCGAGAAGAAAUAAGUUUUUUUAAAAUAUUUAUUUACCUAUCUUAUUUGUUUUUAAGGUUUUUGAGGGAUUAAGAUUAAAGUAAUAAUGAUAAUAUAGAAAACAAAAAUAAUUAAAGUAAUAAUGAUAAUAUAAAAAAUAAAAAUAAUUUAAUUUGAUAUGUUUUUUUUAAUUGAAUUUAAAUUUAACACUAUUGUUAAAUUUCAAUUAUAAAAAAAAAAUGAUUUCAAAUAGCAUUUAAAAGUAUACUUUCCAAAGACCAAAUCCUAGGCUAGUCAAUGUCUAUGUGGCAUUAUACAAUGAAUAGUGUCAAAAUGUCUUGCAUCCUUGAUCUUAUAAGCCUUAAUUUCUACCUGCUCACGAUUAAAGCAACUAUUUUUUAUAUUUUAUUCUUAUAAGCAUACUGCUAAAUUAUUUAUUUAUUACACGAUAUCUACUGGGUUGGAAUUAAUUUAACUAUAAACGCCAAGUGUUAUGAUGUCAUGGGGAUACAAAAGUAGUGGAGACUGGAGAGACAUGUGAUAAAGCAUAAAUAAUUGGAGUCUUGCUGAGGUUGAGAAAGAAAGAGAAAGGAGUCGCGCGAUUUGAUACGUUCCUCAGCACGUAUCAUUGGAUCAUGGUGAAAUGCUCAUCCACCGCCCGAAGGCUACAGGCCUUUCUCACACCUUGCCCCGUGUUUCGCAUAAGCCCAAGCACUUACCUCUUCUUCUUUCAGUUACGAACUUACGACUAUCAAAUCUAAUCCGGGAGUUAAUUUAAGUUAAGGAAUUGGGUUUUAGAUUUUAUACAUCAAUUCAAAAAAAUUUAAAAAUAUAUUUAAAAUUUUAAUAUUUUAUAUAAAAAAAUUAAAAAAUAAUAUUAUAUAUGUUAAAAAUAAUAAAGUUUAAAAUAAUAUUUUAAAAAGUUUUUUAUUUUACAUUAAAAAAUUAUUAUGCUAUCUUUUAAGUUGAAGUAUAUAGACCAAAAACUUUUUAUUCCACAUUGAAAAAAAAAAAUUUCUUGUGAACAUAGAAUAUAUAUAUAUAUAUUAAAAGACUUCAAAUCCCACAUUGAAAAAAUAAUUUUUUUGUUGUAAACAUAGAGUAUAUAAAAAUAUAUUAUGUUAUCCUUUUAAGUUGAAGUAUUUAAACCAAAAAGUUUUUUCUCCUACAUUGAAAAAACUUAAUUUUUUUUCUUAUGAUCAUAAAAUAUAUAUAUGAAAGAGCUUUAAAUCCUGCAUUGAAAAAAUAAUAAUUAUUUUUUUUUGAAAUAUAGAGUAUAUAUACUAAAAGUUUUCAAAUCUCACAUUGAAAAAAUAAAAUAUUUUUCUAGUAUUUAUAUAGAGAACUUUAAAAAGUGUUAAUAACCAACUAAAAAUAUAUAGAAAAAAGGGAGUAUAGAAAAAAAACCACAUUUGAAAAAAAAAACAUUUAGCCUCGACUUUUUAAAUUCACCAAGUAUCUUCAAAAAAUAUAUAUUUUAUAUGCUUAAAAAAAUAUUUUUAGUUUUCCUUUUAUGUUUAGUCGGUGUUUAAGAGCAUAAUAACUUAUACUUUUAGGAGUAUUUAUUUGAAAAAACAUUAAAUUGAUAUUUUUUUAGUAUUUUUAUGGUUUUGAUGUGUUAGUUUCAAAAAUAAUAUAUAUAUAUAUAUAUAUAUAUUAUUUUGAUAUAUUUCAAAGCAAACAAAUACUUUAAAAAAAAAAAUUCACACUACAAUAACAAACAUUCACUUAAUCUCGUAAUAAACGCAACUUUUACAGGUUGUUUGAAACCAAUUAUCUAUUGUAAUUGAAUUCAAUUAUAGUUUUUGAUUUGGAUUCAGAUGAUAAAGAAGUUGAAUUCACAUGUUUGUAAGAGAUAAAAUUAAAUUCAUUUUGUUUCCUAUGUUACCUUCUUUAAAAGUCUUUAAAAAAAGGAGCUAUUUUGAAAAAAACAGUUUUAAUAUUGAAUAUAUUCUCUUUGAAAUUGUAAAUCAAAGUGGCCUCUAAUUUAUUUUUAUAGUAUUUUUAGAAAUUGAAUUCCAUUUGAAAUUUAGUUCUUAACACUUUAAAAGAUUCUAAGCUAAAAUUUCAUUAAAACCUAUUAAAUUUAAUUUUUAAAUUUUUAAUCUCCUUUUUUACAUUGUAUCGGUGUUUAUAUACUUAAGUUUAAGAAAUAUCACCAUGGAAAAAAGAGUGCUUCAUUAUAAUAACAAUAACAAUAACAAUAACAAUAACAAUAACAAUAACAAUAAUAAUAAUAAUAAUAAUAAUAAUAAUACAUGCUAUUAAAUGAUUUUGAGAGAGUAAAAAGUAACAUUCAUUGUUUUCAAAUUUUUUAUUUUCUUUUUUACAUCGUAUCGGUGUUUCUAUAUUUAAGUUUAAGAAAUAUCACCAUGGGAAAAAGAGUGAUUUGUUAUAAGAAUAAUAAUAAUGCACUCCGCAAUGGGUCAAUAUUUUUUUUAAAAUGUAAAAAAAAUAUUAAAAGUAUGAAGAAUGUUUUAAUAGUGUUAUUAAACCUAACCAGGUAAAUUAAUUUUUAUUCUACUCAACUCUUUGUCAAACUCAAGUAAUGUGGGUUUGAUAUGAUGUUUUAGGUUCGGCAGCCAUGCCAAACCCAUGCAUGGUUGCCACGCCCAAUUAACAUUAGCGUGGCAAGAAUGCAAGACCCAAGGUAUUUGGACCUGUAUGAUGAAUUACCAAAAUAUAAAGUUAUCUUCUCCUUUCGUUCUCUUCUUUCUUUUUGAUUCAUACUUGCAUAAAAAAAAUGUAACUAGAUGGCUUACCCCCACCCCAAUAGAAGAAAUCUAUGCCAUAGAAAGAAAAGAUAUCUCUAUAGCCCUAAAGGAAAUAAAAUUCUCUAUUACUCCUAUUGAUAUUGCUCGUCCAGAAGAGAAGGGAGAAGGCGUUUGGAGAUGGCACCGAUGUGAAAGGAAUGCCGGUAAUAGGGAAGACUGAUGUGAAAGGAAAGUGAAUGAAAUGUGGAGCACAUCCAAAAAAAUAGAAUAAGCAAGCAAGUUUUUAAUUCACUUGAACAGUGCAACAACACGCGUGCGCUGCACGCACGUGUGUUGCUCAGCCCAGCCCCCCCAAAAAAAAAAUUAUGCUGGGCUGGGCCAUCUCAGCCCAAAAAAAUAAAAAAUAUAAAAAUAAAAGCAGAAAAAUAAAAAAAUAAAAAAUAUGUAUGCAUGAAUAAAAGUAAUAUAAAUUUAUUGGUUUAUUCACUGACGCUAGAGUCAUGAAUAAAAAUACCGGUUUAAAUUUAUAUUAUUUUUAUUUGUUGUAUUUUAUUUUAUUUAGCUAGAAAAAUAAAAAAUAUGUGCAUGCAUAAAAAUAAAUUUAUUUUUAUUUAUUUAUUCAUUGGCACUAGAGUAGGGAAUAAAAUUUAUUUUAUAGCUAAGUAAUAUUUACCGAUGCUAGAGUUGGAGACAUUCGUAGUUGAAUAUUCACUGACGCCAAAGUCAUGCAUAUUAUAAGCAAAUUAUCAUGAACAGUAGAUAGAAACAUGAACUCCGGGCUGCUUGGACCGGGAAUGACAGUAGAUAGAAACAUGAACUCCGACCUCAUACACAUUCCCGGUGGCAAGUUAUAAACUGUGAGAAUGAUCGGCCAACAAGAAUAGGGAGCAACAAAUGACCCAAAUGGGUUGAACCCGUCUGUACACAACCUAAGUCGAACAUUCCUUGAUUCAGCAGAAAAGUCAGGAUGAACACUGUUAAAGCGUUCCCACGCUUCGCCGUCAGAAGGAUGCACCAUCACACCAUCAACGACAUCGUGUGUUUGGUGCCAUGUCAUGUGCUCAGCAGUCCUUGGUGACAUAAAUAACCUCUGCAGUCUAGGUGUGAUCGGGAAAUAUCUAAGUUUUUUAUAUGCCACUAGAGUCUCCCCCCUGCCAGUUCUGGGUUUGUAACGGGAAUUCCCGCAUGUCAUGCACUCGGUCAUCUCAUCAUUUUCAAGGUAGUAUAACAUGCACAAGUUAGGGCACAUGUCAAUUUUCUGGUAUCCUAAACCGAGGGGUUUCAUCAUGGACUUCGCAGCAUAGAAGUUCUCUUUGAGCCUGUUCCCUUCUGGUAAAAUGCUUCUUGCCCAAUCAAUAAUUUUGUCAUACCCGGCCUCACUCAACCCGUGAUCUGACUUGAUGGUGAACACCUGUGCCACAGCCGAUAAUUUACUGUGGUUUGUGCAGCCAUCCCAUAAUGGUUCGUCAGAAUCUUUCAACAAAUCAAAAAACCUAGCUGCCUCUGCAUUAGGUUCUUCUUCUACGAUUGGACAUUGAUUGACAUUAUCUUGAUUCAUUCUCAUUGCAUCCAUAACCAUGUUUCUGUAAGGAUUAGUGUUGUCAUUUGCCGCUUCAUGCACGUUGCUAGCACUAGAAGUUGACCCAACCACCGUUUCUCCCAUUCUCCUAUUACUAACAAAUACCUCUCCAUGUGCAUACCAACACUCGUAAUCCUCCACAAACCCUUUGUGUAGAAGAUGCAUCAUUACAACAUCUGGAUGCAGAUACUUUUUAUUUUGACACUUCCUGCAUGGACACCUAAUACCGCCUCCAGUAAAAUUUCUGGGAAUAGAUGUUGCGAAAUUAAUAAAACCCUGAACCCCGUUACAAUAAUCCAUCCUCCGCAAUCCUUGGGGUGAAUCAUACGAUCAUCCAUGACUUCUAUCGAACCUCUAUAAAAAGGACCCAUUAAGCAAGCUCUUAAUUAUUUCAAAACAUAACAUGUAAUUCGGUAAUUCUACAAAUUAAGUUUUAACAAUUUCAAACAAAUACAAUCUUACAAAAUCUAAAACAAACCAUAACAAGUAUAAAAUUAUACAUUCAUAUACUACAAGUUUGUUUGAGAAAUAACAAUAAAACAUGUACAUCUACUAAAAAAAAUACAUAUACUAAAAAAACAAUAAAAUUGACAUUUAAAUGUUAAAAUUUUAAAAGAUAGAAUUACUUAUAAAAAAUGAUAAAAUCCGUCGGUAAGUCAGAACACGGAUGCUGUGACAACAAAACUUCAAGAAAUACAACUUGUUGUGCUGAGAUGAGGAAGAUUUUUCUUUUGGGGCGAGGGGGGGCUGGUUAUUUGCAGAUGGGGAGGGUUAGGAUUAGGAAGAAGAAGGAGAAAUGGGGGAGGAGAGUGUCGGCAGAGUGGCCAUAUAUUCACUUUUUUUCCGACGGCAUUACCGACGUUUUUCUUCCGUCGGUGAAUACGUCGGCGAAACCGUCGGUAAUUCUGACGGGCAAUCGACACGUCACCGCACGGACCUGCUAUUCAAAUCCCUCGGUGAUUCCGUCGGUAUUUUUAACGGUGCACCGGUCACGUCACCGGUACGGAUCUGGCAUUUCAAAUCCGUCGGUGAUUCCGUCGGUAUUAUUGACGGUGAACAAGUCCCAUCACGCGUACGGGCCCCAGGUUUUCAUUUCGUCGGUGAUUCCGUCGGCAAAAUCACCCGCCAAAACCUCGGCGCCAUCUACCCGCUCUUUUUUCAUUAAUUCUGAAUUUUCUGUCGGUAAUUACCGACGGACUAAAUCCGUCGGUAAUUACCGACGAAAAUUGGCCAUCGGUGAGUUCGAUCGAAAAAUACCGACAGAAAAAAUUCCGUCGGUGAGUCCGUUGGUAUUUAGCGAAUUUCUAGUAGUGACAUAUGGAUAUGAUACAUCAGAUUAAUUAGUGGUUCAAGAACGAGAGAGAACUCACCCUAAGAAAGUUAAGAGAAUACAAAGUAGAAGCUGGAAUUAGAAGAUCAGAACCCGAAGAUUUGGUGACAAACUUUGUAAGGAUGAAAUUUUCCAGAUUUAAGCAAAACAAAAUCAAUUUAUUUUUUUCAAAUAGUCUAUUAACAAGAACUUAAACCUUGAUUUAUCUGAAAAGACAAAUAUUACAGCUAAGCCUGUUGUUAUCUAGUUAUAGUUGAAAUUAAAGUCUACUGACUUCGCAUAUGUAUCUUACCAAAUAGCUUCUGCCAAAAAUUGCCACCUUCCAUUGCAGGCAGCUGACAAGGGCAAGCGAAAGGAUGAUUGCCUUUGCUUAACUUCUUUCUUGGCUUCAAAAGUGCAAGAGUAUAAAAAGAGGAGGGAGAGAAGACAGAAGACACUAAGGCCUUGUUUGUUUCAAGGAAACUGAAUUUCAGGAAUUCAGUUUCCUCAUUUUCCAGUGUUUGGCAACCAUCCGGAAAGUUAGUCAAAGGAAAGUUAAUUCCAGUCAAAGGAAAAUGUUAAGUUUAACAUAAGGAAAGUGUUUUCCGUUUUUAAUUCUCGGAAAACACUUUCCUGAGCCAAUGCUGCGUGUUUUUCUGUAACUGUUCAUGGUAAUUGCACUGUUCAUUAAACAGUGCAAUUAACAUGAACAGUGUAUUGCAUACACUGUUCACUAAAAAAGAGUGAACAGUGCAGUUUUAGUGCACUGUUCCUUUUUUUUUUUUUUUUUAAUAUAAGUGUGCUAUUUUUUUAACAUUAAAAAAAAAUAGUUUAGAGUGAAUUUUAUACCUUAAUAUUUUAUCCAAUUUUAUUACAUGCUAAAAAUAUUAUUAAAACUAUAGUUUUUGUCGGAUGUAUUUAGUACGUAAUGAAAUUAUAAAUGGUUUCAUAGAAUAGUAAAAAAUAUUUCACAAAGCUUAUUUCUUUAUAAUAUGAUAUGAUAUAUAUAGUUAUAUUUUAUAAAAUAAGCUAUGUAUGAAUAUAGAAUAUAAUAAAAAAAAAAUUCAUCAUUAUACAUUUUAGAUUUUAUUUUUUUUAUUGUAAGUGAUUAAAUAUUUUAUAUUAAAUAUUAUAUAUAUAUUAGAUAAAUUUGAAAAAAAAAAUUAAUUUAUUAAUAAAUUAUUUUCCAAUUCAUUUUUCAUAACACAACCAAACACUGGAAAGUGUUUUCCAUAACACUACCAAACAUCGGAAAAUACUUUCCCGGAAUUCACUUUCCAGGAAUUCACUUUCCCCAGAAUUCAUUUUUCAAAAGGAAUUCACUUUCCUGCAAACAAACGGGGCCUAAGAAGUAAGAAUAACGAACGACACGUGGGAAGACAAAAUAGACUGUAUAAAAGACUCGGUGCUUGCUUCUCACGUAAAUCCGCACUCAAAUCGCACGAAAGAAGUCCGAAGCUCGCGUCUAUAAUCCAAAUAGGAUUAUUUUUCAAGGUUGGAAACAAAACCCACCUACUUCUACUUUCAUGAAUUUCCACUUCGUGACGUAGUUAUCAUUAUAUAUGUAUAUGAUCUCACAUAAUCUGCCAUUCGGUCACAUCUAAAAGCUACCAAUGUCUCCUCUGCAUCUUGGUUAGACUUGUCAAAGAACCAUCUCAACCUUAUAGUUUAAGUUAGGGGUGAGCAAAAAAACUGAAAAACCGAUUAAAUCGAGAAAACCGGACAGAAAAAACCGAAUCUAAAAAAAAUCGAUCAAACCGAUUAGAAAAAUUAAAAAAUAAGCCAGUUCGGUUCGGUUUCAGUUUUAAAAAGCUGAAACCGAAUAAACCGAACUGAACUGAACCGGUUCAAGUAAAAAAAUUAAUAGUACUAUAAAUACCUACUUUUCAGCUUUCCCCUUCUCCUUUCUAAACCCUAGCCGCCACCCAUGUUUCACAAUCCUUACCUCUUAACUCAGCCCCCACCCGUAUCUUCACUCUCAACCUUUAUCGCCCAUGUUUCUCAAUCUUUAUCUCUCAGCACAUCCCCCCCUCCCAUCUUCAUCUCUCAUCCCUCAACCCUUCUCACAACCCCCUAUCACAGCCCCCCAUCUUCAUCUCUUAUCUCUCAACCUUUCUUACAACCCCCCCUCAACAUCUUCAUCUCUCAUCUCUCUCAACCUUUCUUUAAGGCUUCAAGCACAAUCUUUUUGUUUUUUUCUUUAAGCAUAGUCGACUAAGCUCAUGGAUUAACAACCAAAUAGCAGCUCUAGAGCCUCCCUCUCUUCAAUCUUUAUCUCUUAAUUUUUGUCCUUGUUUAUUUUUUUUUUCUGAUUUCUAUAGAUCUGUUAUGUAUUCAUUUUCUAUAUUUAUUUACAAGAAUGUUGAUUUGCCAUUAAUGUUGCGAUUACUAUAAUGAAUGUUGUGAUAAAUAUUUUUUUCAAAUUUUCGUUUGAAUCUUGUUCUUUUUGGCUUCCUGAUUCAGAAAACCUGCUUGAUAUGCUUGGCCAAGAUGAAAUCGGUUUUUUUCCAAUUUUUCCUUUCAAUUAACCGAACCGAACCGAAAGUGGUCGAUUUGAACCGGUUUCGGUUCUGAUUUAAAAAUAAAUAAAUAAAUCAGUUUGGUUAGUUUUUUGGGUGAAAACCGGACCGAACCGGAAAUGCUCACCCCUAGCUUAAGCUAUUAGAUAAGAUUUCAGGAUAUAAUUUAUAUUAUUUUUUAAUAUAUCCUCUCAAAUAAAAGCCUUUUGAACUUGAAACUUGCACAAGUCUAUAUUACCUUGUGCUUAAUUUUUAUCAAAUAAAUGGGGGAUGAUGAGAUUCGAAUUCGUGACCGUUUGAUCAUAAAGGCUCUGAUACCAUGUCAAAGAAUCAUCUUAACCCAAUAGCUUAAGCUGUUAAGUGACUUCUCGGGAUAUAAUUUAUAUUAUUCUCUAACAAAGCCUACACAUGUGAGCAAAAGGAAGGAAUUUUGUUUGUAUCAGCUAUUAGUAAAUUUCUUAUUAACUCUUGAAUGAUACGAGACUCUGGUUUUAUAAAAGCUAUUCAGCUGAGAAAACAAAGGUCAUGUUUUUGUAUUUUUUUUUUUAUUAAUUUGGGUGUUUAGGUCAGUAUAUAUAUUUUUUGAUUAAUUUCACGAGCCUUGAAAUUAACAAUUAUAUAACCCUGAAAUUUAUAAGACUCGAAUAAAUAAUUUUUAAAUUUAGAAACCUCACCGGUACCUCUUAUAAUUUUGUCUUGAGGGCCAUGUAGUAGUGGAUAUGGAUUAACAUAUCAUCAUCAUCAAAUCACUGUCACUAGUCAAUGCAUUUUCUCAUGCAUGCUCUGAACUUGUGACGGUCCCAUGGCGGUUGAUUACCCUUCCAAUCUGGUGGCGCAACUGGGGCCAGAACGACCCUGCCCAUUUCCUCCUCAUUUACCAAAAUGUGUCUGCUCUCUGUCAUCAACCGCAUCCACAUGUUAUUGAUAUAAUCAUUAAGAUAAAUCUAACAUAUCAGAAUAGAUCACCGAUAAUUACCCGAUUAUAUUAUACUUCGUUCGUGUCUAAAAAUGACGGGUGAUAUAUAUAUUUUUUAGUGGUGCUCUUUUUUUAGUCCUGUAUUAUCUAUCAAUUGCAUGUUUAAAUAAAUUUAUUUCUCUUUUCACUACAAACCAAGCAAGCAAGACAAGAUGAAGCUUCUUUGAAAUGUGCAUUGGUCCCUUUGAAAUGACUACGAUACUUCCAAGGCUUAUACUGGCUUUUUCUUUGUGGAGCAGAUAUAUUCAAGUGUCAUACUAUUCAUAAUAACAAUGGUUUUUACCCUAUUGGCAGAAGUUUUCCAUUAUAUAUAUAAAAAAACUGCAUUUAUAUUCAUUUAUUAAAAAAAAAAAAGGGUUAGAAAAUUGAAGUUCUGCUCCUUUGGAUUGAGAAAUACAUGAAUUCAAAAACAAAUCAUUAAUUUGUCUGCUCAGGGCACUGUGAUCUGUGAUCAUCCGAUGAUCUGUCGACUCAGGGCACUCUGUCUGGGGCUGAACAUCCCAGAUUCCAAAUCCCCGGCUUGUGCAUGUUCAUGGCGGGCUGUGAAGUCACUCCGAACCUUCUUUGUAAUUCUUGUAGUUUUAGAUUUGUUGGAAGGUUGAACUAACCUAAUUCCACCAGGAAAAUAAGAUAUUAGCCCUUCAUCAUUUCUUAAAGGACUAUUUUUCUUCUCCAUCUUCAAUUAAUUUGAACCAGUACCGGUAUCUGAUUAGGACACCCAAAAUGAAAUUAUCAUGUUGAAAUUGUAUUGUUAGUCCUGGUACUUAUCUUUAAAAACCUGUUUGUUUUUGCGUUUUAAAAAUAUUUUAAAAUAAUUUAAUUUUUUCUUUAAUUUUUUUAUUUUAAAUUAAUUUUUUAGUGUUUUUAUAUUAUUUUGAUAUGCGGGAAUAAAAAAAAUAAAAUAUAUUAUUUCAAUAUAUUUUUCUAUAAAAAAUACUUUGAAAAAUAAUGAAUAUUACAUAAUUAAAAUUAUUCAAUUAUUCAAGACUAACUGUUUCUUUGUAAUCUUAAAUCAUAAUGCAAUAUCCAUGCCUGGACAAAUAUUCAAAAUCAUACAUGACUUGUCAACAGAAAGAAAAAAAACAAAUGCAUGGUUUAGUUACUAUCGAUAUUCCUUGUUCUUCCUCCAAAACCAAAGUGUAAAGAUAAACUUUAAUUAUUCAGAUUUGAUAGUCUCCUUUACUCCGAGAACAAGUCAAGCCGCAUGACGACAAGAGUUAAUUUUGUUUUUGUAUUUUAAAAAAUUAAAAUUUAUUUAUUUUAUGUAUUAUAUUAAAAAUAAAAAAAAUAAUUUUAAUAUAUUGUUAAAUACAAAAUAGCCAUUUCAAAUAAACAGAUGGUAAGAUUUGAUAGUCUCCUUUACUCCGAGAACAAGUCAAGCCGCAUGUCCGUGUGGGGUUGCGCUCUUUAUUAAAGACACCGUGUGGGAUUGCGUAUUUUUCAACAAACUUUUAAAUUUUUUAAAAGUUGUUUUGAUACGUUAAUUUUAAAUUAAAAAAAAGUUUUAUUUUAAAAUAUUUUUUAAAUAAAAAAUAUUUUAAAAAUUAAUCUCUAUCAUAUUUUUAAACACUCUCUAAAAAAAUAAAAGAUGCGUGGAAAAAACAUUCUACAUCCACAAAAUAAUAAUUCUUUGAUUUUUUUGAAUUUGGUUCUUUGAUUUUUAAAUCCUUUUUUAUUUAAUCCUUAAUUUUUAUUUUUAUUUUUUUCCUUGAUUUUUUUUAUUUUAUUCUUCAAUACUUGGUUAAUCAAAAGUUAAACUUUAACAAAAGUUGUGGGGAAAACACCUAAUUAUAAUAAUUUUUUUUAUUUUUAUUUUUAUUUUUAUUUUGAUUUUUAUUUAAAAAAGUUGGUGCUAAACUUCACAAAACAAAAAAGAAUUCAAUUUUCUGAAAUUAAAAAGUAAGGGACCAAAAUUAAAAAAGAAAAAAAAAUAGCAGCCCUUUGUUGUUUUUUUUAUCAAUGGGUGCUUUCAGGUUCGGUGCUCUAUUUUUUUUUUUUUCAGUCAUCUUUUUUUCUAUUUCAAUUUUAUUAUUCAUUGUUAUGUUGAUUAGGAUUUUUAUUUAUAAUUUAUUUUAAUUUUUUAUUUAUUUAUUUAUCUAUGUAUUAAAUAAUUGUUUCAACAUCCGUUUAGUUAUCGACUUUGUGAGGUAUUGUUGAGAUUCUUCAUUUUUCUAAAGAUUUAAGAGUAAGAAGCCUAAAUUGAAGAACAACAAAACAACGAAUCCUGGAUAGAAGAAUAGCACAAGACAGUCAUGAAAACCGAGGUAAUAAGAAAGAGAAGGUAAGAAAUAAAGAAUGGUUUGGCAGUCAUAUUGGACCUCCUCUUACAACACCCUCCGCAUUUUAGGGGACGUAAUUACAAUUCCAACAACAACAACAAAUAAAUAAAUAAAUAAUGACAUCAAUUGGAUCAUGGUUAAAUGCUCAUCCACCGCCCAAAGGCCACAGGCCUUUCUCAUACCUUGCCGCGUGUUUCGCAUGAGCUAAGCACUUGUCUGUUCUUCUUUCAGGUACGACCUUGACAUCACGACCGUGAAAUCAUAGUUAUUAAAUCUAAUCUCGACGUUAAUUUAAGUUAAGAAAUUGAGUUUUAGAUUUUAUACAUUAAUUCAGAAAAAUUAAAAAAUAUAUUUAAAGUUUUAAUAUUUUAUAUAAAAAAUUUUAAAAAUAAAUCAUGUAAAUAUAGAUUAUAUAUAUUAGAAAUAAUAAAGUUUAAAAGAAUAUUUAAAAAAAAAACAUUUAUCUCACAUCAAAAAAUUAUUAUGUUAUCCUUUUAAGUUGAAAUAUUUAAAUAAAAAAAAUUAUCUCAUAUUAAAAAAAAAAAAAAAUUUCUUGUGAACAUAAUAUAUAUAUAUAUAUAUUAAAAAACUAUAAAUUUCAUAUUGAAAAAAUAAUUUUUUUCUUGUAAAUAUAGAUUAUAUAUAUUAAACGGUUUCAAAUCCCAUAUUGAAAACAUAUUAUGUUAUUCUUUUAUGUUGAAGUAUUUAAAUCAAAAUUUUUUUUAUUCCACAUUAAAAAAACUUAACUUGUUUUUCAAAUUUUUUAUUUUCUUUUUUACAUUGUAUCAGUGUUUCUAUACUUAAGUUUAAGAAAUAUCACCAUGGAAAAAAGAGUGAUUUGUUAUAAUAAUAAUACACUCCGCACAAGUCAAUAUUUUUUUUAAAAAUGUAAGAAAAUAUUAAAAAUAUGAAGAAUGUUUUAAUAGUGUUAUUAAACAUAACCAAGUAAGUUAAUUUUUAAACUUUUAUUCAACUCUUUGCCAAACUCAAGUAAUGUUGGUCUGGUAUGACGCUUUAAGUUUGGCAGCCAAGUCAAACCCACGCAUGGUUGCCACGCCUAAUUAACUUUUAUGAGACCUAAGGUGUUUAGACUGGUAUGGUUGCGAGACCCAAGAUGUUUGGACUGACAUGAUUCCCAGAUUCAAGGUGCUUAGGAUAAGCGUGAUACCAGACUCAAGGCGCUUGGACUUAAAAUUAUUGUCAGGCUCAAGUAUCUUGGGUUUGGUGCAAUUGUCGGAUCCAAAUACCUUGGGACUGGUGCUUAGAAUUUGCAUAAUUUUCCUGAGUCAGGUAAAGGAAAUGGUCUUAUUGAGGACCAAAAUACUCAUGCAAAAGUGUUGAAUAUCCCAUGAUAUCUAACCAAUAAUUCCAUGUAUACUUCUAAUGUAUUGUUAAGAAAAAAGCCAGAGUCACAUGUAUGGGUAUGACAACCAUGUCCGAUCGAAGCGCUUGGGCCUAACAUGACCCAAGCGCCUGCGCCUAGCAACCAUGCCAAACUCAUGUGUUUUUUUUUGAAAAUAUAGAAAUUCACUUAUAAUUGUUUUCAAAACAUAUUUAUUUUGUAUUUUCAUCUUUGUUUUUUUAACCAAAUAUAUUUUUAUCUUUUCUAUAUUUUUUUCUUCUAUUUUAGGACAUUAACAAUAUGCAUUCCUAAAAUUUGGUCAUUUUUUAAUAUUAAUCUCUAGUUUUACUAAAGAAAUCAUCUACAAAAUUUCACAAAUUAAGAUAGUCAAAAAGAUAAUAAGUCAUUUACAUAUACAAUAUUUUCUUUUUCUACAAUAUAAUGUAUCAAUUCAAAAGUUUAAAAGUUUUCUCUUAUGACAAUAUAUUUUAAAUUUUCAUAUAUACUAAUAGUUAUGUAGAAUAAACUCUACAUAUAACAAACUUUGACAAUUAGAUCAUGCAACAUCAUUUCAAAUUUAAAAAUACAUGAACCCUUUAAAAAAUCAUCCAACAAUUAGAUAGAAAUAUAAAAUUAAUAUUUUUAUCCACAAUGCAUACAAAAAAAAGAAGUUUAUUUUUGAAGAAUUAAAAUAAAUCACUUAGAACUGAAUUUGUUUUUCAUUAUUUCCUCUUCAAAUAUAAAAAAAUUAUUUAAUAAGUUGCACAAACAAAAAAGAAUUUGCAGUUAAGUUCUAUUAUAUAAGAAUGAGAAAUCUUACUUGAAUGAAGCAAUGUUUAUUUUUGCAGUCCAAUUAUGCUUUUAAAAAAAUUUAAUUUUUUUUACCUAAAUGUGUGGGUCUAGCACGUUAACAAGCCCAAGCGCAUGGGUCUGCCAUGGUUGCGAGGCCUAGAAGCUUGGGCCUAGUAACCAUGCCAUACCCAAGCAUCUUGGGUUGGACAAACAUAUCUUAUUUGACAAACAACAAACAAAUAAGAUAAUUAUGCACUUUAAUUGUCAGGAGAGAGAAGAGAGAAAAAAAUACAAAUAAUCGAUUACUAGCGGCAAUCCAACUAUUAUCUGUCUAAAUGCGUCAUACCAUCUGAAAAAGAGUACAGCUGCACAUCCAAUGAAACUACAGAUAACCAGAUUUGGCCACCAGAAAACAUUACACGAGUCUUUCUAAUGGCAUGGACGCCAUCCAUUCACUAAGAAAGAGAAAGCCAAAAAAACAUCUCGUUAAAAAUAAAAAUAAAUUAUUAUUAUAUUUAACAGUAAAAUUCUCUUAAUUUAUAAUGAUUUUUCCACGUCAUUUAGUUUUUUUUAUAACAAUAAUAAUUAUUAUAAUAACAAUACUUUGUAACCUCGCUUUAUUUUCCAAAGUGGAUGACGAUCGGACUUCAUGGCCCGGGAAGAAAAAUAUACAGAGAAUCUUUUGACUCAAAUCUACGUGGUUUUAGAAGCUUUGGGAUAUGUUUGGUGUUAGCAAUUUAAUAUGUACUUUAGAUUUCAAAUGUGUAAGUGGUAGAAAUAUGUAUUUUUUGUGUAGUUGUGUUUUGUUAAAAAUAAUUUUUCUUUUCAUAUAUGUGCUUAUUGUUUUUAGUUAGAGGCCAUAUGAAAUAAAAAUAUAAUGCUAUUUUACUCUCCAAAUUCAUAUUAUUUAAAAUUAAAAUUUGAUAUUUUCUUUUUAUUUAAGGCUUUUACUGUUAUGAUAAAUUAUUAGAUAUAUUUAAGUUUACCAUGUUAUUCAUAGAAUAAACUAAUAAACAUAAGAUACAAAUAAUACUAAGUAAUUUCUAUGCAUUUCACAUGAUAUAUAUAUAGCUUAGUUUAUGUAUGGAAUGGUAGACUUAGGCUACCUGAAUUUUUUUUUAUUAGACAUAAUAUUUAAUACUCAUUGGAUUUGAUUCAUUCACAGGCUCUUGGAAAUACUUAGAAUUUAAUUUAAUUUCAAUUGUUAAAUCAAUUCAUGUGAUUGAAGUUAUUUUAAGAGUAUUGAUUUGAAUUUUAAAUUAAAUUCAAAUCAUAAAAAAAAUGACCAAAACAAAUAAAAAGAUCUCUCCUUUGAUUUGCUACAUUAAUUUCAAAUAAAAAAUACUAUUUCAAAAAUACCUUUUUUGUUUUCUCUCAAAAACCCUCCAACAGUUCUCUUUAUCAUCUUUUUCUUUUCUUCAACAAUACAUUAGUGUAGAGUUUUGGGUCAAAAUUUUACUAGGUAAAUUGUCGGUGGCUCAACCUCUAUCCACCACAUUAAGUCAUGGCUUUUCUGCUUCUUCCUCUGUUUUCCUCUCUCUUCAUUUAUUUAACUUCCUACAACUCUAUUUCUUCUCCACAAACCUUUUCUAAUAUACAAAAAAAUGUAUUUAUUUAGGGCACACACUUGAUCUCCAAAUCUCUCUCUUGGAAUUUAUUGGUUGCGAAUUUUAGAAAUGCAAUUUGUCUUUGAAAUUUAGGAUUCUAAAGUUUCUAUGUCCUUUGAUUCAAGGAGAAACAUUAAUUAAUAACAAUGAUCCCAAAAAGCAAUUUCUGAAUUCCUGAAUAGUGAUCUAUUAUUUAAAAAUGCUUAACCAUCUUCUUUCCAUAAUUAUAUCGAUUAAAGGAGUUUAAGCUUAACCACGGCUUACUAAUUACAACUCACAUAACUUAUCAGAUCAAGCACAAUUUUUAUAUUCAUAUAACGUAUAUUCAGAUUUUCAGCAAAUUUAUAAAACGAAUAAUUCAUUUUAUAUCAACAUAGCCACUUAUAUCCAUAAGUUACGCCAAGUCGCCAAGGGCAUUCUAUAUCAAGUUCACGGAUUUUAGAGGUGAUUCUUAUAAAGUUUAGCACUUAGUUUAUUUCUUUUAACACUUAAUUCAUAUUUCAGAUCAUAUGAUACAUACUUAAAUUCAAAUUUAAACUCGUAUCCAUAUAAAUAAUAUAAAUAGCAUGAAGCUUGUCACGGGGUGGUCUAGACUCGGAGUAGGUUCGAUCGGUGGCUCAAGAGACGCUGGUUAAGGAAAUGGUGGCGGUAGUCGAAUGUGGGAGGAGGAAGAAAAAGUUUGUAGAGGAGAGAGAAAGGCUGACAGGAGAAGAGAGAGAGUUGUGUUGGCUUCCUAUGGUGGAGCUGGUGGUAGCGUGGCUUGGAGGUUGGAAAGGUGGAGAGAGAGCGAGAGAGAAAAUGGCAGGAAAAAAAUAGGGAGGAGGCUAGUUUUUAGUGAUUUUUUAACCCGAUUUUCUUCAUGCUCAGACAAUUAAAUCCACACCUAUUUAUAGGGGAUGGAAGAGAGUAAUCUUGUCUACACGGAAGAAAAAUUUUGGCCGUUGAUUCGAUCUCAACCAUUGGUUCAAAGUAGGCACCAUGAACUAUUAAAUUUGACAAUUCAAGGCUACCUGAGUUGGCCUUUUUAGGCCGACGUCGAGGCCACUGUGUUGUCAAUUGGUUUGAACGGGCCACAUCCAGAGAUAAAGGGAUGUUAGGUAAUCAUUUGCGUGCAAGUUCUGUCAAAUUUGGUGGAGAUUAGAGGCAUUAAAUGCACCUGCAAAGUAGGUAACCUAGGCAACUUUUCGAGGAAGAUAAUGAACAGUGACUAGACGACGUGUUGUCUGGUCACCCUUUUUUUCAAAGUUCAAUGUAGUCCUCCACCUUUUAAUUUAUCUUAAUUGCACCUCUAAUUGACAAUAAACUUUUGAUUUAAUGCAAUUAAGCUAACUUCUAAUUUAUGCCUUCUGCACUUUGAUCCUUGAUCUUGUAUUUAUGCAAUUUGACCCCUAAUUGAGCAUUAAACUUUUAAUUUUCUUCAAUUUCAUCCCCAGUUUUUGUCAGUUAAACCCCUAUACUUUUGCACCUUUUACAAAACAAAGGUUGAGGGUAAGCUUUGCUUUAUUUUUAUGUGAAUAUGCAACCAAAACUCAGUUUUGAAGUCGACUCAUAGUGUUUGGGUUGUUCAUUGGGUUUUUUUUUUUGUAUGGUUAGGAUAUCGCUUGAAUUUACAGAACUUUUUUGUUUAAAACAAACACCAAUUUGAUUUUUAUUUUGUAUUAAAACUUUAAUUUUCUAAAAAUCCUUGUAAAAGCAUGGGAUCAUGCAUAGUUUUUGAAGAAAAGGGAAACACACCAAAGGGUUCUUGGUGCAGAGAUUUCGUGAGUAAAAGGGUGUGCUCAAUGUGUUAUUUGUAUGAAACAACAAGAAAAAUAAAGGCACUUCAUGAACACGUGAUCUUAUUAACAAGAAAGACUCAUUUAACAGAGAAAGUCUUGUGAUAUUACGAGUCAAACUACUAACAAGACUAAAACAUGUUGAAAUAUUACAAAUUCAAAAUAACUUUACAGACAUGAUCAAAUAGAGAAAAUUAUUUUGAACACAAUAGGGACAUGCUCCAUUUUCUAACUCUAGUACACUUUUCUUUUAUUCAGCCUCCCUACAAAAGCUUUUACAAGCAUUUCUUCAACGGUGUGGACAAACACCCCUUUGAAUUCAAGUCCCUCAAAAAUUUAUGUUGUCUUCUUCGUGCCCUACUUUAACAUUUGGUGCUUUCUGAUUUCCCAAGCAAUCUCACUCUAGUGCAUUUACCGAUCCACUGUUUAAAGCAUGAUUCGGUAGAGAGUUUGUACUCACGUUUGAUGCUUCUUCGAAUGUUACCCACCUAACUUUAAUUAGAUGCAUGAGUCAUUUCUCAAAGGCAUUACAUGAAUGAAUAUCAUGUCCUACAACACUAUCAUGGUAUUCAUAAGUAAGAUUUGACUUGUACUAAUUGAGGUAAAUGGUUAUAGAGACGUGAGUGGUUCUAGAGCUACAUACCCGAUGCUCAACAACUUUUGGUAAAUCUCAUUUAAGGGUAGUGGUAAUGGGGUAACUGUUGUUGAUCCUUUUGGUAAUUUUGGCUUUUGGCUUGAUUUUUUUUUUCUCGGGUUUUUUGGUGGGAAAUAGAGAGUUUGGAAAUUUAGGGUGAAGUGUGGUAGUUUUGAUUUGGUUUUUCCUACCCAUAUAGUCACAUUUAACAUGGUCGAUCUCCUUCCUUUUCCUUUUGAAGCCUCUCUUUUUAGUGGGUGUAAAAAUUCUACCACUAUUGACCCUUUGCUCUAUAUACACAGUCACUGCUACCAUGUUAAUGAAUUGCUAGGCUAAACUACCCAUCACAUGCUUGUAGUAUGGUGUUUUGAAUGUGUUGGCAAAUAAAAUAACCAUCUUUUUUUCUAAGAGUAAAGGAUGCACCUGUGCAGCUAAAUCCCUUUAUUUUUUUGGCAUAUUCUUUUAUUUUUUCUUUGUCCCCUUUUCAGAUUGGACAAGCUGCUUUUAUCAUGAAUAACAUUCAUGUUGUACUCCUAGUGCAAAAUCACCCACCAGAUAUUUCUAUCUCCGGAUCUUUGAGCUGCUUAGCCUCAUGUACCAGUUCAAUGCUUUCUUAUCCUAUACUACUUUCUUAUCCUAUACAAUAACUUUAGAUGGAGUAUUCUUACAAUUUGUAAUGGAGUCAUCCUCAAAUUAAAAUUUAAAAAAAAAAACUGAUCCCAUUUUUUUCAUAAAUAAAUAAAUUUAUGAGAAAUAAAAUUACCAAAAACAUCCUCCAUUUUUUACAACUGGUUCUAACCCCUAAGCACGACAUCAGCAAAUUGAUGUCCCUUCUAGAAGAAAUUGCCUCUCAAUAUCCUGCAUGAACACACAAGCAGUCAUCAGUAUGAGCCCUCGACAAAAAAUCUAGAGGCCAACCGUUCUCUGUUGUGAAUGGCUACUGCACUAAAAAAGAGGGAGAGUGGCAAUUUCAGGUACAAGAUCACUAAUAGAGGGAUAGUAUGUGUAUGGUGGGUGUAAAAAUCCUUUUGAAGCCUAUUUUUUUAGUGGGUGUAAAAAUUCUACCAAUAUUGACCCUUUACUCUAUAUGCUCAGUCAUUGCCACCAUGUUAAUGAAUUGCUAGGCUAAACUACCUAUCACAUGUUUGUAGUAUGGUGUUUUAAAUGUGUUGGCAAAUAGAGUGACCAUCUCUUUUUUUAAGACUAAAGGAUGCACCUAUGCAGCUAAAUCCCUCUAUUUUUUUGGCAUAUUCCCUUAUGUUUUCUUUAUUCCCCUUUUCAGAUUGGACCAGCUGGUUUUAUCAUGAGUAACAUUCAUGUUAUACUCCUGCUGCAAAAUCACCCACCAGAUCUUUCCAUCUCUAAAUCUUUGAGCUACUUAGUCUUAUGUACCAGUUCAAUGCUAUCCCAUUCAAACUAUUUUGGAAAAAAUACAUCAAUAGUUUCUUAUCCUAUACUACUUUUGCCAUUUUAUUGUAAUAGAAAUCGAGGUAGAUCAAGGCACAUUAUAUUCUAGUAUAUUUGAUAAAUUCAAGAAUAAAAAAAAACAUUUUUAGUACAACCACAUUCAAGAUUGACAAGACACAUUAAAAAAAAUAAAAAUGAGGGACCCUUUUUUCUAUCUAUAAGAAAAGGGACAAGCAUCCUUUUCCCCAAACCCUAUCUAUCAAUUACAAUAACUUUAGAUGGAGAGUCAUCCUCAAAUUAAAAUUCAAAUUGAAAUUAAAAAAAAAAACGAUCCCAUUUUUUUCAUAAAUAAAUAAAUUUACGAGAAAUCGAAUCACCAAAAACAUCCCCCAUUUUUCACAACUGGUUCUAACCCCUAACCACCACAUCAGCAAAUUGAUGUCCCUUUUUGAAGAAAUUGCCUCUCAAUAUCCUGCAUGAACACACAAGCACAGUCAUCAGUAUGAGCCCUAAGUAAAAAAUCUAGAGGCCAACCGUUCUUUGUUGUGAAUGGCUACUGCACUAAAAAAAGAGGGAGAGUGGCGAUUUCAGGUACAAGAUCACUAAUCCAAUACAGCUUCCUUGUAAGUUUAUAGAAAUCCAAACAUAUAGAUGUAUAACAUGACACAGACAUUCUAGAGAUAUAAAUAAUCUUCAGGUUAGUCACCGAGCCACAUUUCAUUACAAGUCUCUUAAAACUGUUUCAAUUACAUGUCUUUACAAGUUGCAUAAUCAAAGAAAAGAAGUUUAUCAAAUAACUUAUUUCAAAAAAUGAAACCAACAAAGCAAUGACUACCGCCAUUGUCAGCAAAGCCAGCUAAAUGUCGUGAAAAUUUUCCUUCUGUCAAAUUUCUUUUUGAACUUGUGGUUCCUGAUUUGAGCACUUGAACACAGGAGACAGAGAAAAGUAAUGGAAAUGAUAAGAGCUAGGAAACCACGUAUGCUUGCUGAGAAACUUGGCACAAGGAAACUACAUAAAUACAUUUAGCUAACUAUUGUACGAGAAGAAACUUGGCACAAGGAGCACUUUAAAUUUUUUUGAAAUAAUGUUGAAAAUGCUAAAAAUAAUACAAAUAUAUCAACAAUAUAUAUUUGUUGGAUUUUUGUUUUUUGUUUUUUUUUUUUUGUUAUUUUUUGGAUUUUUCAAACACUUAUCUAAGAGAUGGGUCAAAAAUUAGAUAGCAAAACCGGUCAUCCAAGUUAAUUUUAGACCAGUUAAUUUUUUAUAUAUCGAUAUCAAAAGUAAAUUUAAAAAAAAAAUAUUAUACAUUUCCGACACAGUAAACACUCCCUUAGUGAAUCAAAGUUCCGUAACUGAAACAAAUACUAUGAAGAAUAUAUAUUAGUAGUACAGUACUUUAUCGUGUAUGUUCCUCUUCAUGGUUCUUGUCAUUGUUUAUCUUCAUGCAUAAAGCUUCAACAGUCUUUUUGAACACAAUGUUUUCACGUCGUAGUUGUUCAUUUCUUCCUUGAAGCUGAAGUAUAAUUGAGUUGUCCUGAUUGUUAGCACAGCUCGUUAAUUGAUCCAUUUGAGAUGUUAGAAGAGUAUUUUCACGUUGAAGAUCUAUAAUUUGGGACUGGACCUACAAAAUGGAAUGAAGAUAAUAGUGAGAUAUAGAUGAAUCAAUUAAAUUAAGAAAUGAAAGAGAGAGAAACUUACUAGGUGCGUUGUGAAAACCUCCACGACCAUCUUUUGUGUAUCAAGGCUACCUUCCAAUCGACGAACUUCUUGCUGAAGAUGCUUAAUCUCUUCUUCCUGAGACUUUAAAGCAUGAUCAUUCCUAACACAUUCUUCAUUUAAACGAUUAUUUUCUGUCUUUAGACGAUCAUUUUCUGCCUUGGUAUUUUCUUUGUCUUCCUGAAGAAAGUACAUAGUAGCACGUAAAAUGAAAGGAAGAAGACAAAUUGAGAAAGGCAAGAUAAGCAAAUAACAUUAAUGUCUGGGGGAGAGGUAAUUGGUCUUACCUUGCAUUUUUCCCGGUAUGCCUUGUCGCCCAUUCUUUUCUUUUCAGAUGUUAGAUAAUCAAAACCUUCGGGAGAUUUUCUUACCCGAUUAUUACGGCAAGGUGUUUCUGCAGCCUGAAAACUUCCCUGUUGACCAGACAGGUAAUCAAAUGUUUGGUGACUUUUGUCAUUCAUUUCCAGUUUGGUAGUGGCUUUGUCUGGUGAGAAAUCAGAACUUCCUCGUUGAACUUGAAGGCUAUCAAGUGCUUGAUGAUUGUUAUCAUUUACUUCCAGAUCUGCUGUGCUUGGACCCGUUGAAAAUCCAGGUUGGGCCGAGAAGUAAUUGAGUGUUUGAUAAUCGGCCCUGUUUUGCUCCUGAGAAUCUUCUGGUUGGGAAAUUUAAGAGAAUACAAAGUAGAAGCUGGAAUUAGAAGAUCAGAACCCAAAGAUUUGGUGACAAACUUAAGGAUGAAAUUUUACUCAAUUCAAUUCCAGAUGUAAGCAAAACAAAAUCAAUUUAUUUUUUUCAAAUAGUCUAUUAACAAGAACUUAAACCUUGAUUUAUCUGAAAAGACAAAUAUUACAGCUAAACCUGUUGUUACCUAGUUAUAGUUGAAAUUAAAGUCUACUGACUUCGCAUAUGUAUCUUACCAUAUAGCUUCUGCCAAAAACUGCCAACUUCCAUUGCAGGCAGCUGACAAGGGCAAGCGAAAGGAUGAUUGACUUUGCUUAACUUCUUUCUUGGAUUCAAAAGUGUAGAAGUAUAAAAAGAGGAAGGAGAGAAGACAGAAGACACUAACGAACGACACGUGGGAAGACAAAAUAAUCUGUAUAAAAGACUCGGUGCUUGCUUCUCACGUAAAUCCGCACUCAAAUCGCACGAAAGAAGUCCGAAGCUCGCGUCUAUAAUCCAAAUAGGAUGACAUUGAUCGCGCUGUAUGCGCUCUUUAUGAAAGACACCGUGUGGGGUUGCGCUCUUUAUUAAAGACACCGUCUGGAGUUGCUUUGAACAAAUUUUUAAUUAUUUUAAUGUGUUAAUUUUAAAAAUAUAUAUAUAUAUAUAUAUAUAUAUAUUAUUUUGAUAUAUUUUUUAAAUAAAUUUUGUUAAAAAAAAUAAUCUUUCAUAUUCUCAAAAACACUCUCUAAAAAACUAAAAGAUAGGUGGAAAAAACAUUAUUAUCAACAUCCAUAUCCACAAAAUAGUAAUCCUUUGAUUUUUUUUUUAAUUUAAUCAUUUGAUUUUUAAAUCCUCUUUUAUUUAGUCCUUAAUUUUUAAAUUGAUUUUUUUCUUUAUUUUUUUAUUUUAUUCUUUAACAUUUUGAUUAAAAAUUAAACUUUAACAAAAAUUAUGGGAAACACAACAGAUUACAAUAGUAAUCCACAAUGUUUUCUUUUUUUUUUUUAUUUUGAUCAUUUUUUUUAAUGUAUCAACAUCGAGUUGGUGCUAAAUUUCACAAAAAAAAAAAUUCAAUUUUAUUAUUUGAUUGAAAUUGAAAAUCAAGGGACCAAAAAAAAAAAAACAGCCCUUUGUUGUUUUUUUUUUUAAUGAAUGGGUGCUUUCAAGUUCGGUGCUCUAUUUUUUUUUUAAUUUUUUCAGUCAUUUUUUUUUCUAUUUCAAUUUUAUUAUUCAUUGUUAUGUUGAUUAGGAUUUUUAUUAAUAAUUUAUUUUGAUUUAUUUUUUAUUUGUUUAUCUAUGUAUUAAAUAAUUGUUUCAACAUCCGGUUAGUUAUCGACUUUGUGAGGUAUUGUUGAGAUUCUUCAUUUUUCUAAAGAUUAAGAGUAAGAAGCCUAAAUUGAAGAACAACAAAACAACGAAUCCUGGAUAGAAGAAUAGCACAAGACAGUCAUGAAAACCGAGGUAUUAAGAAAGAGAAGGUAAGAAAUAAAGAAUGGUUUGGCAGUCAUAUUGGACCUCCUCUUACAACACCCUCCGCAUUUUAGGGGACGUAAUUACAAUUCCAACAACAACAAAAAAAUAAAUAAAUAAAUAAUGACAUCAAUUCGAUCAUGGUGAAUGCUCAUCCACCGCCCAAAAGCUACAGGCCUUUCUUACACCUUGCCGCGUGUUUCGCACAAGCCAAGCACUUAUCUGUUCCUCUUUCAGUCACGACCCUUGAAAUCAUAGUUAUCAAAUCUAAUCCCGGCGUUAAUUUAAGUUAAGGAAUUGAGUUUUAGAUUUUAUACAUCAAUUCAGAAAAAUUAAAAAAUGAAUUUAAAGUUUUAAUAUUUUAUAUAAAAUAAUUUAUGUAAAUAUAGAUUAUAUAUAUUAGAAAUAAUAAAGUUUUAAAAAAAAUUUAAAAAAAAAUAUCUCACAUUAAAAAAUUAUUAUGUUAUCUUUUUAAGUUGAAAUAUUUAAAUAAAAAAAAUUAUUCCACAUUGAAAAAAAAAAAAUUUUUUUCUUGUGAACAUAAUAUAUAUAUAUAUAUAUAUAUAUAUAAAAAACUUCAAAUUUCAUAUUAAAAAAAUAAUUUUUUUCUUAUGAAUAUAGAUUAUAUGUAUUAAACGGCUUCAAAUUCCAUAUCAAAAACAUAUUAUAUUAUUCUUUUAUGUUGAAGUAUUUAAAUAAAAAAAAAUUAUCCCACAUUGAAAAAACUUAAUUUUUUUUAAUUUUUUUUUUUUUUUACAUUGUAUCGGUGUUUCUAUACUUAAGUUUAAGAAAUAUCACUAUGGAAAAAGAGUGAUUUGUUAUAUAAUAAUAAUGCACUCCACAUAGGUCAAUAUUUUUUUUAAAAUGUAAAAAAAUAUUAAAAGUAUGGAGAAUAUUUUAAUAGUGUUAUUAAAUGUAACCAAGUAAGUUAAUUUUUAAACUUCUACUCAACUCUUUGCCAAACUCAAGUAAUGUUGGUCUGGUAUAACGCUUUAGGUUCGGCAGCCAUGCCAAACCCACGCAUGGUUGCCACGCCCAAUUAACUUUUACGAGACCUAAGGUGUUUAGACUGGUAUGGUUGCGAGACCCAAGGUGUUUGGACUUACAUCGUUCCCAGAUCCAAGGUGCUUAGGAUAGGCGUGGUACCAGACUCAAGGCGUUUGGACCUAAAAUUAUUUUCAGGCUCAAGUAUCCUGGGUUUUGUGCGAUUGCCGGAUCCAAAUACCUUGGGACUGAUGCUUAGGAUUUGCAUAAUUUUUCAGAGCCAGGUAAAGGAAAUGGUCUUGUUGAGGACCAAAAUACUCAUGCAAAAGUGUUGAAUAAUCUCAGGAUAUCUAACUAAUAAUUCCUUGUAUACUUCUAAUGUAUUGUUAAGAAAAAAGCGAGAGUCACAUGUCUGGAUAUGACUACCAUGUCAGACCGAAGCGCUUGGGCCUAACAUGACUCAAGCGCCUAUACCUAGUAACCAUGCCAAACCCAUGUGUUUUUUUUUAAAAUAUAAAAAUUCACUUAUAAUUGUUUUCAAAACAUAUUUAUUUUAUAUUUUCAUCUUUGUUUUUUUAACCAAAUAUAUUUUUAUCUUUUCUAUAUUUUUUUCUUCUAUUUUAGGACAUUAACAAUAUGUAUCCCUAAAAUUUGGUCAUUUUUUUUUAUAUAUCUCUAGUUUCAGUGAAGAAAUCAUCAACAAAAUUUCACAAAUUAAGAUAGUAAAAAAGAUAAUAAGUCAUUUACAUAUACAAUAUUUUCUUUUUCUACAACAUAAUGUAUCAAUUCAAAAGUUUAAAAGUUUUCUCUUAUGACAAUAUAUUUUAAAUUUUCAUAUAUACUAAUAGUUAUAAUGUAGAAUAAACUCUCCAUAUAACAAACUUUGACAAUUAGAUCAUACAACAUCAUCUCAAAUUUAAAAAUACAUGAACCCUUUAAAAAAUCAUCCAACAGUUGGAUAGAAAUAUAAAAUUAAUAUUUUUAUCCACAAUGCAUACAAAAAAGAGAAGUUUAUUUUUGAAGAAUUAAAAUAAAUCACUUAGAACUCAAUUUUUUUUUCAUUAUAACAAUUUUAUUUAAUAAGUUGCACAAACAAAAAAAAAGUUUGCAAUUAAAUUUUACUAUAUAGGAAUGAAAAUCUUACUUGAAUGAGACAGUGUUUAUUUUUGCAGUCUAAUCAUGCUUUUAAAAAAUUUUAAAUUUUUUUACCUAAAUGUGUGGGUCUGGCACGUUGACAAGUCCAGGCGCAUGGUUCUGCCAUGAUUGCGAGGCCUAGAAGCUUGGGUCUAGCAACUAUGCCACAUCCAAGCAUCUUGGGUCUGGCAAACAUAUCUUAUUUGACAAACAACAAACAAAUAGGAUAAUUGUGAACUUUAGUUGUCAGGAGAGAGAAGAGAAAAAAAACACAAACAAUCGAUUACUAGCGGCAAUCCAACCAUUAUCUGUCUACAAGCGUCAUACCAUGCGAAAAAAAGCACAACUGCACAUCCAAUGAGACUACAGAUGAUCAAAUUUGACCACUAGAAAGCAUUACACGAGCCUCUUUAAUGGCGCGAACGUCAUCCAUUCACUAGGAAAGAGAAGGAAAGCCAAAGAAACAUUUCGUGAAAAAAAAAAAAACUACUAUUAUAUUUAACAGUAAAAAUCUCUUGAUUUAUAAUGAUUUUUUUACAUCAUUUAGUUUUUUUUAUAACAAUAAUAAUUAUUAUAAUAACAAUACUAUGUAACCUCGCUUUAUUUUCGAAAGUAGAUGACGAUCGGGCUUCAUGGCCCAGGAAGGAAAAAUAUACAGAGAAUCUUUUGACUCAAAUCUACGUGGUUUUAGAAGAACUGGGAUAUGUUUGGUGUUAGCAAUUUAAUAUGUACUUUAGAUUUCAAAUGUGUAAGUCGUAGGAAUAUGUCUUUUUUGUGUAGUUGUGUUUUGUUAAAAUAAAUUUUUGUUUUCAUAUAUGUGCUUAUUGUUUUUUAGUUAGAGGCCAUAUGAAAUAAAAAUAUAAUGCUAUUUUACUCUCGAAAUUCACAUUAUUUAAAAUUAAAAUUUGAUAUUUUCUUUUUAUUUAAGGCUUUUACUGUUAUGAUAAAUUAUUAGAUAUAUUUAAGUUUACCAUGUUAUUUAUAGAAUAAACUAAUAAACAUAAGAUACAAAUAAGACUCAGUAAUUUGUAUUUAUUUCACACGAUAUAUAUAUAUAUAUAUAUAUAUAUAUAUAUAUAUAUAUUAUUUCUUUAGCUUAGUUUAUGUAUGAAAUGGUAGACUUAGGCUACCUAAUUUUUUUUUAUUAGACAUAAUAUUUAAUACUCAUUGGAUUUGAUUCAUUCAUAGGCUCUUGGAAACACUUAGAAUUUAAUUUAAUUUCAAUUGUUAAAUCAAUUCAUGUGUUUGAAGUUAUUUUAAGAGUAUUGAUUUGAAUUUUAAAUUAAAUUCAAAUCAUAAAAAAAUGACCAAAACAAAUAAAAAGAUCUCUCCUUUGAUUUGCUACAUUAAUUUCUAUAAAAAUACUAUUUCAAAAAUACCUUUUUUGUUUUCUCUCAAAAACCCCCCAACACUUCUCUUUAUCAUCUCUUUCUUUUCUUCAACAAUGCUUAAGUGUAGAGUUUUGGGUCAAAAUUUUACUAGGUAAAUUGUCAGUGGCUCAACCUCUAUCCACCACAUGGAGUCAUGGCUUUUCUGCUUCUUCGUCUUCCUCUAUUUUCCUUUCUCUUCAUUCAUUCAGCUUCUUGCAACUCUAUUUCUUCUCCACAAACCUUUUCUAAUAUACGAAAAAAAUUAUUUAUUUAGGGCACACUCUUGAUCUCCAAAUCUUUCUCUUGGAAUCUAUUGGUUGCGAAUUUUAGAAAUGCAAUUUAUCUUUGAAAUUUAGGAUUCUAAGGUUUCUAUGUCCUUUGAUUCAAGGAGAAACAUUAACUAAUAACAAUGAUCCUAAAAAGCAAUUUUUGAAUUCCUAAAUGGUGAUUUGUUUUUUAAAAAUGCUUAACCAUCUUAUUUCCAUAAUUAUAUCAUAUCUUGCAAAAUUGGGAUGAUUAAAGGAGUUUAAGCUUAAGCAUGGCUUACUAAGUACAACUCACAUAACUUAUCAGAUCAAGCACAUUUUUAAUAUGCAUAUAACGUAUAUUUAGAUAGUAAAUUUAUGAAACGAAUCAUUCAUUUUAUAUCAACAUAGCCAUUUAUAUCCAUAAGUUACGCCAAGUCGCCAAGGGCAUUCUAUAUCAAGUUCACGGAUUUUAGAGGUGAUUCUUAUAAAGUUUACACUUUGUUUAUUUCUUUUAACACUUAAUUCAUAUUUCAGAUCAUAUGAUAUAUAUUUAAAUUGAAAUUUAAACUCGUAUCCAUAUAAAUAAUAUAAAUAGCAUGAAGCUUGUCGCAGUGUGGUCUGAACUUGGAGUAGGUUCGAUCGGUGGCUCAGGAGGUGUUGGUUGAGGAAAUGGUGGUGGGAGUCGAACGUGGGAGGAGAAAGAAAAAGAUUUGUAGAGGAGAGAGAAAGGCCGAAAGGAGAAGAGAGAGAGUUGUGGUGGCUGUUUGGUGGCUGACUAGUGGUUGUGUUGGCUUCCUGUGGUGGAGUUGGUGGCUGAAGAGCUAGUGGUAGCGUGGUUUGGAGGCUAGAAAGGUGGAGAGAGAGCGGGAGAGAAAAUGGCAGGAAAGAAUAGGGAGGAGGCUAGUUUUUGGAUCCGAUUUUCUUUAUGCUCAGACCAUGAAAUCCACACCUAUUUAUAAGGGAUGAAAAAGGGUAAUCUUGUCUACACGAGAGAAAACUUUUGACCGUUGAUUCAGUUGGGAAGGAUCUCAACCAUUGGUUUAAAGUAGGCACCAUGAACUGUUAAAUUUGACAGUUCAAGGCUACCUGAGUUGGCCUUUUUAGGCCGACGCCGAGGCCACUAUGUUGUCAAUUGGUUUGAACAGGCCACAUCCAGAGAGGGAUGUUAGGUAAUCAUUUGCAUGCAAGUUUUGUCAAUUUUGGUGGAGAUUAGAGACAUUAAAUGCACCUGCAAAGUAGUAACCUGAACAACUUUUCGAGGAAGACAACGAAUAGUGACUGGACGACGUGUCGUCUGGUCACCCUUUUUUUCAAAGUUCAAUGUAGUCCUCCACCUUUCAAUUUAUCUUAAUUGCACUCCUAAUUGAUCAUAAACUUUUGAUUUAAUGCAAUUAAGCCAGCCUCUAAUUUACAUCUUUUGCACUUUGGUCCUUGGUCUCGUAUUUAUGCAAUUUGAUCCCUAAUUGACCAUUAAACUUUUAAUUUUCUUCAAUUUCAUCCACAGUUGUGUCAGUUAAACCCCUAUAGUUUUGCGCCUUUUACAAAACAAAGGUUUAGGGUAAGCUUUGUUUUAUUUUAUGAGAAUAUGCAACCAAAACUCAGUUUUGAAGUUGACUCAUAGUGCUUGGGCUAUUCAUCGGGUUUUUUUUUGGUGUAUGGUUAGGAUAUCGCUUGAAUUUACAUAACUUGUUUGUUUAAAACAAACACCAAUUUGAUUUUUGUUUUGUAUUAAAACUUUGAUUUCCUAAAAAUCCUUGUAAAAACAUGGGAUCAUGCAUAGUUUUUGAAGAAAAGGGAAACACACCAAAGGGUUCUUGGUGUAGAGGUUUCGUGAGUAAAGGGUGUACUCAAUGUGUUAUUUGUAUGAAACAACAAGAAAAAUAAAGGCACAUCAUGAACACAUGAUCUUAUUAACAAGAAAGACUCAUUUAACAGAGAAAGUCUUGUGACAUUAUGAGUUAAAUUACUAACAAGACUAAAACAUGUUGAAAUAUGACAAAUUCAAAAUAACUUUGCAGACAUGAUCAAAAAGAGAAAAUUAUUUUGAACACAAUAGGGACAUGCUCCAUUUUCUAACUCUAGUACACUUCCCUUUUAUCCAGCCUCCCUACAAAAGCUUUUAUAGGCAUUUCUUCAACGGUGUGGACAAACACCCCUUUGAAUUCAAGUCCCUCAAAAACAUGUUGCCUUCUUUGUGCUCUACUCUAACCAUUGGUGCUUUCUGAUUUCCUAAGCAAUCUAACUCUAAUGCAUUUACCGAUCAACUGCUUGAAGCAUGAUUGGGUAGGGAGUUUGUACUCACGUUUGAUGCUUCUUUGAAUGUUACCCACGUAAUUUUAAUCAGAUGCAUGAGCCAUUUCUCAAAGGCAUUACAUGAAUGAAUAUCAUGUCCUGCAACACUAGCAUGGUAUUCACAAGUAAGAUCUGACUUAUACCAAUUAGGGUAAGAUGGUUAUAGAGACGUGUGUGGUUCUAGAGCUACAUACCCGAUGCUCAGCAGCUUUUGGUAAAUCUCAUUUAAAGAUAGUGGUAAUGAGAUAACUGUUGUUGAUCCCUUUAGUAAUUUUAGCUUUUAACUUGAAUUUUUUUUUUUGGGGCUCAAGUUGUUUAGUAGGAAACAGAGAGUUUGGCAAUUUAAGAUGAAGUGUGGUAGUUUUGAAAUUGUUUUUUCCUACCCCUAUAGUCACAUUUAACAUGGUCAAUCUCCUUCAUUUUCCUUUUGAAGCCUCUCUUCUUAGUGGGUGUCAAAAUUCUACAACUAUUGACCUUUUACUCUAUAUGCUCAGUCACUGCCACCAUGUUAAUGAAUUGCUGGGCUAAACUACCCAUCACAUGCUUGUAAUAUGGUGUUUUGAAUGUGUUUGCAAAUAGAGUGACCAUCUUUUUUUUUAAGAGUAAAGGAUGCACCUGUGCAACUAAAUCCCUCCAUUUUUUUUUGGCAUAUUUCCUUAUGUUUUCUUUAUCUCCUUUUCAGAUUGGACAAGCUAGUUUUAUCAUGAGUAACAUUCAUGUUAUACUCUUAUUGCAAAAUCAUCCACCAGAUCUUUCCAUCUUCUGAUCUUUGAGCUGCUUAGCCUCAUGUUCCAAUUCAAUGCUACCCCAUUCAAACUAUCUUGGAAAAAAUAAAUUAAUAGUUUCUUAUCCUAUAUUACUUUUGCCAUUUUAUUGUAAUAGGAAUUGAGGUAGAUUAAGACACAUUAUGUUUUAGUGUAUUUGAUGAAUUCAAGAAUAAAAAAACGUUUUUAGUACAACCACAUUCAAGACAAACGAGACACAUUAAAAAAAAAAAAAGAGGGACCCUUUUUUCUAUCUAUAAGAAAAAGGACAAGCACCCUUUCCCCCAACCCUAUCUAUCAAUUACAAUAACUGUAGAUGGAGUAUUCUUACAAUUUAUAAUGGAGUCAUCCUCAAAUUAAAAUUAACAAAAAAAAAAAACUGAUCCCAUUUUUUUUCAUAAAUAAAUAAAUUUAUGAGAAAUAAAAUUACCAAAAACAUCCUCCAUUUUUUACAACUGGUUCUAACCCCUAAGCACGACAUCAGCAAAUUGAUGUCCCUUUUAGAAGAAAUUGCCUCUCAAUAUCCUGCAUGAACACACACGCACAGUCAUCAGUAUGAGCCCUCGGCAAAAAAUCUAGAGGCCAACCGUUCUCUGUUGUGAAUGGCUACUGCACUAAAAAAGAGGGAGAGUGGCAAUUUCAGGUACAAGAUCACUAAUCCAAUACAGCUUCCCUGUAAGUUUAUAGAAAUCCAAACAUAUAGAUGUAUGACAUGACACAGACAUUCUAGAGAUAUAAAUAUUCUUCAAGUUAGUCAUACGAGCCACAUUUCAUUACAAGUCUCUUAAAACUGUUUCAAUUACAUGUCUUUACAAGUUGCAUAAUCAAAGAAAAGAAGUUUAUCAAAUCACUUAAUUCAAAAAAUGAAACCAACAAAGCAAUGACUACCGCCAUUGUCAGCAAAGCCAGCUAAAUGUCGUGAAAAUUUUCCUUCUGUCAAAUUUCUUUUUUAACUUGUGGUUCCUGAUUUGAGCACUUGAACACAGGAGAGAGAGAAAACUAAUGGAAAUGAUAGAGCUAGGAAACCACGUAUGCUUGCUGAGAAACUUGCCAAAAGGAAACUACAUAAAUACAUUUAGCUAACUACUGUACGAGAAGAAAGUUUGCAAGCACUUUUUGCGUGAAACUAUGCAAAUAAUCCUUGCAAAAUAUUUAAUGGUACCUUCUCAUGCUCCCUCCUGUAGUCUUUUUGGUUCAGUAUCUUGUCACCUAAAGCUUGAUUUUGCAUUUUGAGCACCAUAUUCCGCUGUCCCAGUUUCUCAAUCUCAUUCAAAAGCUGUAUUCUUUCAGAUGCCCAAUUAUCCCACUUGGCCUUUUGACACAACAUAUUGCGUUCAUUUUCUAGCAGCACCAUCUCAAGUUGGUUAGGUCCAAGCUACAACAGUAAAGAAAGCAUUGUCAUCCACAAGUUCACUAGCUUGUUACAGGUAGAAACAUUUGCAACCACAAUUUUACCGAGAAAAAAAAGAUACGAGACAAUGGUCGUUAACAUGACUAUCACUGUAACUGGUAUUUCGCAAUACAAAGAGGACGCAAAGUAAAUCAAAGGAUUUGUUCAAUAGAAACAAAAUCAGUAUGUGAUUUGCCACACAGUCAGUUAAAGCUAAUCAGUUACCUAGCAUUACAAUCUUACAUCAGAAUGCGAGUGUGAUGGAACCUCGAGCUACAUUCACACUUCAACUAGCUUCAGAUGCAUCAAAUGUUAGAGUUGAGCAGACAGUGAAAAUAGUCCCAGAUAGAUUGGCAUGGCUGCACUAAAAACCCAGGGCAAUAGAGACUAGACUAAAACCCUGAAACCAAACUCAUGGAACUAAUACAACUCAUAAGAUUCAUCUGAUUUACAAAUAUGUAAAGAAAAAUAUAAUUAACAUUAGCGGAGUGCAAAACCUCUUCAUCCAACUUACCUUUUAGAAAUGUAUUCUUAACAUUGACUUGCCUGAUUAGGCAUCAUCGUAACAAUAGAAAGACAAGGAUAUAUACAGUAUGCUUGAAGCCUUGCUACAAGCCCUGAAGAUUUAAGCAAAGUGAUCAAUAGCUUCCUAUUAUGUGUAAUUGGCUGCAAAUUUUAUAAUCUCUUCUUUUUUUUUCAAAAUUGUUGCUCAACGAAGAUAAAGGAAUACAAAUUAUAAAAAGAUCUUGGGAUUUAAGACAAAAAUCAAACACAAAGCUGCAAAGAUUGACCCAGCUUUGAGGAAGACGGGGAAAAAGGAAUUCAACUGGAGGCACUUCAAGUCAGCAACUUAAGAAUUUUAGUGAAGCUCGACAAAUAAAAAUUUCCAUAUCCAGCUAGAGCAGAAGGGAUGGACAUGAUUGCACAGGAUAGCAGUAAAGAUGAAACCAACGAAGUAAGACUACAGAAGUGAUACACAAGAGACGGAUAGACUGAACCAAGGCAAGAGACACGCAAAAAACCACGUAACAGUACCGCACCAAUUGUAUCUUAUAAUUUAAUAUAAUCCUCAGCUUUCUCCUUAAUUUUAUGACAGAUCAACAUCCAUCACCAUUCAUGAAUAUAUCAUCAUGAUCACCAAUAUUUGUAGAGAUGCUAAAGUAAUACAUGCAAAUUCACCAACAGCCAUAUAACUGGACUGAACCAAGGAGGCAGUAAGGCACCAAUUGUAUCUUAAAUUUAAUGAUAUCCUCAGUAUUCUCCUUGAUAAUUUAUGAUGGAUCAACAUCCAUCAACAUUCAUGGGUGGAUCAUCACAGAUUUACAUAGUUAAUAUAAGUAAUAGUUCGAGAUUCACCAGUAGCUUUUAAGACUAAUCACCAAUUGACACUUUCUUCAUAUCUAGCUAUCAACUACUCAUUAAAAGUUUUGUCUCGCGUAAUCUGAAGAAUUCAAGAAGCCUACAUGAGGCAUAUUAAUAAGUGUUAAUUCAUAUGCCCAAACAGGAACAAUGUAAUACCAACAAAUAAAUCAGCUCAGCCUAGAUGAAUAAUUUUAAGGGGAUGGUUGCAAGAGAAAAAAGAACACCCGCACACAUACAUACAUGCAUACACAUACGCAUACGCAUACGCAUACACAUACACAUACACAUACACAUAGAUACAUACAUACAUACGUGCGUGUGUGUGUGGGGAGAGGGAGGGAGAGAGAGAGAGAGAAAGAGAGAGAGAUGCACCAUUAGUUGUUGCACAAAAGGGUCAUGUGACAGUGUCUCCAACAGAUUUUCUUGAUUAGAAAUGACUUUCUUUGAGUUGCCAGUCUCUCUUUUAAGUUUCCCUAUCUCAACUUCUUUUGACUGCAAUUUUUGAACCAUUGAAUCAUUUUCUUUCCUACAAGACUCCUUCUCCCUCUUCAAAUGAGCAUUUUCUUCCCGAAGAAUUUGCAAGUUACUCCCCAGCUCUUCUUUCCUUAUCUGCCAAAAAGAAAUUAGGAUAUAUAUAUAUAUAUAUAUAGAAAAAACAUGAUUUCUUUAGCUAUUUGCCUCACACGAGGAAGACCAGAAGGUACAGUGCUAUACCUUACAACGUUGUCGAUAAUUGGCAUCGAUUUUUCUUUUCUUAUCCUUUUGAUCUUCUGGAGUUACAGCAAUGUUUAUUCCAUGCUGUGGUACGCCUGGUUGGGCCAACAUAUGUUGAGGCACUGUCAGCAUGUUUGCUUCCUCUGAGCCCAUACAACAAAUUCAUCUUAGUACAGUUCAAACAAUUCUCUAUGAAUAACUCUAGAACGUGAACUACCAUCAAGCAAAGUAAUUUGUGAGAUGAAUUUGUUAAAAUUGCGAGCAAACCACAACUAAGCAUGAACAUAGAACGAACACGCAUUCAUUCUUAAGCCUCAAAAUACAUCUUUCCAUUAAUGUUGGGAUGGUUACGGUAAAAUGAAAGCAUGAAAAGGAGAAAUGAUGGAUUUUGACCCAUCCAUCUUGUUAUUCCAAAAACAAGGAAAAGCGAAGGACAGAUUGUAAAUUACAAGCGAGGCAUAGGGAAGGAUCCUUUAUUUCCUUCCUCGGUUGUUCAUCCAUCAUACCAAACAUAGAAAAUAUCAAAAACCCAACAAUGAUGCUUGCCUGAGAAAAGUGGAAACAGGGUAACCCCAGAUAUGACCAAUCAUUGAAGAUAAUAUAAAAGAAAAUAUUGACAAGUCUUUUCGUAGAUCUAACAACAAUUGUAAGUUCAGAAGUAGUUUUACCUGCUGAGUAGUCUUGUAGUGGGGUGUAGUGGGGAACCGUGCCAUCCAGUAAACCGUAAGUCAUCUUCAUCGGAAAUUCAAGAAGCUAUGAUUGUGUACAGAAGAAGCACUUUAAAUAAAAGAAGAAAAAUCCGCUGGGUCACUGCAUAUGACAGAAUGGAGUCGCGCGAAAUAAGGUCCAUGCCACGCGAUAGAUUCCUCGAAUUGUAAUGAAAACGCUGGGUAUCGGCCGGUUCUUCUCUUCCAAAUUUCUCUCGUAACUGUUUAAAAGCGUAAGUAUUUAAAAGUGUAGCUUAGGUUAUUUUUUUAACUGUUUUUAUUUAGAAAUAUAUUAAAAUAAUAUAUUUUUAUUUUUUAAAAUUUAUUUUUUAUAUCAACACAUAAAAAUUAAUUUUUUUAAAAUAAAAAACAAGUUAAACCUCAACAUAAUUAGCAAUGAAAUAGCUGUCUGGAUAUUAGUAAAGUAGAUUAGGGUUAAUUGAACUCCUUUGCUUUAGGCUUAUGUGUCAUAAUGUCCCUCAACUUAGCACUAUAUCCAUUAAACUAAAAAAAUCCCAAAACUUCACCCCCAAAACCCUAAGAAUCGAAUAUUAACUGAAGAUGCGUGUUCAAGAGCCCAGCCAUGAUAAGCAUUUAAUCAAUUUUAACAAGCAUCCAUCGAUCGGCUCUAGAAAAUUAAGAGCAAAAAACAUGUACAAAUUUAAACAUGCCUGCCCAAAUUGAUAAAUAUAUAUCCAUACAAGAGGGAUGAUGACUUAUAAAGAGAAUAAGAAAAUUAAAAUAAACCUAACUCAUAACAUUUAUGUUAGCCCUACUCUGGGUUAAUAUGAAGUUGUAUUCUUUUAUAUAUUUUAAGUUCUUUUGAGCUGAAGCUAUCAAACUCUUGCAUCUAUUCUGAAAAGAGGUAAAUUAUACUUAGUAGUUUAGAAAAAAAAAAAGUAGAAAUUGAAAAAAUAAACAUGCAGUAAAAUAAAAUAAAUCUAAUGAAAAAAUCCAAAACAAAGGGAGAAUUUCAGACCCGGCCUGCCAUUAAAGAAUUGGGAUCUUAUGUAUUUUUUUUUUAUGAUUUUAGAUAUUCAAAUCAGCUUACGCGAAUUAUAAUUAAGCUUACGCGAAUUAUAAUUAAUCUUUAUAUAUUGACUAGACAGGUGAUCAAAAGAAAAGGACAGAAAUGAUCCUAUCCUUCUAAGUUUAUUUUGUUAAUUUUUUUUUUUAUAUAUAAAAAAACUAAGUUAACGCUGGUAAGAUACGGUGCUUCAAGUUCUUAAAAUCUUCAAUAUCUUAAUGAAUCGGAGCAUCAUCGCUCGGUACGAACGUGUCACCACGUGCUUGCGCUCUACACCGCAAGAGCCCCCAAAGUAUGAACAUAAAGUACGAACGGUGGUGGCACCAUUCUAGAAUAGCUACCUUUUGUUAUUCUUCUCUCUCUCUCUAUGUGUUCUUAUUUUUAUCCAUUUCUUUCUUUCUCUCCGCUGGCCCUUCUGGUCAAAAUAAUCUGCAGACAGCCUCAACGAAAAAAAAAAAAAACUAUAUGUCUUGAUAAAUUAAAUUGUAUCGAGUUAACUUAAUAUGUUAUUGUUAAAAAUAUAGAAGUGAUUAUAAAUAGGCAAAACGCUCAUUGAGCCACUGAACAAAAUAACUUAUCCCAUUAAAAUUGAUCGAAAACGAAUUUAUUUAUAUCUUGACAUUGCUAUAUAUGAUCUAAAUAAUUGGUCUCAAACUUUGAAAAGCUAGCAGAAGUUUUCAAAAAUCUUGGAAGGCCAUGUGCUUUGCUUGUUGGACCGACACUUGCAGGGCCAUUAGAAACGAGGUGGCCCAUGAACGGGGCGUCGAGAGAUGAUUUGACAGCGAGAUGGAUGAGCCCUCCAAGGCUAACAAAAGUCGUGCUUGUUUCUCUCUCUCUUUCAUAUGUUUUACGAAUUCGAAGGAUGUCGCUCGAUAUCGCUCGAUUUCGCUCGACAUGACCAAACUAACUUUUCUUCAGUCUUCUUAUAAAAAGCAACACCCUCUCGUCAAAUUUACGAAAAGCUAGCUAGCUGCCUGCUGCUCCAAAGGUUCUUAUCGAUUCAACUGCUUUGACUGUUCGUUAGUUCUUCAGCCGGUUGGCUCAUGAGCUUCAAUUGCUUUUCUUUUUCUCCAGAAAGCCAGCGAUGAAUUACGAAAGUCCGUGGCAACAUCUCCUUGAAGCAUCUCUACCUCCACCUGCACAUGAAUUUGAGGCUUAUAAUGGUAAAUGUAUUUCUUCCAUAUAUCCAGAGAUUUAUUUCAUUUCAUCUUUGCUUUAGAAAGCCGAUUGAUCCAUUUCUGUUGGAAUACUUGGAUCUAGUAAGUUCUAUUGUCUUCAAUUCCUCGCCACCUUGCUCAUGACUGCGAUUAAUUCUUUAUUUUCUCACCCUGUAUCUCAUCUUUUAUUAUUACACAUACCAUCUGCUUCUCAAACCCACGGAGGAAAAAUAACUAUGCUGGUGAAGAAAGGACACAUACAUACAUACAUACAUACAUACAGGCGCGUGCGUUCACACACACGUAUACAUACCAAUACAUGUUUCGGUAAAUACCUGCUUCAAGAGUUUUGGUCUUUUAUGUACUUAAAACACUGAGGGAGGAGCACCAUAUUCGUCGUUGACAGAAUUUGAAACCGAUCAGAAGGCAAGGGGACUUCAGCAAGCCUUUAACUACUUCUUGGCAGCAGGCCCAGAUAGUCCUCAUCAGUCUUCAAAUAUAACAGAUACUGAUAAGAAAGGACAGGAUCUGGAAGCAACUA